CUGUUUUUUUCCUAAAGUAUAAACUAAUUUAAUUAAAGACUUACUAAUGGAGUACUUUCUCUAUCUCAAAUUUAAAAUGUUUUGGCAUUGCUAAAUUCAUAGUUUUUAUUAUGGCCUUGUUUAGUUCCCAAAAAUUUUGCAAAAUUUUUUAGAUUCUCCGUCACAUCAAAUCUUUAGACGUAUGCAUGGAGUAUUAAAUAUAGAUGAAAAUAAAAACUAAUUGCACAGUUUGGUCAAAAUUGACGAGACGAAUCUUUUGAGCCUAAUUAGUCCAUAAUUGGACAAUAUUUGUCAAAUACAAACGAAAGUGUUACUAUUUCUAUUUUGCAAAUUUUUUAGAACUAAACAAGGCCUAUGUAUUUAGAUAAAAAGUUAUAAAUCUAGAAAAGUCAAAAUGUCUUAUAAGGGCCUGUUUAGAUUGGAGAUGAAAAUUUUUUAGGUGUCACAUCGGAUGUGUCGGAAGGAUGUCGGGAGGGGUUUUUAGAAACUAAUAAAAAAACAAAUUACAUAGCUCGUCAGGAAACUGUAAGACAAAUUUAUUAAGCAUAAUUAAUCUGUCAUUAGCAUAUGUGGGUUACUGUAGCACUUAAGGCUAAUUAUGGAGUAACUAGCCUUAAAAGAUUCGUCUCGUGAUUCUCAACUAAACUGUGUAAUUAUUUUAUUUUUUUAUCUACAUUUAAUGUUCCAUGCAUGUGUCCAAAGAUUCGAUGGGACGGAUGAAAAAUUUUUGGGUGGGGAACUAAACAGGGCCUAAGUUAGAACAAAGAAAGUACAUGUUUAUUUAACAACCAAACAAAAGACCUCCUUAUCUAUACAAGGAUUUAUGUCAUUUCACACUGAGCAUAGGCAAUCUUCGUAGAGACAAACAUGUUGCUUCUCUAGAAAAAAAGUUCUUAGCCCCUUUUGUCUAGAGUCUGGACCUAGAGAAGCAACAUACUUUGAGCUCCAUCCUAAAAACGUCAUAGGUCAUAGCUCCAUCCUGAAUUUCGCCUGGAACUAACCUAUGACGUUUUCGGGAUGGAGCUCUGCGCCGGCCAUACUUGGAGCUCGAUUCUGGACCCAUGGCUGCAAGGACCUUGGCCCCUCCACUUCCCUCAAAAAAAAAUCUAGACGCAUGGCUUAACUAUCUGAUUUUAUUUUGAUAUUGCGAUCGCUUUUACCUCCAUUUUGCGUCGUGGUUAGGAAAUCGUGCUUUCAGUGUUUCGCUUUAUUUUUCAGCAAUAGUUUAGUAGAUUUUUACAACGAAAGAAUAAUAUUUUCUUCUCUCACAACAAUUCAAUAUUAACAGCAGCAUAAACCAAAUUUUAGCGAGCUGAACAGAAAAAAUAGAUGAAGGCUCUACGUUAUUUGGCUAUGCAUGCAAUAAACUAAAGCAAAAAAAAAUGAUGGGCAAGUUCUCACAUCAUCUACAAAAAUGAUGGGCAAGUUCUCACAUCAUCUACAGGCUUCAAUUAUGAAAGAACACACGAACAUCUCCAUCAUUGAAAACCAAAAUAAAAUUGGACGGCUUCCACCUCAUCACUCAACUGGCACUUGUUUGGUCUGGCACUAUGCAACUAUGUUUUGGACACAUCUGGCUUAGCUCAUCCGAUCCUUUUUUUUUAAAAAAAAAAGGAAGUAAUCACCAACCACUUCCAAGUUCCAAGUAAUGAGAGACACAUGACCUGAUCUUGGCCCCCUAUAAUACUGCCAGAUUCCUAGCAAAAUCCAAACGUCCAGCCAAUGCAAUUCCUCACCAUGCAUGUUCACAGCACACCACAAAGCUCCAACACAUUAACAGUCCACUAUAAACACUCCGAUCCAGGAUUAGCAGGUAAAAUACAUCUCGGUCGGCUAAAGAGCUGUAAAGCAGAAUACCACAGGUGCCAACGGUAUGGGCCUCAAAACCAGAUGGUGUGUGUUCAUGGGUGCACGAUCACUUUGUUUGCAGGCAGUAUAUAUAUGUUGGAAUAUGUGGGCUUAGCCCUUAGAAAUUCUUAUUAAUUCCAUUCCAAAUAAUCUCAAAUGGUUCUGCUCAAAAAAAAAUCUCAAAUAGCUAUUCAUUUAAUUAUGUAUAAAUAUAUAGGUGAGUGGGAGAAUUUUAGUCCUAUCUGAAGUGUGGAAGUUGCUAUGCUUAAACACGGGAGCCGUCUUCACUUUUCAAAGUCUACUAUGUGGGUAAAAGGAAACUCCAACGUUCCAUAGAAAAAAAGUUGCUAUAAGAUUUGUGCUGAUUUGAGUAAAAUGCACCUACGGUCCUCACACUUUUAAGGCCCUCUCAUAUGGGUCUUUGAACUAAAAGAGCGACUAUAUAAGUCCCUAAACUAUUGUUGCUGUGCAUUAAAGGUCCAAAACCUAUAUACCAGCGCUCACAUCUGACGUGGAUAUGCGACAGUGGCAGCAAUACCGUGCUAACUUUCCAAAAAAAAACUCUGUCCCAUUUCUUUUUUUCUCAUGCCGGGUUGGAGAUGCCAACGAGGAUGGUUGUGCCUCACUACCCGUGCUGCUCACCUCGCCCCACACGAACCUUCGGGCCAAGUGGACGCCGUGUUGUGGAGCUGCUCUAGGCGGCCACAAGCUUCGCCUCUAGCAUCCAAACCAGCCAUGGGAUAGCAUCCGGAAACGUAGUGCCGGUUCUGGCACGUGGAGCUCGUCGCUGGCGCUCACGACCAGGAGUGCUGCCGCCCCACACACCUUAAGGCUUGGCCAACCUUGCGCUCGCCUCCACUUUCUCGCCCUAGCCCUCUCUUCUUCUCCUUCUUGUUGCGGGCACGUUCGCCAUGGUCACCGGGCGUGACUUCGCGAUCUGCCGCCGCCGUUCCGCUGUAGCCGAUUGAGCCACCCCACGCCUCACCAGUAGCACGACCAACUGCAAUGUAACGAGGCGCACAUGGAGCACCGACGCCACCGGGAAGGAGAAGGAUGGAGAGAGAAAAGGGACUUUGGAGUUAGAAAUAGAAUAUGGCACUGAGCAGUGUGGCACGUCCACGUCAGAUGUAGGCGCUGACAUGGUAAGUUUUGGACCUUUUGGUGCAUAGCGGCCGUAGUUUAAAGAUCUAGAUAGUCGCUUUUUUGUUCAAUGACCAAUAUGGGAAGGUCCUACAAGUCUAAGGAGGUUUUUACUCAAAUAAGUUUGUUACGAUAUGGUAUGGAAAAUAUGUUCAACGAUCCAAAGGAGGAAAUUCGGUUGAAACUAUAAUCAGUGACAUCUGGCACCACGCGCAGCGGCAGAUGAUCAUUGCCAACACCAAAAGUGCAAUUCCAUCGGAUCCUUGGACCUUGGGGAUGACGGCGCGGAGGACGAACAUCAACACCUCCAAGUUGACAGCAUAGAAGAGCGAGCAGGAGCAAACCGUUAUAAAAGAUGGGCUACACCUCCACACGUUGGGCAGUAUUCGGGCCAGACUUCCUUUCCCCUGCGUACCUGCGGUUGGGCCUGGCCUGGACUGGCAAAACUAUUUUCCCAUUGGCUUUUUUGGCCCGUCCAAUGCUCACAGUCGUUCGAUUGAAUCAGGGCAUUGCUCUAGCUGAAUAAAAAAUCAGCAACACCUAGCCUCCACGGAAAUGGAGUGACAGUUGUAGCUAGAGAUGGCAACGGGUACGUACCCGACGGGUAGUGGCCACCCGUACCCGCACCCACGAAAUCUAAAUUGUACCCGUCGGGUUACCCGUACCCGCACACGGGUAGGAAAAUAAUUCCAUACCCGCACCCGCGGGUAAUUUAUACCCAACGGGUAACCCGCACCCGCUAGUAUACACGAGAAUUAUAUAUAAAUAUCAUAUAUUUACACAAAGAAAAUCAUACUAAACCUCCAACAAGUUACAAACUAAUAUUCAUAUGACAACAUUAAAUUCAUAUACAUAUAUAUUAGGAGAGUUUAGUUGGAUUUAGACCAAAUUCAUGUGCUAUAUAGGCUAAAAUGAGAAGGGUGGCUAGUUAUUUUGACGGGUAUUUUUUACCCGCGGGUAGGCGGGUAUGGGUAGUACACACCCACACCCGUACCCGCCAUACCCGAUGGGUAUAGGAUUUUGCCCAAUAACGUACCCACGGGUAGAAAAUUCAUUCCAUACCCGCCUCUUUAUCGGGUAAAACCCGUCGGGUACUCAGGUUUCGGGUACCCGUUGCCAUCUUGAGUUGUAGCAUAUAAAUCCUAAUACACAAUCAAACAUAUAGAAAUCUGACAGAUUUAGUAUACAAAAAAUAUGUCAACAGAUAAAUAGCAAAAGUCAAAUUAUAAUUUGGACACAUAUUAAUUAAGCUAAUAUGUCUGUAAAUAUAAUACAUAUUUAUAUACUAUUGUUAGCAAUGCAAAGAGAAAUGCUUAUAUGUUGUAUUUCUACUAUUGGGAAGUGAGUUGAAGAACGUGCUAUAAGUUGGAGAGUAGAUGAUGGUCUAUAGAAUUAAUUUUCAUCUCCCAACUUAUGAAUUUAUAAGAUAAGCUUAUAUGUGAACAUUGGAAAGUUGUGAAAUCUUAAAUUUCAAGUCAAAUAACUGUUGAAUAUGUUCCAAAGUCAGUUGCACAUUAUAAAGCCCAACUUCUAACGGAGCGAAGCGGAGGCCCGUUGAAGACGAAGGUUGGGCCGGAGCGAUACACCCUAUGAGGGUUUCACUAAGAUAUUCUCUAGUAAGCCGCCGCACUACAUUGUAAUCCAACUCUUGAUAAUUGUGAGGAGUGUUUGCUGGCUGACGUCUCUGGUUUUUCCCCUUCGCAUUGGAGGGGUUUUCCAUGCUAAAUCUUGUGUAUCCGCUAUUGUGGGGGUAUAAACCCCUAUACCCUCAUGGGCCUAUAUGAGCCGCACCAUCAGAAGUGGCUCGGCCCACAGGAUGAAGACGUGCGGCGCACGACUGGUCGGCGUGCACCGCAAGGCUACAAGAUAUUGUACCAAAUAGGAUACUUUACUUGUAACUCUGUCCCUUCAGGAUAUAUAAGGAGGGGCAGGGGUUCCCUAGAGUAUAGACUCAUCUCAACACAAUUCAAUACAAUCAGACACAGGACGUAGGUAUUACGCCCAUACGGCGGCCGAACCUGGAUAAAAACCUUGUCCGUGUUGCGUCACCAUCAAGUUCGUAGCUUGCGCACCGUCUACCGAUAAACUACUACCGUGGGUAUACCCCAAGGUAGACUGCUGACUAGCUUUCGUCGACAGUGGCGCGCCAGGUAGGGGGUGUGCGUACAACUCUCCUAGACGAACAAGAUGGCCAUCAUCCCCGACUUCGCGGCCAUGGCGGGCGGCUUCACAUUCAUCGUCGGCUUCAACAACUUCACCGCCAUGACCGCAGAGGAGGCGUAGAUCCGAUCUGUGCCGAUCACUUCUUCACCGACGUCGGUUGUGGCUCCAACCACGCUGGCUACGGUUUCGACCACACCAGCAACGUCUUCGACCACGCCGACAACGCGUCGCCGCUUCUCUGCUACAAAGAGAGGCAGAUCGACGACACCGACCUGCUCAGGCUAUCGACCAAGUUGUUUGGCCUACUUGCUCUGACUACGAGUCGCAAUAAUAAUCGCCGCGAAGAACGGCGCUACGACAACCGCGACCACCGUCAUGACAGCAAGUCAAAAAGCUCGAGGGCCAGACAAUUCUGUCACCACCGACCAGACUUUCGUCCAAAGAUAAGUACACUUUUAAUAUUUUAUUUAUUUUUAGCAUAAUAUUUCUUAUUAUCCUUCAAAGUAAUUUUUUGGUUAGCCGACUAGUUUUUUCUCCUACAUGAGUUUUCUAGAGUCGGCACUGUCUCCGACUCCUCCCUACACGUGCAUGAGAUCCGUCCUCUGCGUUCCGAGUGGUCGGCAGUAGCUCUCUGGCGAGGCUGACAAUCCUACGCGUGUCUAGGUUCCGCCUUAUGCUGAUUGUUGGCUAGACCAGAGCUGGUACAAGCUCUAGUAUGAAUUAACUACUCGUGCUAAUUUUAUAAAAAAAUCUAAAACUUAUCUCAGUGCUGAUUUUUUAUCUAGAGUUUAUUUAUACAUCAUGUACUACCUAUUCUCUAUAUUUAUUUUUCAGGAGUUUGGCCCAGUCAACAAGGUACGCUCGGGGACUCGUCGACUAUUCCCUACGCUGUGCUCGGGGACUGCUCCGACCACCGAGCAUGUUUACGUUCCCAACCACGCUCGGGGACUUGUCGAUUAGUCUCUACGCUGCGCUCGAAGACUGUGCCGACCACCGAGCACGUUUACGUUACCAACCACGCUCGGGGACUUGUCCACCAGUCCCUACGCCGUGCUCGGGGACUGUGCCGACCACUGAGCAUAUUUACGUUCCCAACCAUGCUCGGAGACUGGUCGAUCAGUCUCUAUGCCGUGCUCGGAGACUGUGCUGACUACCGAUCGUGCUCGUAGACUCACCAAUCACUCCCUACGCUGUGCUCGGGAUUUGCUUCGAUCACUCUCCGACCACAGCUUGGGGACUGCUUUUCUCAGUUACAUAUGAAUUGGACUGGAUAAUUUUAAUUUUUUAGACCUUGCUACAAGGCUCAUACUUCGCCUUCCAGCAAGCUCGGGGACUACAUCGGUACGAUGCAUCUAGCGAUGCAUGUUAGUAUCAGAAAUUUUAAGAUGAUUUUCUUUUUAGACCCUGGCACCACAUGCCUAUGUCACCUACUACCAGGCUCGGGGACUAAGUGGGCACACUUCACUUUACAGUGAAUUUGCUUGCUUUUUGAAAGACUAUACUUUUCAGAAAAGUAAAGUGGACACACUUCACCAGGAAAGAAAUCUUUUUUAAUCAAGAGCACCAUGCAUUCUUCGAACAACCUGCUUCUUCGAUGUCAAUGUUGAUCAACUGUCUUUUGAGUUGGUCAAAAUACCGUUGCAACUGUUUGGGCGACUUUCCUACUUAUUGAAGACGUCAAGCUUCACUGAUCGAAGAAGCUCUAGACGGCGUGUUACAUCACAAUACAUGGUGCUCGGGGACUAGCUGUGGGGGUAUAAACUCCUAUACCCUCAUGGGCCUAUAUGGGCCGCACCAUCAGAAGUGGCUCGGCCCACAGGAUGAAGACGUGCGACGCACGACUGGUCGGCGUGCACCGCAAGGCUACAAGAUAUUGUACCAAAUAUCUGUCCCUUCAGGAUAUAUAAGGAGGGGCAGGGGUUCCCUAGAGGAUAGACUCAUCUCAACACAAUUCAAUACAAUCAGACGCAUGACGUAGGUAUUACGCCCAUACGGCGGCCGAACCUGGAUAAAAACCUUGUCCGUGUCUUGCGUCACCAUUAAGUUCGUAGCUUGCGCACCGUCUACCGAUAAACUACUACCGUGGGUAUACCCUAAGGUAGACUGCCGACUAGCUUUCGUCGACAGCUAUGAUUUGAUUUUUGUAUUCUUCAUCGUUUAUCCAUCGUCAUUCACAACAAUAACCAAAUACAUUAUGUAGAUUCCAAUUUCUCUAAAAUGAAGGGAUCCAAACAGCCCUCAGGUUAUUUGGAUAUUUUUUCCCAUUUUCCGGCUAGGUUCGAAAAGCGUGACUUUUGCCUCUGCAUUCACAGUACACUGUAGUAGCCUUUGAGCAAGCCAACACCCCCACAAUAUAUAACCACGUGCAUCCAAAGACACCAAACAUAUAUCACACUUCACACAGAAGCAGCCGUUUAUUCAUUGCAUUACACUGGUAGACUAGAUGACACACGACACGAUACGCCAUGCAACGGGGACCAUGCAUGGCUCUACAAUCACACACACACACAGAGAGCUAGGGCUAGGCACGUACGUACCCGGCACCGGCAUAGCUUGAUCACAAUCACACACAUGCAUGCACGUAUGUACACACAUACGUACGCAAUAAACUAAAACCAUGCAUGCAUACUACUCACAACAACACAGCACACUACUACUUGCGAAUCAAAAGGAGGCCGGCUGCAUAUGCAUGCAAUGCAUGUUUUGGAACACAUGCAUCUGCAUAUCACAUGGUCAUGGUUGGGACGAAAGGUGGUCUGACUCUGACGGCGAGGCCGCAGUAGCCCCCUGCUGCCGCUGCUGCUGGGCUGCCGGCGGCGGCGGGGACUUGUUGCCUCUUCAACUUGAUGUAGCCGCCGUCGCCCCACUUGGUCCCCCACGAGUUCUUGACGAUCCAGUACUUCUCCCCGGUGGCCGCGUCCUCCCCGUACCCAACCACGGCGACGGCGUGGUUGAACCUGCUGCCGCACCGCCCUCGGUACACGCCUUGCCCCCUGAAGUGGUGGAAGUCCGGGUGGCCGGCCCUGAUCGCGACGACGGCCACCACCGGCUGCUCCUGCUGCUGCCGGCCGGCCACCACCGCGUUCAUCAGCGCCGCCUCGUCGUUCACAAACACACCGCCGCCAUGAACUGUCGUCUUUCCCGACCCAGUGGUGAUCGUCUCCUUGACGACGGGGUAGCAACGGCGGCGGCAACGGCGGACGCAACGCUUGCGGUGGCCAAGGCCAACUACUCCUCUUUUGCCAGUGAUGAUGCAACGGCGGACACAACGGCGGACGCAACGGCGGCCGUGGCCGCCAUGGCCACCGCUCACGGUGUCAAAGUCACCGCCAUCAUCGCCAUCACUGUCGUCGUCUCCGUCGCCGCCGUCGUUGCUGUCGCCGUCGUCGUCGAAGCCGUCGUCCAGCGCUAGCGUGGCCGUGGUGUACAUGGCCAUGAACUCGUCGGUGGUGAGGUCGGUGUACUCCGUCUCACCGAGCUCGUACGAGGGGUCCUCGCCGUUCCUCGCCAGGAUGUACCGCAUGUUGCCGGCGUACACCUGGAAACGGUGGCGCUCCUCCGAAGCCGUCGCGUAGCUUCGGUUGUACUCUACCUUCCAGCGUUGGAACCGCUCCAUCAUCUGAUCAUCAGUAGCACUGUCGAAGCUGCUGCUGUCGUCGACGUAGCCGCCGCCGCCGCCAACCAGCUGAACCGUCGUCGGUGAGCAGCUGCCGGCGCCGAGGGAGACAGCGAGGAGGACAACGACGAGGAGGCAUGGUAGGGAGUUGUUAUUCAUGGGAAGGAGCGAGCACGUCGUCGCCAUGGUUCAGUACUCUUCGAUCAGAUCACUAAUGGUGGCGUGUAGUGUUGAGCUUUGAGAUGUGACCUGCUGGUGCUAGGCAAUCCACGUUUAUAUAGAGCGGGGCUGGACAUACGAUCACUGAUGAUAUGUUAAAUCGUACUUUUUCUAGCUGCCAGUAGUUUUAGUCAUGGCUCGCCAUGGCCCAUGCUUAGGCCUUGUUUAGUUCACCACAAAAACCAAAAACUUUUCAAAAUUUUCCGUCAUAUCGAAUCUUGCGGCAUAUGCAUAUGGAGCAUUAAAUAUAGAUAAAAACAAAAACUAAUUGUACAAUUUAUCUAUAAAUCGCGAGAUAAAAUUUUUAAAUCUAGUUACUCUAUUUAUUAAACAAUGUUUGUCAAAUAAAAACAAAAUUACUAUAGUGUCGAAAUCUAAAAACUUUUUGGAUCUAAACAAAGCCUUAAUGGGAGAGGAUGACGACGACGUACGGAGAACUAUCCAAUUUCCUGACAUGAUGAUUUCCUUAAGGCCAAGAGACGGUAGAUGUGGUGCAGUACGGUAGAUGUGGUGCAGUAGUUCUCCGACGAUGCCUUCAGAAGGACUUUGACAUCCGCAGAUGACAACAACGUUGGAAGAACAAGAGGAGGUCUUUCGACACCAACUUGCUUCGGCAAACAUGAUCUUCGACGAUGCCUUCAUGAAGGCAGAUGACACGGUUGUGCCAACCAAGUAGAGUUUUCACCCAAAUAUUGUGCUAACCCUAGAAGGCCGCAGCUGCCGACCUCCACGCCGACCAUGGGAGGACAGCCGUGGAAGCCGGCUGCCACAGGUGCAGCCCAACCGGGGGAGGUUGGCUCUUAAAGCCAUGCCCCGUAUGAGGCCAUAGGGACCAUACACCCCACCGCCCUAGGCCAGCGGGUCCACUCCCGACAUGGCCAGGCUAUGCUGGCAAGGAGAACUGGCAAGAGGAGUCGUGACCCCCAAGGCCGCAACCCCUCUUGCAGUCGGCCAUGGCCGCCCAGACGCUACCGCCAUCGCCCAAGAGACUAUAGGACGCGCAACGCACCCAUGCUAGACCGCACCAUCUGCUCGAAUGUGACAGACACCCUUCCCUUGUGUGAAACUGCAGAUCAAGGAGGGAGUGGCUAGGUCUGGCCAUAGGGGGCCGGAUCUACCACGUUGGGCGACCGACCUGCCAGAAAAGCUAGGGUAGAGGGGGCGGAGGAGGGACAGGGGUAGAGAAGGGAGGGAGCAGGCUGCAGCGGCUACCUGUUUUGGGGCCACUACGGGCCGCCGCCGCCACACACUGGAGGACGAUGAUCGCGGCCAGAGGAAGGGUGUGGGGAGGAGUGUUGGGUGGCACCUGCAAGCCCCUAAGUCGGCCGAAGGAGCGCUCAGGGGUGACUUGUGCGAUUUCUUUUUUGACGUCCUAGUCUACGAGUACUACUCUUCGCCCAAUUCUAAGAGGAUGCGCCAAACAUAACAUCAGGUUCAUAUAAAAAAGAGGAAAAAUUAUCUCAUUGUUGGACGCCAUCAAUAAAAAGGUGGAAAACACUACUCUUUCUGAUAACGAAAUAAAUAUGAAACACUAUCUCAAGGAAAAGAUUGCUUCUCUUAUUGCGAGAAGAAGAGAUGAAGUGGUGUGAAAGGGUGAAGGUUAAAAAUCUUCUUGAAGGUGAUUAUAAUACCCGUUUCUUUCAUUUAGUGGCUAAUGGCAAACAUCGCAAACAAACACAUCUUCAAAUUAGAACAAGAUGAUUGUAUAAUUGUUGGCGACAAUGAAUUGAAAAAAUACAUCACUAUUUAUUACAAAGGCCUUUUCGGGCAACCACAUGACAAUAACCUCUCCCUCGUGGAUUAUGAGAUAUAAACAAUACUCCCUCCGUAUAGGAUUUAGGAAGAGAGCUUAAAGAACAAUUUAACAUAUUGGCUAGAUUUCCUCUCUCUUGUUGUGAACCUCCAAAAACAAACACCUCACUUUUAUGAAAAAUUAUCUUAAGACUAGUUAACCAUUCAAAGCAAUAUAGAAUUGAGAUUCCUAAUAGAUUGGAUAGAGCCAUCACGUGGCAGACCUCUCUCGAGCACAGCCGGUAGAACCUCGCGUGGUGGACCUCUCCCUCGCAUAGCCGAUGGGAUCUCGCGCCAUCGCAGAGCUCGCUCGCCGCCGGCAGGAGCUCGCGUGCGGGACAUAGGGGCGGAGUGGUAGGGCAGCUAGCAGGUCCGAGGCCGAGACAGGCGCCGAUCGCUCCUGCGCCGCCAUCGCGGCUUGCGCAAUGCCAGGGCAGGCGCGGCCGCUCGUCUGCUGCCGUCGAGGCUAUGGACGUCGUGGCCCUGGUGGGCGGCGAGGACGCGGCGACACAGGGGCGGGGUUGGCUUGGGGCUCCGGCGCCGACGUGGCUUCGUUCUGGGCUCGCCUCGCUCGCGACCGUGUGGUGUGGUUUCUGCAGUCUGCAGAGAGGAUCCUUCGAUGAGUCAAAGAAACACAGUGAUUGAUUGGCUAGUUUGUUUUUAUUAUUUUUUUACCAGCACACCAGCAGAAGUCUUGCAUAGCAAAGGAUGGUUUUAUGAUACCAUGUCCUAUACUAUAAAAACUAUGUCCUUGUGGUUUCUUGCAUUGAGGGCACUUCCAAUGCAUGAAACUUUUAGUAGUUUCUAUAGCAUAGCAUAGGACAUCGUACUGAGAAACCAUCCUUCCCAGUGCAAGAUUUCAAACAAUGAUUGAUGGACCAAUUAUUGCAUAAGAUAUCAAAUUUGAUACUAUGUCUUUCUGGUCUUAUUAAUUAUAAUCCCAUGUAUCAAAACAUGAUCCUCUCCUAGGUUGCAACUUUGAAGGUGUUAGAUUUGACCACGCUUGUUGGAUCUUAUAUAUGGUUGCUUGUUCCCAUUUGUCGAUAUUAAUGUGAUGCCUGGACUUUCUUGCUAGGAAAGUGAGCAAAGUUUUGAGCUUAGGUAGGGAUGUGGAAAGAAAGAGCACAUGCUGAGAUGGCGAGGCUCAGAGCAUAGCAGGGAAAGAAGUAUAGAUGGCCAAGUGGACCAAGCACGAUGGGCCAACACAGGCAUGACACAGGCUUUAUAAUGCCAUAGCUGGGACAAGCAUGAGCUUGGACCAUAAUGGACAUCGCACCUUUAGGAGAUUGAACAAUAGAUUUUUACAUUGACACAUCACCACAUGCGUUCCCAUAAUGACACAUACCACUAAAAAAUAACACAUUAAUCUUGGAAAAAACAUUAAAAAAUUAAGCAUCUAUGUGAAAACAAGGAGUAAGAUCAGAGCGGAGCUCGAUUAGUUCGCACAUAUGUAGAUAAUUUCUAUGUAAAAUUAGAAAGUUGCUUUAAAUUAUUUUUCAUAAUAAGAUAAAUGGUUAAUUUAGUUGUAGAUGUGGGAGCUUUUUUAUUUCUAUAAACAACGGAGUGGGUAAUUUCUAUGUAAAUUUAUCGGCCUUAAAUUAUUUCUUCAUAAUGUUGUGCGUGGGUAACUUAGUAAACAUAGGAUUUGAUUUAAUUAAAUUAUUUAUGGUGGCUGGCAUCACUGCAUAAGUAUGAAGGUGGAAGCUCCAAAGGAGAACAUGGCAAGUGCCACUAGUGGGUUUCAUCAAUACUGUAUUCCUUGUCGUAAUGAAUAUGAUAACUAGCCAUUUUUAUUUUUACGGUAAAAAUAUAUAGAUCAAUCCUCAUGUUUGUUGAGGAAAGGACGCUGACAUUGAACCGUUGUAACCAUAAGAGAUGUAAGAGGACGACGAUGGAUGCAAAACUUCAAUUCGGAUCGUGGCGAUGGUACACGAUGAUGAAUCUAAAACCGUAAUGACUAGUGCGAAUCUCGACAAUGCUAACACAACAACUCAAGUGUUCAUUCUGACUCCAAACUUGGAGUCUCAUCAAUCAAGCCGACUACAUAUUGGUGCCUGGUGGAGAGGGCUUGUUACCAUGCAUGCAUUGUCACCAUCCCUCACGAGGGGGGGGGGGGCAGUGGCCCCCACCCCAAACAAAAUGAUUUAUCUAAAAUACAUAUAAAGGUUUUUUAAACAUAUAAUUAUAUAUAUAUUAUCACAUUAAAAAAUACAAUCAUAUUUGUUCGACUCCUUUAAUCAAAAUCGCUGGUUCCAUCACUACACACAGCUAGCUUACGCCAGGCCACCGGCAGAGCCAUGUGAAGGAGUAGGAUACGUUGCAGCCGCCUCCUCGGUCAGGCUUGAUGACUCGACACUCCACAGUGUGGGCUCGGUCUGAACGGAGCUGCAGAAUCGGCAACGCCAAACACGAGGCGCAGCCGCCCGACAUUAUUGGUGCUGGUGCCCGCUGGAGCUAGAGGACAUGUACCACACGUGCAUCGUCACCAUCCCUCACAGCUAGCACCAUGUCAAGGAGCUGAAAGCAUGCAAAGCUUUGAGUUCGUGGCUUUCCCGGUCCACAUGCACAAUGUGUGGUGUGUACAUGUAGGAACAUGGUACGGUACCACGUUCCUCGUCCCGGGAUUAGUUCAUGGUUUAAGGUGAUGUUAUUUCAUUAGUUUGUACCGACGCUAUGUUCAUUGUGUGCGGAAAGUCUAAAACAUGUUGUCAAACAACUUUUGUAGAACAGACUUAGUUCUACUCCUGAUGCUAUGAAAAAACCAUGAAGGUUUGGGGCUUUGUGAGAUGCCAGGAGGAGAAACGUUAAAUGGUAAUGCUGCUUUCUGUUCUCUUGCAGAAGAUCUCUGCAUUUACUGAAGCUGUAGAAGUUCAAACAAAAGGAGUGUAUACUGUAUAGUCCUAUGGAGCGCUCCUAAUCACAUAGUGACAAGAUGAUGCCUUUGUUAAGUCAAAAUCUAUUGUAUCUAAUGUCAAGCUUAGGCAGUUGGAUGAUGAUGUGAUAUGCCUGAGCCACUGGGAUCAAAGGAGAGGGUAGAGCUUAGCAUGAUAGAUGAAAGGUUCAGCAUGUGGACUGAGCACAAAUAAGCAAAAAAAAAAAAAAAUCCUUUUGUUGUUGGACAACGUGGACAAGUAGGCUAGUAGGGGAAAAAAUGACCCAACACUCUAUCCAAGUUCUAGACUCAAACAUUUGCCUGGUGCAAAGCUCACAUUUGCCUUGGCUAACAGAAAUUGCUAUGGUCGGUCUGGUAAUCGCACAGGUUUCACCUACAUGGUUAUGCAGACUUGACAAGACAGCUUACCAAAAAAUAAUUAUUUACUUUAAUUUCUCGUGCUUACUCUAAUGAAAUACUAUAGCAAAAAAUAAUUGUCUUAAAUGAUCUUAAUACAAAUAAUUUAUCUCAAUAUGCAAACUAUAAUAUUGUACAGUCAUCUUUUUUAGAUAAUACAAAAUCAAUUGACUUUAGCUAGCGUUCUCAUGCACAAGCAUCCAACCAAACACGUUUUUUUCAAACUUACCUGGCUUAAGCCUGUUUGCUUGGCUGAUAAGUUAAAAGUACUGUUCAAUAAUUUAUUAAGAGAGAUAAAUACUAUUUAAUAACUUACAGAUUCCGCCGAUAAUCAUCAACUCUCACACAACAAUUUUUACUGGAUAACUCACCCAGUACACCAACAAAAACAGGCCUAAAUCGUGGAGCCCGUGAUGACCUUUGUGCACCCGGCCUCAAGUCGCGAGCGCUGGUACUCCUUCCUCCACAUGGCUGUGGGCUGGUCUGGUGCCGCCUGUGAGCAAUGCAGUGUCCUCGCCCGUCGUCGAUGGGUGGGUGCAGACGUGCAGUGCAGCGACGAAGAUGGACCAAACCACGAACGAGGCUGUACCAGUCCUGACCGUCGUCGCCGGCCGGGGCCCGGGCCGUGUCCACACCAAGCGGCCGGUCGUCGUAGGUGAUGAUGAAAAUAUCGAUCGUGAUCCAUGCAGAGCGCAGUCAGCAUGCUGAUGCAUCAGUCCACCACCACCACCACUUGUCGUCUGUGGACGGCGCAGAGUUUUCUUGGCCGGCCGCCCACGUCUGACACGGCCGGUACGGACGUACGGUGAUGAGGCAGACGCCCACAUACAGCGAGGCGGUCGACCUCGCCCGUCGUCCACGGCGUAGAAGCCGAACACGAAUCUCAUUCCGCGCGGUGUUUUUCUUUUUCUUUUCUUUUUCUGCAUGACGCAAAAAGGUUUGCGUGUUUUGUGUAUGAGGCAAAAAAACGUUUGUGUGUCUUUGUAUUAAGGUAGAAGAAAAAGUUUAAUACAAUACGUCUUAGCAAAGCCUAGAAGGUUACAAGAGCUAUGCAUGGACGUUGAGCUGGCGUCAUAAAAUCUUUGGUGUUACAUUGAGAAUGGAUCUACCCGAAAAGAGACGUCGGCUAGGACACAUAUGCCAGUGCAGCCGAGCGGCGACGGCGCCACUUGUGUGUACCCACGCCAUUGUCCGGCGGGAACUGACGAAGCGUCUCCAUCUGGUCGGGGUCACAUCCGUAGAUUUCUUCGUAUGCCUUCAUGGCUGACGUGGACGGAGUCGACAUCCCGCUGCUUAGUCCUAGGCGCUUCAAGACAAGGCGCUCGCCUUGCUUAGCCACCGAGAUGUGAGACAGGCUCUGCGUCGCUAUCUGCCUUCUCCUCUUGGGGAGUGUAGGUGGUGCACAUCUGUCGAGGGCUAAAUCAUCGCCGGAUAGCUCUACGAACGGCGUCUGCCUCGCCUUCUUGACUCAUGUAAUGAAACUCUUGAGGCGACGACUAUCGGCGGAGUCUGUUUGAGGGGAAGGAGCGUUAUUGACAAUGUUUGUGGCUGCCACUCCAACCAAGACUGAAGAAUGGACCGAGAUAACCAAGACCAAAGCACGAUGUUUUUUCGAUCACCAUUUCGGUUCUGAGUCCAUACUAUUUGAUCUUUUUACGGUAAUUAGUUUGGUUAUAUACCUCGGGUAACAAUACUAACCGAACAUUUGGAUUUUGUUGAUAUAAUAUUGUUGGGGAUUCGCCCAUGUCCCCUAGUUGCUUCGGAAGCGAAGGUUACCAGGACCUUCGGACGUUGACAGGCGAAGGUUUGGGGAAAAGCUAACGCUGAAUCGGCUUAAUUCUGUGAGACACAGGUACACGAGGACCAACUUGGCGUGGAGGACCCUAAAAGCCGUGCGUGAAUCCUCCGGCCCUGAGGUGGCGGAGCACCUCGGAAGGCGGGCGCAGAUCCUUCGGCUCCAGAUUGGCGGAGAAUCAAGAGCCACUGGCGGAAGAAUGGCGAAGGUCCAGACCACGUCAGGGUUAGAACGUCGGCGCAAUAAUUUGUAAAAUAUUCUCGAGGGAGAAUUACUCAAGUAGCCCUAUAGGUCGCUGCCUAGAAGGCAGAAUAUACUAGCAUAUUCUACCACCAUCACGGGGUGUUUUAGUGACAGGUUAUGAGCGGAAACUGAGCCCUAUAUAUAUAAAGGGAUUGUAAAUGCUCAUCAAAGGGGACAGUUGGAAGCAAUUUAUCAAAACUUUUACUAUUCUAGGGUUCACGUCCCCGCCUCGUACCCCAUGCGGUUGGGUCCCUAUGGCACCGAGCGAGAUAUCCCAGCCAAUCACUGUCGGCGAAGGUUGUGAUCACUACCAACAAAUAUGUAGUGAUGCAAUAUUCAUUCUAGUAGGUUCAUAUUAACUAUCACUCUUGUCACUUUGUUUAAUCUAUAGGUUAUAUUGUAAUUUUUACCUUGGAAUAGAAACGGUAGUGCUAAUUGUGCUAAAAACUUAUGCUAUUUAGCGGUUGUUUUGUCUAGUCCAGUUAGUUUGGUCAUAAACAAGACCAAACUUGUUUACUCCUGAGUUUUAAAACUCCGUUUUUAAAUGACCGAACUUUCAAAAUGCCCGAAAUACUCCGAAUCUCAGCGAAUUUCGUCCAAUUCGGUUAGGUCCGAAACGAAUUUUAUGAUCCAAUUUCCGAAAAUUCACCGAAUUCAGCCCGAAAUUGAACCGAAUUUUUCCGAAUUUCGUCCAUUUCGGUUAGGGCCGAUUUUUUUUUCAAAAUGAAUGCCAAAACCUCGGCCGGAAUCAGUUCAUUUCGGUUAGACAAUGCAACGCUAUUAAUAAAUCCAUGGGCCCGUGAUGACAUUUCUGCACGAUCGAGCUCCGGACAGAGCAAGCACACCGAUAAUGCAUGGCGGGUGGUGUCGUCACGAGCAGGCCGCAACGCUGCAGGAGUAUCGUUCGUACUCCACAUCCACAUGGCUGGUGGGCAGCUGUGACGCCAUGGUUCAUGCAUGUCGAUCGUCUGGUGGUCGGCGAGGUCCCUGCUGGUCGGCGGGGAGCAGCAGGUGUCGUCGAUGGGUGCAGCGACGAAGGUACGGUGGACCACACCACGGUCCUGCUGCCUGCUGGUGCUGUGUACUGUAGGGCACAAAGCUGUCAUCACCGGUUCUCGCUGCAGCACCACGACGACGCUCCAGUUCUGUUCUGGUGGCCGUCGCCAGGGCCCGGCCCGUCCGCACCAAGCAGUCGUCGUCGUCGUACCAUGUCGUCUGCGAUCCACAGCGCACCACCACCACGCGACACUCAUGCCGGGGGCGGGGCGGUACGGUGGUGAGCUAGACGCCCACAGCGAGGCGGUCGCCCCGUACGUCGUCCAUGGCCGCAUGGCGUAGAAGAAGCCGAGCGCUAAUCUCACACGGCGCCGGCGUUCAGCAUGGCGCGGUGUGUCCCGGCCCGUGUUAGCAUGUGGCCGCCGCCGGCGAACUCAAGUCUGAACUCUCGACUCUCAGGGCAUGGAAUGGAGCAUUUACACUAGCGGUUGGCUUAAGUCUGUGAUAAACGUUUCCAAAGGCGGCCGAAAAUCUCUGGCACCGCCCUAUUUAUACCACAGGCGCGUCGUAACUGGAACCGCGUGUGGUAUAAAAAGGGACGCCAGCUAUGAGCAUGUUUCUACUAGUAGUUUUUGUAGGGCGUGGAACUGAAUGUUUUUUUAGGAAAAAAAGAGGACACAAAAACGGAGGAGUAGCGUUUGGAUCAAAGGAUUGUCAUGUUACCCUUCCUUAUGGAACACUGUUGCAGGCUUUUCAUUUCAAAAGGCCUCGUUUAGUUUGGGUCGGUAAAGCUUACCGUCCAUCACAUCGGAUGUUUGGACACAUGUAUGGAGUACUAAAUAUAGAUUAUUUAUGAAACUAAAAACACUACUGGAGAGUAAUUUGAGAGACAAAUCUUUUAAGUUUAAUUAGUCUAUGAUUGAAUACUAAUUGUCAAAUAAGACGAAACUACUACAACACAUGUUAAACUUUAACACUCCGAAUCAAACACCCUAUAAAAUCCAAGGUUUUCUUUUCCUUCACGAAGUACGUUAGCUACCUUAUGCACGUCAUUGUCCAAUCUCUGCUGCUAUGCACCUUGCACCCAUUAAGCACUAAAGCUUGUAUUAUUAUUUCUAAAAUUUAUCUGAUUCUACCGUUUGGAGUUCUUACAUUCCAAACACCUCUAUCUACAUCUUCCUAUGUUUUUCUAUUCCUCUGUUUUCCCAUGAUAUUUACAUUCUAUUUCUAUGUUUUUUUCCUUUUCUCUCUUUUGCAAUCCUUGGCUCCAAACAGACCCUUGAGUUGUCGCGAUCGAGCGACAGCUGACAAGAGCAACAAAAAAAAAGGCGUCCUGCUCCUUUAGUCCCCCACAAGGCUGGACGCUGGUGGCCCGGUUCUUUUUUUUUGAAAAGGUUUCCAUUAAUACAUUCAUCCACACAAAUUGCUGGAUAUUAGCAGGUUUACAGACUUAGGUAAAUAAUGGCCCUGCCACAGCAUAGAACCACUUUUACAAUUUAAACCUAUAGCUGCUAAUGUAUGAGCAACUUCAUUACAAGCCCGAGGGCAGUGAGAGAUAAUACACUCAUUAAAAUCAUAUAAAAUUCUAAAUCUAAUCUCUCUAAACAUCGUUCCCAGAGGAGAUCUAUCAAAAAGUUGAUUCUUAACAACGUUGACUACCACCUCGGCAUCAGUUUCCAGGAUGAUGUGUUCCAAACCUAACACAGAAGCUUGCUCGAGACCCUUUAUGCAUGCCAACGUUUCUGCAUGGUAAGCAUUCAUCAGAUGAUCAGCUGCACCUGCUCCUGCCAUCACAACCUGCCAUGCAUAUCAAGAAUGCCCCAUCACAGUUUAUUUUGUAAGCAUCUUCUGGGGGCACUUUCCAUCUUUUGUUUUACAACGUGUUUGAUUCUUGUAUUAGACUGCUGGUGAGUUAGAUUCCAUACCAUCAUAUGGUAAUUCACUUCGUUAAAAACUUCUUGAGCAUUGUUCCUCCGUUCACCUGCAUUAGUCUUAUUGCGCGCAGACCACCAGCACCACAUGAGUAGAAUUAUUUUCUGCUUUAUGUCACUGCGAAGUCUCCAGAUUUUGGUAAGCAUAUCUUGUAUUGUUCCUUAUUUUAAUAAAUCCACCCUCACCUUUUCCAAGUUCAGAAGCAACCAACAUAGUUUAAUGUAUUUGCAUUUGAAUAAUAAAUGGCCAAUAUCUUCAUCAAAUCUGUAGCACAUAGGACAUAGAGUAUCCAAUUUAAUUCCCUUCCUUGCAAUAUUCCCUUUAACCUGCAGUGAAUUAUGUGCCAUUUGCCAUACAAAGACCUUCACCUUAUUAGCCACAUUUAACCUCCAUAUUUCCUUCCAUUCAAAGUUAUAGGAAGCAGUACAAGAAGUUGAUGCAUCAGCUCUGGUUUCUUUAUCGCGGAUUUCAAUACCCAAGGCAUAGGCAGAUUUUACUGAAAAGACUCCCUUGGGGUCAGGGUGCCAGGCCAAAAAUCCUCUGUAUCUUCCACAAUUGGGAGAGAGAGAAUUAAUCUUGCAUCUUCCUCCCAAAAUAUGUCUUUAAUCAACUGUUCAUCCCAAUAACCUGUUGCUGGAUUAAUUAAUUCAAUGACCUUUUGUAAGAUAGAACCUCUUCGAGGUGUAAUAAUUCGCCUUAUGCUAUUACUCGAAAUCCAAGGGUCAUUCCAAAUGCUGGCUGCAGAGUGGUGGCCCGGUUCUAGCGAGCCGUGAGAACGACGAUGACGGUGGUGACGAUGUGCUUCAUGUCCUCUGCACAGCACCGCAUCAAUGGUGGCGAGUCUUAACCUCGCACCUGUAACAAUUCUGUAAUAAUUAUGAUUUUUUUUCUUUCUCUCGUCUAAUAAAAAUCUAGCAAAGCUGUUGCCGCCUUUCGAAAAAAAACUACACCGAACCAACGGUGACGGAACCAGCGAUUUUGAUUAAUGAGGGCCCAACAAAUAUAAUUGUAUUUUUUUAGUGUGAUAAAAUAUAUAUAAUUAUAUAUUUGAGAACUUUUUCAAAAAUAUUAUACUAUUUCUUACCAAAAUCAUCAUAUUUUAACCAAAAAUAAGUGAAAUUAAUAUUUUUAUGCUAUAAAUAUCAAUAUUUAUAUAGACACUCCAAGUAGAUUAUUGUGCUUGGGGAUGGGGAGGCACUGCCCCUACUAGCCCCCCCUGGUUCCACCACUGCGCACCAAUGGCACGUCGUUAUGUUGGUGGCUGGCGCCCCAGUUCAAAUAAGUUAGAUUCGUCAAUUUCCCAGCGCCGGCGUGCUGCAUCUACCGCCAAGAGACUCUUCACUUCGUCUUCAGAUUCAGCAGUGUGUGCCAUCGCCGUCGCUAUUGCCACCAUGUGAGGCCUUGUUUAGCUCCAUUUUUUUUGCAAAAUGGACACUGUAGCAUUUUCGUUUGUAUUUCACAAAUAUUAUCCAAUCAUAAACUAAUUAGGCUCAAAGGAUUCGUCUAGCAAAUUACAGGUAAGCUGUACAACUAGUUAUUUCUUUUAUUUAUAUUUAAUCCUCUAUGCAUGUGCCACAAGAUUCGAUGUGACGAAGAAUCUAAAAAACUUUACAAAAUUUUUUUGAACUACACAAGGCGUAUGAAUUGAAGUUUGCACCCGUCGUCGUGCUCUUGUGGUUACAACGACUCAGUGCAUGCGGGCUAUCUGCCCGGGUUGGCGGGUUUGGACGAGCAUCGUUUUGUUUAGUAAAUUAUUUACUCUUUUGCUGGUUUUUCUAUUCUUGGUCUGAUUUUCUCAUUUUUGUAGGAACAAAUCAUUGAUAACGAUGGGAGAAAGGGGAAAAAAUUACUCUCUCUUCCUAUAUUUUUCGGCCACUUUGUGUAAAAUUAAUUUGGAUACGCAUGAACUCCUACCUGUAAUUAGGAUUUUUUUUAUGUAGCAAAGUCCAUGCAAAGAACCUGCAUUUGGCCUCAAGAACACAUGAACAUCUCCAUUAUCGAAAAUACCAUUGGAAAAACUAUUAUGUAAUAAUGACAUGACGGUUCAAAACAAAAUCAGUGAAACUAUACAAAACAUUGAUUUCAUAUUGGGAAUAAAUACUUAGAAUAAUAGAGGAUGAACUAACAAUAGGUUGAGGUUUAAAAGGAAAACCAAUAGCAUAAAGAAGCACACAGCCAUGCAUAUCACUCCCUCACACCAUCCCAAAAUGACUCAAGUUAGGUUUGUCGUAAUUCAAACCAUACUAAAUUUUGACUAAAUUUAUAGAGAAGAGUAUAAACAUUUAUGGUACCAGAUAUUAUAUAAUUUUAUAAAUAUAUAAAAAUUUUUAUUCGGUAUUAUGAGCAUGAGAAGUAUAGUUAUUUUGGGGGUGCACGUAUGGCCGGACGUCGUAGCUGUUUGUGUGUGUGUGUGUUUUUUUUUUUUUAUGAAGGAGUUGUGCCUUUGCGUUGAUGCCUGGUUCUACGUUCCAAAUGGGCCAAGCAGGCAAGAGAUUUCACAGCCCAAGGUCCACGGCCCUGGAUUAGUAAACUUGGGCUCGGCCCACUUUGUCAGCCCAUCUGCACGAAGCCCAGCGCAGCCCAGCUCAGCCCAGGUAUGACUGGUAGUCGUCCCCGUCCUCGAGCUCGAGGUCGUGGGUUGGUGGGGGCCAAGUAACGCGCAGCCUCGCUGUCGCCAGCCUUCCACGUUUUUUUCCCCCCCUUCUCCUUCUCCCCCGCCCGGGGAAUCAAGACUCGACAGCUCCAGGUUGGCCAUCGAACACCCAUCGUCGCCAGCACGGAGGGGGGUGGGCAACUCACUGGACGCCGUGGUGGCGGACCGGCCACGACGCGUCCCCCAGCUGCACGACGAAAGGCGGGCCAGUUAAUUGCUUGACUUGAUCCUCUUCUUGGGCGGCGCGGCGUCCUGUGCCGUGCCGUGCUGCGUCCGCGACUCCGCGUGUGAAAGACUCGACCGGCAUCCCUGAUCCACAUGGCCUACCGACGGAAGCAGGGCGCCGCCGCCGCCGAUGAUCGCCGGAGCUCCUAUCCCCAGGCACGCACUCCUGCCUCUCCUCCUCCUUCUCCUUCUCUUCCCCGGCCUCCUGUCCUGCUGUGUGUGCCCCCGCUCCCGCUGGCUUGCUUGUAGUUGUGGCCUACCGUGCGGUUUCUUGGUUGCCGAUCGAAAUCUCUGAACAGAAUUAGGAUCAGGAAAAAAAACCAAAAUUGCUUCGCCAAUUGAUUGCUGAUUGCUUGGUUCCUCUGAAAGUCUUCCUCAUUAGAUAGAUGUUGUACCAAAUCAUGACGCGUGUAUACACCUUGAAGUCGGUGAUCUGAUACGCGCAAUCGCUCUGUUCCUGACACAACACUAGAUGGCAUGGCAUGGCAUGGCAUGGCAAGAGCUAGCUAGCUUCAGAUCACCACAGUGAGUCCACAACACCCUCAUGAUCUGAAUGAUAUGCUUUGGUUGGUUUGGCUGUGCAGGACUCUGCUUCGUCGCACGGCUACACAUCGUUCAAGAGCAUCGAUGAGCCCAAGCUCGGGUUGUGGCAAACUUUGGCGAGCAAAGCCAAGGGAAUCCUCGACGACGACGGGUUGGCGCAUAAGUUUGAGGAUUUGAGGAAAGAACGACCUCGUAGCAACACCACUACUGCGUCCAGCAAAGAUCAGGUGAGACAGAAAAGUGUAUCUGAAUAUCUGGACAUACUGACUGACAGUCUCAUAAGUGUACUUGUCGUGGAUGACAUUGUUUAGUUGUCUCUCUUUCUUCAGUAACGUCCCAAGUUGCCUUUCGGUUUGCAACUAAUCCCAUUUUUGUUUUGUAAUUUUAGGCCCCUAAUAACUCUCGCUGGUCAUUUGAGAACCACUGGAAGGCUGGAGAUGCCGCAUCACGGAUCAGACCUGAGGCUCUUUCUGCAUCUGUCAACCAGCUUAGUGGAAAAAUAAAAAAUGCUUUCGAAGUAAGUAAUAAUGUGCUUUUACUAUCUUUGUGCAUCUCUGUUUUUUUCCUCUCCUUCAGUCAUGGCAUAAACUUCUGGAGCUAUUUUCUAAACUGAUCACCUGUUGCUUCCUUUGUUUAACAGGAAGGGCUCACAAUUGUGGAUAAUAAGACUUCCAGUAUCAUUGAGGAAACAAAGAAAAUUCAAAUUAGAAGGAAACCUGCUGGUUCAAGUACUUAUGUGCCGAAUUCAGCAGUAGAUACAAAUACACUCAGCACUCCUAAUCUUUCACUUCGUCAGCCUGAAUCUGCUGCCCAGGAGACUGGACUGAAAGCUUCUCGCGACGUAAGGUGCCACAUGCUUAUAUCUUGAUGGCAAAUAGGUUAUUUACAUCUUCUAUGCAGAAAACCAGAAUUUUCUUUGACAUAGGAAAACCUUCAACGUUUAGUGGUCCUUAUAUUUGCAUAUCAACAUCAAAAUCUAUGUUUUGCCAUCUAAUUAGCUUAGUAAGCUCUUUUCUCUUCUUACACUGAAUUAGCUUAACUUUUCUUUCCCUAAUAACAUAAGACUAUGGUGAGAAUAAGAAAUUUGUCCUUCUCGCUAUCAUUAGAUGAAUUCUUCAGAUAAGUAAAUGAAUGAUUCUUCUGUAGUACCUAGUGUCUACCCGGACUGAUCCCUUUCUCUUCACCCCUAUAAAUUGUUUCAGGUUGCUAAUGCAAUGGCUGCUAAAGCAAAACUUCUACUCCGUGAACUGAAAUCUGUUAAAGCAGAUCUAGCUUUUGCAAAGCAGAGAUGUGCUCAGCUAGAAGAAGAGAACAAGCUCUUGCGAGAAACAAAGCAGAAAGGGAGCAAAACUGAAGAAGAUGAUGACUUGGUAUUUUUUUUUUCUGAUCACUCUUAUCUGUUAUCAUGUUGAAUGUCUCUUGGUGAAUUACAUACAUCUUGAUUUUCAAUUCAUCAAGAAUAGGUGAUAGUUCGCCACCAAACUUAUAAAGAAUAUUGCUACAUGGGAAUAUUUUUGAACAAUUGCAUCAAAGGAUCGAAUUUACAGUACUAUCCCCCUUCUGAAAAAUCAGCAUUACAUAACUUUAGAUUCAUAUGAAACAAUAUUAUAUGGUCAUGAGAAGUUUGAGUCCAGUAUCUCGUUUCAUAUUAACUAUGAAAACUGUUGGUACUGUCACUUGUUGUUUGAUAACAUCUAAAGAGUAUCACUGCAUCCUCUGAAAUGUGGUAUAUAAAACAUAUAUGGUCUUGUACUUGUGAACCAGUGAGUGUAACCUUUUUUCUCCACAUCUACUGAAUAGUCCCUCUGAACUACCCAUUGCUGAAUCAGAUUCGUGUGCAACUGGAGACAUUGCUGGCUGAGAAAUCGAGGCUGGCACAGGAAAAUUCAACAUAUGCCCGUGAAAACCGCUUCUUGCGUGAGAUAGUAGAUUUUCAUCAAUUCACCACACAAGAUGUUGUCUCGUUGAAUGAUGGCGAUAUGGAAGAUAGUGAACCAGAAGAAGACAAUGACAUCAUAUGUGCUCAAAACGUGUUGCCUGUGAUUGAAGAAAAUUCAGUAGAUGAAGAACACUCCCCUGUCCCCUCCAGGCCAGAAUCUCCAAUGGUCAACCCGGGAGAUCCAUCAUCAACCAAAUCCAGCAAUUCUCAUGAUGCCUCAAAGCCAGAUGCUGAUGUAUCUGAUGUAGCAUGAUGCAUGCGACUUUGGUGACUUAGCCAUCUUGUUUGGGAUUUCAGCUGGCAUUGGUUGUGAGUUGCGUGCGUGUGCAUAAAAUUUUGUCCAUUCUUUGUCCACACUGGUUUGUAGUUGGAAGUUGUAACAUAUUUACAGGUUUCUACCUUUGUAUAGAGCACGUAUAGUUUGUUUUUUUCCUCCAUGGGGUGUUCUGAUGGAAAACUAACUCAUGUGCCCCGUGGGAGUUUAUUGUGCAUAUGGUUUGGUUUGCAUGUAAUUACCUGUGAAUUUGACUGUUAUAGGCAAGAAAGAAAUAUUGAAGAGUGAGGUUGCAUUGCAUGUAUCUUUUAGUUUUGGUGAUCCGAUACCUUCCUCUCAUAUAGAUGAGUGUACAUCUUCCGUGGUGUCCACCCAAAAUAACACUUGGGUAGUGCUAUACGCAAAGGGUUUAAAAUCCAUUCAACAUCUUCUCCAACAAUAGGAUCCAAAAGAGAAUCUUUUCUGCAAAUGAGUUGCCAGGAGGAAGUAUACUCAUAUUUGGGUUGUGUUUCUCAGACAACCCAAAAUGGGUCUUCCGUAUAGGUAAUCUAAAGCCGAUUUUGAGUCUACUGCUAUCCAUUUUGGGUUUAGAUGCCCAUAUAGAUCACUUGUUGGAGAUAACCUUAGUCACCCAUGCUGGUAAUUUUAGCCCAACUUUUGUGAUGCUGAUCGAAAACACAUGCACAAGCCCUAAACUCAGAUUGGUGGAUCCAGUGGUGGAGAUGCUGUCAAAGAUGGUCAGUGGUAGGCUGGGUAGGGGGAGCAAGGUCAAGUCUUGCACAACCAUAUCCCUCGUGAGGGGAGAUCUGAUGUGCAGGGAGGAAGAAAGAAGGGCUGUCGUCGUCGAAUCAAGAUCUAACACUCUAAAAAUAAUGGAUUAAAUAUUUCCUUUUUGAUCCAUCUAUAAUAUAGUUUUAUACUAAUUUGAAUUGUUUUGACUGUUAAUUUAAACACUUAAAAUCCUAAAAUUGCUUUGCAAAAGUGGUUGGACAAAGUUAAUUAUGUGGUUAGUAGUUUCAUGACCAAAAGCUCUAGCCCAUGCAUGAAGGAAGAGGUCGAUGUCAAAGUAGCCAAUGCAUAAACAAAAAGGUCGACGUCAAAGGAGCUAGUUAGACUCCCCUAGAGCUUUUGGUAGUCGUAAUUUCUUUAUAAGAGAAACAUGGCAUCUAGAGUCAUCUCAUCAUGUGCAAGAUGUUGACACAUUGAUAGUAAUCUUUGUUUGUUAACGAUAAACUUUAUUAGCACAAAUGAUGAAAUUAACUAGAGUGUGCUACUAUAACACCCAGGUGUUAGUUAUAAGCUAAGAAGUGAGUUUGGACUUAAAUAAGAUAUGUCAAAUGGUGAUGAAGAGCUUUAGUUCAUAAUCUUGAAAUGGUGGUGAAGUUGUUGAGGUUAAUCUAUGAGAAUGAGCCCAACUUAAUCUUUUGGGAAAAAAGCAAAACCCUUGUGCUUAGUGUCAAACCCUUUUCAAGGAUUUGCAUGAGUAAUGUUAAAGAUGAUUCUUUCAUGUGCCUCACAUCAACUUCCAUCUAUAUUGACUAUUGGAAAAGUUUCAUGAAGUUUGAAAUCAAAAGGUCAUGUGGAAUGAAAACUUACAACCUUGCUUGAAUUGCUUUGUUUAGUGAACAAGAACAUGUGAUGUCAACCAACCUUUGCAUUCAUGCUCAAACAACUCUAAUGGAAUUCUAGAACAAGAGUCAUUAAAGGUUUGUGUUGAUCAAGUGCCAAGGAAAUGCCCCAAUAGGCCUAAAACCCUGUUUAAGCUUUAUCAAGAUGCUAUUUUGACCAACACAUGACUUUGGUUUCUAUACUAGUUCGAUGGUUUGACCAAAAAUAGAAGUGGUAGAGCAGGUUGAAUAAAACAAAGUUUGUUUUUGGUGCAAAUCCUAAAUUAGCUUCUAAGUUUGUCGAUCAGUGGACUCAAGUUUGAGCAGGAUCGUGAAUGGGUGUUGUCAAAAUUCUCACCUUCCUAUGGUUUUAGGUAAGGAUUUUGACUUAAUUAGGAACUUUAAAGAUAAGAGUAACAACCAAGGCAAUCCCAGACUGAUGAGGAUGUUUCAACAUUGAAGAUCAUAGGAGCAAACCAUUUUAAGUAAUAUUGAUGCAAUUCUUGUAUCUGCAAGAUUGGGAGCAACAUUUUCCAUGUUGUUUCCUCAAUACCUUAACAAGGGUGGGGUUUGAUCAUUGUCCAUUGCUAUUAAAUGAUGGGGCAAAUGACAAGAUGCAGUUAAUGUCAAGCAAUUUAGACCAAUUUGCUUACUGAAUGUUAGCUUCAAGAUCCUCUCUAAACCAUUGAUAGAUAGGCUUAUUGGGGUGGCUAGAAAACUAAUUGAUAAGUGUCAAACAACCUUUAUCAAGGGAAGAUAUAUACUUGAUGGUGGAGUGAUUUUACAUGCAACAUUACGUGAAAUGAAGAGGAAGAAGUUAAAAGGAGUAUUUUUCCAAGUAGAUUUUGAAAAGGCACAUGAUAGUGUCAUUUGGGUUUUCUAGAAGAGGUGUUGAUGAGAAAAGGAUUUGGACAAUAGAUGUUGACUGGAUAAUGAGUACAGUACAUAAUGGUAAGGUAUGUAUUAACAUCGAUGGUGUGAAUGAACCAUAUUUUAAAACACAUAGGGGCUAAGACAAGGAGACCCAUUACCACCUUUACUAUUUAAUUUAGUAGGGGACGCUUUAGCACACAUACUAAACAAAGCAAAGGAAAAUAAACACCUUGGGGUUUGGUUCCUAGUUCCUGGUGGUUUAACCCAACUUCAAUAUGCAGAUGAUACUAUCCAUUCUUGGAGUAUAAUGAGCACAACAUUACAAAUUUGAAGGUUCUAUUAUACUGCUUCGAAUGGCUGACAGGUCUUAAAAUCAAUUAUCAUGAAUUAGAAGUGGUGGUACUAGGGGUUUAAAAGGAAUACCAAAUCAGGGUGCCAAGUAUGUUAAACUGUCGAGUUAGGAUACUGUCUUUGACUAAUUCAGGGAUUCUAUUAUCUAAUGAUCAUGUAGGGAUUAGCUAUUUUAGUAGAAUGAUAAGGUAAAAUGGAGAAACGAAUCAACCUUGGUAGGGGAAGAACAUGACUUAAGGGGGUAGGCUAAUCCUAACAAACACUUCUCUUAGUAGUCUGCCUAUAUAUACUAUGGGGAUGUAUAAUCUAAAGCAUUGGCAGAGCUUGAAGGGGUUCAAGCAGGGGCCAACAGUAUUUAAAUCAUAGCUGAUGUGUAAACCUUUAUUACUUUCUAAACAUUAAUCAUAAAAUUAACCAUAGAUACCAUUAAAAUUCAAUUGCCAAGGGUGGGCCAUGGCCCACUUUGGCCUCCAUGUAGCUUCGCCACUUAUCUAAAGGAAGGGGUCCACCAACAAAUGGACAUAUUAGAGCCAAAUUCUUUUGGCAAGGGGCUAGUGAGAAAUCUAAAUAUCACAUGGUCAAAUAAGAGAAUGUGUUUACCUAAAGACUUUGGUGGGUUAGGGAUCAUGUAUACAAGUAUGUAGAGGAUGCUCAAAGCAAAUGAUAAUGUUGUCUAUUAUAACCUUUUGAAGAAGUACCUUAGAAGGAAAUCUUUCUCACAAUGUGAGUUUAGCAAUGGGUCUCUGUUCUAGAAGAGAUCUAUGAGAAGUCUGGGGUAUACUUAACUAGAUCUAUGUACAAAAAAUAGAAUGUUUAGAGGUGUUGUGAAUUGAACAAGAGGAUGGUCAAACUCUAAGCUCCAAUGAAAAUCCGAGUUUUCAUGUGGAUGCACAUUCAAAUUAAGCUGCAAAUUGGGGUGAAUCUGAAGAAAAAGAAGUGGAAAGGUGAUAGAAAUUGUUGUCUAUGUGGGUGUAAUAGAAACUAGUGAACACAUAUUAUUCAACUGUAUCUUGGCUAAAACUAUUUGAAUAUGUUUCAAAGAGGUUUUGGGUUGGGAUAAAUUCCCAACACAUUCAAGAAGUCUUUUAUCAAUGGAUUGCUUUACAUUCUCAUAACUAUCAUAUUAAGUUGUUCAUCUUUUCUAUUAUUAUAUGGAUGAUCUAGAAUAUCCAAAAUAGAAUGAGUAUACAAAAAGUCUUUUUGGGGUCAUUGAAUGAAACAUUUGACAAUAUUUUUUGCUCUAUUACAUAAAUGGUGCAUACUUUUGAAGGGGGAAGUUCCUAGAAGACUUGCUCAAGAGAAUGAAGACGAGGCUAUAGGAUUUCUAGCAACAAACUAAGAAUUUAGAAGUUUUUGAACCAUUGACAGGUGAGCCAUUACCUAUUUUUAUUUUUUAAUAACCUAGCCUAGAAAUUUGUUACCAUGGGGAUUUAAGAGAAUGUAGAAGUCAAAGGACUCAUUUGAAAAGAAGUUAGUUUUAUGUUAGCUUAGAGUUGUAGGCUCCAUUAGUUAUCUUUGCUGGCUUAUUGUUGUUAGCUUAGUUGGCUCUUGUUGUUUUCAGCUGGGUGCUGCUUGUUUUCUCUAGCUGCAAGUGUGGUUGGGUUGGGUAGGAUCUUUCUGUCUUGUGUAGCGUUUUGAAGUUGUUGAGUGGUAGUUGGCUCUUGCCGGUAAGCUAGCAUCCCGAGCAUACUUAAUGUUUUGUGUUGCUUUAUAAAAUAGGUUUUUCCUCCAGAGAAAAUCUCAUCAACCUUUGAUUUCUUUACAGCUAAGAUUUUUCUUUGUCUACUUCAAAUGGAGUAGGUAUAUACGACAAAAUGUAUUGGGAUUCUAAAAAUUGUGCAGCCAAACUAGUCUAACCUUGACUAAAAAUAAUAAUGGUGGCCUACAAUGUUUUUUGAAGGCUGAUAAUAUAAAAUAUUUCUUUGACUAAAAUUAAGAUGUCUUACCAAACUUCCAACCAAGAGAUGCAACCACCCCCAUGCCUGCAUUGAUUUUAAUGAUGAGCAUAUUAGUUGCUUAGUUAAUAACUUCAUUUACGUCUUCCUCCUUGACCCCCUAUAUAAGAUGCCCUGGUAAACCAUCAAAGCCCCACAACCAAAAAAUUGUCGAAGGGGCAAGGCACAAGUCUUUCAUCUUUUAAAUCUUCAGGUAAUUGAUUAUUAUAUGAUCUUGCAUAGCCUAAUGUGAAAAAUAUAUAUUUUGUUCUUUUUCCUGUAUAGUUGCAUGUCUUGUUUCACCAAACAUGAUAUAUCUAAUGGCGCCUAUCAAUCUUGGUCUUGUUUUGUGUGCUUAGCCAUGAGCUUGUGGAGGAACAAUAAGAAUGGUGGCUCUGCUGGCAGUAGUGCGAAAAGCACACCGUUGGACCUACAACUACGACUAGCACUACCAACAGAGAGGGUAGAGGUUGACCAUGGCAAUGAUAAUGAAUUGUCAUCAUCUAGCUCAUGUGUAUCAUCAAAUAUUUCAUCAGAUGAAAGCUUGGUGCUAGUGCUCGGUGGUUGUGCAUGGUGCAAGAGGUACUGCAUGGUAAUGAAGAAGGAAUUCCCCACCUGCAUCAACUGCAAGGAGCCCUGCCUUAUCGGCUUCAACUGUAACGAGAAACAUGGCUAGAGCAAGUAGAGGGUAGACCAACAUGUUAGAGGUCCUACCGCUAGGGAUGCUCAUGUUGAUGGUUAUUUGGACAUUGUGCUUGAUCUUGAGGCAUAUGGUAGAAAUGACCUUCAGUCAAUUUUGCAUUGGAUAUGGUCUAUUUGGUUCAGUAGAUAAGGCUAGCUAGCUAGUAGAGUCUAAGCUUAGUUUCCUAUAUGUUAUAUUUUUUAUGUCUUGUAUGGGGUAUGCACUAGGUGGUUCUUAAAUGAUUGUAAUUGUCACAGUGCUCUGAUUAUUGAGUUCUUUUAAAGAUUUGCUUCAAACAUGCUACUAUGAAUUUGAACAAAUUGUUGGGUUCUUCUAUGUUAUUUGGGGAAAAUAUUUCCCCGUGGGAUGGGGAUGGAGAUCUAACCCCCGAUGGGGAAUUCCCUGUUGACAUCUCUAUAGAUGUCACUUAGCUGUUAACUCUCUGUUAAAUAGUGCUGAAAAGGACAAGACUGCCCCUCUGAACAAGAUAAAUUUGGCUGUUCCUAUUCAUGCCAUUGUUUUAGAGGAUUAAAUCUAAAGUGAAUUUGCAAUCGCCCAUGUGACCAAAUAUGAAUUUUGAACAAAGUCUAAAUUUGGAGUCACCGAAUAUUUAUAACCAACAUGAACAUAUCAUUGUUUCAUAUCAGCAGUACAAAAGUCAAUAGUUUUCUAACUUGGUAGCAUAAUGUUUCCAUGAAACAUUGCAUAGACAGACCACAUCAUUUGUCAAAGUGGUUCAGAGGCCCAAGCAAAAAAAGCACAUGUUCAGGUACAUGUCACUAUGAACAGGUGCCCGAGCAAAAUAACUGCAGCUUCAGGUCACUAACUACAUACUAUGACCAUGCAAAACAGAUAAAGAACAAUUCGACAUUCAAUCUGUGUUUGAUUGAGCUUUUGAAAAGUGCUUUUGUUGGAAAAAAGCAGAAAGUCAACCAAACAGUUGAAACCUGAAGUUACUUUUUCCAUAAGCAGUUGCUCUCGUGUACUGCAGUUUUGAAAGCACCUUGAAUCCUGCUUUUGGCUUUUGGCUUUCUGCUUUUUAAAAUGGGUGAUAAUAGGGAGCUGUUUCACAGCUAUUUUAAUUGAGAUAGAGACAAAGAGUGGAUUUUAUACUUAUUUGAACCACACAGCUUGCAGCUAGCUUUUACAUAACACUUAGUUCACAACAGCUUUUUCAUGGCUCACAGCUCAUAACUCACAGCAACUUUUUCACAGCUCACAUCUUAACCAAACAGACCAUCAAUCUAGAACUUUCCUCUUAAUUCUUGUGCUGAGGGAAGGACUCCUAGUCUUGCUUCUUGUGCCCAUGGCAGGACUAUUUGGUUGCAUUGAAGCUUGCUUAUUCUUGCUCUUCUCUCCAGCCUUUGCCUUUACUUUGUCCUCUUCAUUCUCUCUUGGCUUGGAGGCAAGAACAACUGCAACGAGUGACCUAAAAGUAUUUUUUAUAUAUAUUAAUAGAAGAGAGAGAAAAGCUAGCUCUUGAUCAAGGGCUAGACUUAUACGUACAUUUCAAGAACACGUGAGUGUCAUGUGAGUCUAAUAAUACGAUGAGCCAUUACUAAAAGCUAACACUAUCGGAGAGGAUGGCUUCGAUCUAGUAACUUAUUCUUACUUUUGCUGGUUUCCUUAGGUUUAGUGUAGCUUUGCAUGAAGUUGGCACAACAGGAUACUCAAUCGAAAGUGGUUUAGGUUGAUUAGGGCCAUUUGCAAUGAAAAAACAACACAAAAAUUGACUAUUGCAAUUCACAAAGUUACCUUUAUUGUUACAUUCUAGGCAAUCUUAGAAACAUGUAUCCUUCGCUUACAUUUUGCUUCUUUCGUCGUUGAACGGUAGGCCCUGAUUCUCCAUGGUUCACUCUUUUAAGUGUUACAUUGGAAUUCAUUCUUGAUUUCUCGCUGAGGUAAUGCCAACUUCUAACCUGUUGGGAUUUAUGCUUCCUACCAUCUUUUUUCGCAAAGGGAAGGAGAGAUUUAUAUUAAAUCUUGACACGGUGCAUCCUCAAAUCACACAUGAAAGAAAAAUCUGAAAUAAAAAAUAAAUAAUAUUCUAUGCAAAUUCUUCUGUCAUCUUCUUCCUCAAUGGCUUUCCUCAAACGCCGGAGCCAAAGUGAAGCCUUUAUGUUGAAUUCAAAUGAGAUUGAUAACCCGGAGUCACUCCUCGUAGGGGCACCCAGAAGUAUCCCUCCCCUUGCAGAUAAAGGCCACAAAUUGACCGUCUGCCGAUGAAAUCUAUGCUUGCAAUGACAAUCUCGCCGUGGCAAUCACCGAAGGCAUCGUAGGACACAUGAUCCUGAUAAAAAAUCAUCUAAUUUCGUUGGAAAUUUAUUUGGGCUCAAUCCUUAGACACUAGAAAAGUACGAAAAAAAGAUGAGUCCCCUCCCCUUCUUGUCUCCGGUAGACACAUCGAAGAGGAAGGAGAUGGGCCCUAGGCGUGACGUCGUCAUCAGCGGAGCGAGGAGCAGGCAGGCUACGGUUUGACUCUUGGCGGCAGUGGCGUGAUAAGAUGCGGGCGUCUCUCCUACCGUCAUUGGAGGGUCAACUUUACCAUAUAAAACUGGUGUCUGCUAUAGAAGCUAUAGUAACACGCUGCACAGUGAUUGCAUUGCAGUGAUAGAUAAAAAAUUAAGUGUUAUGGCAGAUAAGGGAAGAUGACAAUUUUGGAUGGCGGAUAAUAUAAGGAAUGUACUCUUCAUUCAAUUCCUACAAAACAGCGCCUCAACAAUAUAUUUACAUUUGACAUAAGGCUGUUUGUUCGUCUAGUAACCGUACUCUGGCUAAUUUACAACUACUCUCACCAAGAAACAAAAUAUAUAAAUCAUGACUACAUUUCUGCAGUAUAUAAUUUGUGAAUAUAAUUUCUUCUUCAAAUAUAAGUAUGUCUAGUCAUGGCGACACAACCGACAACCGUCAUGGUUAUCCUAUUUCGGGGAGGGGGCAAGAAGGAAACGAAGAGUCACAUUUAUUCCAUGAAUGCGAGUCGACUGCUCUGCGGCUACCAUCUGGCCAUCUCCAUCUCCCAUCUCGCCAUACAGAGCAAGCCACCAAAGGCGCAAAGCUGAGCAGAGGGCAGAGCCACAGAGGCAGAGCGUGAGGCAAAAGUAAGCCUGCAAAGCCAUUGUGGCAAGGCGCCAAGGUACAUCUCCAAUGUCCACUACGUGUCUACGUUUAGUAGUUUAUUUAUUUAUUUAUUCAUUCCUUUCACUGUUUCACAGAACACAAACGGCUGUUAAUUCUAUCAUUUCUAUGGUUAACUUCCUUUUUUAAUUUUUACCUUCAAUUUAGGCAUUUAGCAUUUGAUCAAGAAUGCAAGAUGAAGAGAUCAAGAACGCUCGAUAGUUUUUUUAAGCCGAGUUCAAGCAAUGGCAACGGUGAAAACACUAGCAAUCAAUAACAAUGAUGUGUUGUGCCGAACUCUCCAGAAGAAAUGUCUACAUAUUGUAAAUGCAAUUGACUGCGUUUCUAACACAAAAUCAUUGUCUAGCGACUUGAAAUGAUGACUGGGAACCACUUCUUGAGGAGGUCAACGCUUUUCGUGACAAGCACGAGUUGAGAUUCCAGAUUAUCGCAAGUAAGUUAUUAUCUUACCUUCAGUUUUUUUAAUAUGAGCACAAAUACAUUUUUUUAUUCUUAUGAUACAUAUCUAACUUGUUUAACAUGAGCACUUGGGAUACCAAGCUAGUGAAGGACCUGUUUUGGGAAGAAGUGCUGAACAUUUUGGCCACCCCGGUGCAUACUGAUCGAGAAGAUACUGUGGCAUGGCACUUUGAUCAGAAAGUUUUUAUUUUCGGUCAAAUCGGCUUACCAUGUGCUGGAGGAUGAAGCUGAGAUUAAGCGAGUCCGACAGAGAGGUGAAUCAUCUAGACCACCAAACAGUGCUGGCAGCAAUAUUUGGAAGAAAAUAUGGAAACUCCCUGGACCUCCUAAGAUCAAGCAAUUUGUGUGGAGGGUUGCUCACAACAGCUUGGCACUCAAACAAAACAUUAGCAGGCGUGGAAUUCGACUGGAUACUAGAUAUCCGGUGUGUUUCCAUUUCGAUGAGGAUGGUGGUCAUUGUUUUUUGAAGUGCAAAGCUAUCCGGCAGUGUUGGAGGGAGUUGGGAAUUGAGAAGUUCAGACUUCAGUUUCUGCAAACCAGAACAGCUGAGGAGUUUGUAACAGAAGUGUUGAAACUGAGAACUGAUGUGUUGGAACCAAACUCGUGAUGAACAAGUCUGGCGGCGGCGGGUCACCGGCAGGUGGUGAACACGCGGCGGCUAAAACCCUACGGCGAGCUCUGUGCGCGAACAGAAAAUAUGGAAAGCAACAAGACACCGAGAUUUCGUGCCAAAUGCGGGCACCUCGCCAAUGCAAUCUUUGUUGGUUUAUAUAUGGCCUGAGGCCUUACACCCCGCCGCCACGACGCCUCCAACGAUCCUCCGAUUUUCCGGAACGCCGCUGGGACAUGCAAGACGACGUCGCGACGGGGACACAAUGCAGUGCGCGGUCACCGCGUGGUUCUUGCACAUCUUCGAACCACCGGCGAUAUCUACGCGCCUAACCAACUACGUUACAUAAAACUUCGACAGGAUUACAUGAAUGAAACACAAAGCUAAAGCUAACAAAUCACCCCCUAAUCCUGACGAACUAGAACGACGCCGAGCUUGACUCUGAAUUCCGCAAACUUCAUUCUCCCCAAGGGCUUCAUCAGAAUGUCAGCAACCUGCUCGUCUGUUCUUACAUGGUCCACAUCCAGGACGUUCUUCUCAAUGCAGUCACGAAUGUAAUGAUACCGUGUAUCAAUGUGCUUACUGCGAUCAUGAAACACUGGGUUCUUGGCUAGCUCGAUAGCAGACUGGUUAUCGAUGAGAAGUCUGAAUUUCUGAACUUCUCCUCUAUCAGCCGACUGAGCCACACUCCCUGACAGGCUCCCAAUGCUGCAGCUAUGUACUCAGCUUCACAAGAAGAUAGAGCCACGACCCUUUGUUUCUGUGAAGCCCAGGUCACCAAAUUUGAUCCAAGGUAGAAUAUGAUGCCUGAAGUACUUUUCCUAUGCACCAAGUCACCUUGACAGUCACUGUCAGUAUAACCAAGCAGGUUCAGACCAACAUCAUCUCCUUUCUGAAGCUUGCAUCCAUAGUCCAGAGUUCCUGCAAUGUAUCUCAGGAUUCUUUUGACCAAGGACCAAUGCUCCUUUGCUGGUUCCUUGAGAAAUCUACUGGCCACACCAACUGAGUAAGCAAUGUCAGCUCUGGUGUUAACUAAGUAUCUCAAACUGCCCACCACACUCCUGUAUCUUGUCACAUCAAGUUCAGAGCCAGGUACUGCAGUAGUGAGUCUCAUUCUUUCCUCCAUUGGAGUGUCAACAGGAUUGCAUCUUGCCAUGUUGCAUGAUUCUAGGAUCUUCAAAGCAUAUGCUCUCUGACAGAUAGUAAUAUGGUCUUUGCCUUGAUUCACUUCCAUGCCCAAGUAAUAACUCAAUAGUCCCAGAUCACUCAUGCUGAAAAUUGCCUUCAUCUGAUCUUUGAACUGAGCUAUCAAUUUACUGCAUGGACCACAUAUUAUUAGAUCAUCAACAUAAACUCCAACUAGAAGUAAAGAGGCUCCUGUUCCUUUCUUAUAGACUGCAUGCUCUACAAUGCUUCUCUGAAAACCCAUUGCUUUCAAUUCCAGAUCCAGCCUUGCAUUCCAGGCUCUGGGAGCCUGUUUGAGUCCAUACAGUGCUUUAUUCAACUUCAACACCUUGCCAGGGAGAGCUGCAUCAGUGAAACCUGGUGGUUGAUGGACACACACCUGCUCCUGGAGAUCACCAUUUAGGAAUGCUGAUUUCACAUCCAUAUGAUGUACUUGCCAAUCUCCAUGUGCUGCAAGAGCUAACAUUAGCCUCACUGUCUCAAUCCUUGCAACUGGUGCAAAAACCUCAUCAUAGUCUACUCCUUGCUUCUGUGCAUAGCCUUUGGCCACCAGCCUAGCUUUAUGCUUAACUAUCUUCCCUGCUGCAUCUCUUUUGACCUUGAAAACCCACUUCAGGCCAAUUGCUCUGACACCUUUAGGCAGAUCUGUCAGAGUCCAGGUGUUGUUCUCUCUGAUGGCUUUUAGCUCAGCCUCCAUAGCAUCCCUCCAGCAGGAUUGUCCGAGAGCUUCUUCAACACUAAAUGGCUCAUCAGCAGCAAGCAGACAAGUAGCACUAUACUCAUAAUUCUCCACCUCAUCAGUGUGGUCAAAUAGGUCUUGCAGAGUUCUGUACCUGAGUGGAACUCCCUCUGAGUCAGCCUCCUGCCCAUGUGGAGGUGUGACCCACUGAUGAUCUGGUUGAGCUGCUGGAGGUGUGUUCAAACCUGCAGAUCCCUGGACACUCCCAGGUGGCGUUUGGGGCCAAUUAGGUGCUGCAUUACCGUUACCAGGGCUGCCAAGGACUAGUUCUGCAUCAUUCUCCCCUGUUGCCGGAUCUGCAACAGUACCAGGAAAAUCAACAAUGAACUGAUCUGGUUGAUUCUUUCCUGUAGCAAAACUGGUCCAAUCCCAGGCUUGAUCUUCCUCAAAAAUCACGUCCCUGCUAAUAUGCAGACUUUUUGUGACAGGUUCCAGCAUCCUGUAGCCUUUAGUCCCUUCUUCAUAUCCUAUGAACACCAUUUUCUGGGAUCUGUCAGAUAGUUUAUGAAUGCCAGGUCCUAGUUUCUUCACAUGACCGAUACAUCCAAAAAUUCUCAUGUGCUUCACACUGGGUUUCCUUCCAUGCCAUGCCUCAUAUGGUGUGACACCAUUUAGGCUCUUAGUUGGAGAUCUGUUAAGCACAUACACUGCAGUUGCUACUGCUUCUCCCCAAAGACAGGCUGGAACCUUCUUACUCUUCAUCAUGCACCUAGCCAUUUCAACCACCGUUUGAUUUCGGCGUUCCACCACUCCAUUCUGCUGGGGAGUGUAGGGAGUGGUGGUGUGGUGCUUUAUGCCAAACUCACUGCAGAAAACACUGAACUGGGUAGAAUUAAAUUCACCCCCCCUGUCAGUCCUCACAGCCUUGAGCUUGCUUUCAGAUUCAGUCUCAGCUCUAUUCUUCACCUUCUUGAAAUAAGCCAGUGCCUCACUUUUGGUCUUCAACAUCUCCACCCACAUAAAUCUGCUGUAGUCAUCCACAACCAGCAAGAAAUAUGCCUUCCCACCUAAGGUUGGUGGGGUUAUCUGACCACACAGAUGAGUAUGGAGUAGUUCAAGUCCCUUCUCUGCACGAUAAUGAGCAACGCUUGGAAAAGGAAUUCUGUGCUGCUUGCCUACGACACAGCCAUCACAGACCUGCUCAACUCUAUUGAUCACAGGAAUGCCAGACACCAUGCCCUUUCGACCAAGAUCCCUCAAAGAUCUGAAAUUCAAAUGGCCAAAUCUUGCAUGCCACUUCCAAGCAUCAUCAUCUAGCUUACUCAACAAACACACUGGUGAAGUUAAACUGAAACUAUGAGUAUACAGGCAAUUUGCAGUUCUAGGAGCUGAGAUUAGCAAGGUGUGUCCAUCUAGAUCAAAAACAUUGCAUCUUCCAUCUUUCAAUGACACUUCAAACCCCUUCUCUUCAAGCUGGCCUAAACUGACUAUGUUACUUUUUAACUUGGGAAUAUAGUAAAUGUCAGUUAGUACCUUGUGCUCCUGCCGACGUCCCUGAAUCACCAUGGAUCCAAGUCCCUGUAUCUCCACACUAGAACCAUCACCAAACUUGACAGUCCCACGAAUCCUUUCAUUCAGAUGAGUAAGUGCUGCACGACAGCCUGUCAUGUGAUUGCUAGCUCCUGUGUCUAGCACCCACACACCUUCUGGACAAUCUACAGGCACCACCCUGUUUUCUGUCAGAUGCACCUGCUCAACUGAAUCAGCAGUGACAUUACAGGCCACAGCAACAAACAGAGCACCAUUGUGCUCAGCUCCACCCACUGCAACAUUAGCCUCCGGCUGCUUCUCUUCUUUCUUCUGCUUCUUGGGUCUUUUACAAUCUUCAGCCCAGUGACCAUACAUGCCACAGUUUCUGCACCUCCCUUUGCGGCGAGGUGUUCCUUCUGAAGUUAGCUUCACAGUGCCGGCGUUCUUGGGCCCUCCACCAUCUGAUCGAUGCGGCUGCUUGCCCUUUCCUUGCCCAGCUGCACUGCUACCUCCUUCUCGGCUCUGAGUGGGUUGGAAACGGUGCUUGUGUUUCUCAAGCCACUCUUCUUCUGCAAGCAUCAAACGCCCCAUCUUAUCGGUGAUUUGAUCCUCAGUGCUGACAAAACGAUCCUCGGCUACACGCAGUCGUCCAACCAAUUCCUCCACUGUCAGGGUUUUCAAAUCACAGAACAUCUCAAUAGAUACUGCAACUUGAUUGAAUCUGGCUGGUAACACACGCAGAAAUUUCUUGACAACACGAGGUUCAUCAAUUGUCUCACCGAGGGUUUUGAGGGUGGUGACGAGGUUCACGAUUCGCAUGCCGAAGUCCUCCACGCUUUCCCCGUCCUUGAACUCGACAUUCUCGAAUUCCUUGAUGAGCUUCUGGACAUUGAUCUCCUUCACGCGAUCCGCACCGACCUUCAUGGUCUUCACCGCCUCCCACGCUUCUUUCACCGUCUUCUUGGCGCCAAGUGCUCCCCACAUCUCCUUGGGGACUGAUCUCAUCACCGCACCCAUCGCUUGUCGAUCUUCGGCUCUCUUGACGUUUGUUCCGGGAUCUAUUGUAUCCCAGAUCUCGAGAGCCUCAAGAUUGAUUUGCAUCAGCAUAGCCCACUCUACAUAGUUUGAGCGGGUUAGCAUCGGCCAAAUCAACGAACUCUCCUUGACACCGCUGGACUUCGAGGUUUCGCCUCCUGUCAUCUCCUUCCUUCUUCUUUUCGCCUAGCACUGCUGUACCGUGAUCGAUUCGAGACCCACGGCUCUGAUACCAGAUGUUGGAACCAAACUCGUGAUGAACAAGUCUGGCGGCGGCGGGUCACCGGCAGGUGGUGAACACGCGGCGGCUAAAACCCUACGGCGAGCUCUGUGCGCGAACAGAAAAUAUGGAAAGCAACAAGACACCGAGAUUUCGUGCCAAAUGCGGGCACCUCGCCAAUGCAAUCUUUGUUGGUUUAUAUAUGGCCUGAGGCCUUACACCCCGCCGCCACGACGCCUCCAACGAUCCUCCGAUUUUCCGGAACGCCGCUGGGACAUGCAAGACGACGUCGCGACGGGGACACAAUGCAGUGCGCGGUCACCGCGUGGUUCUUGCACAUCUUCGAACCACCGGCGAUAUCUACGCGCCUAACCAACUACGUUACAUAAAACUUCGACAGGAUUACAUGAAUGAAACACAAAGCUAAAGCUAACAAAUCACCCCCUAAUCCUGACGAACUAGAACGACGCCGAGCUUGACUCUGAAUUCCGCAAACUUCAUUCUCCCCAAGGGCUUCGUCAGAAUGUCAGCAACCUGCUCGUCUGUUCUUACAUGGUCCACAUCCAGGACGUUCUUCUCAAUGCAGUCACGAAUGUAAUGAUACCGUGUAUCAAUGUGCUUACUGCGAUCAUGAAACACUGGGUUCUUGGCUAGCUCGAUAGCAGACUGGUUAUCGAUGAGAAGUCUGAAUUUCUGAACUUCUCCUCUAUCAGCCGACUGAGCCACACUCCCUGACAGGCUCCCAAUGCUGCAGCUAUGUACUCAGCUUCACAAGAAGAUAGAGCCACGACCCUUUGUUUCUGUGAAGCCCAGGUCACCAAAUUUGAUCCAAGGUAGAAUAUGAUGCCUGAAGUACUUUUCCUAUGCACCAAGUCACCUUGACAGUCACUCAUACCUCAAGAUUAAUAUGGAUGGUGCCUUCAAGCAGGAUUCCAGGGCUGGCGCUUGGGGCUUUAUAAUCUAGGACCAUGAGGGUUAUGCUGUCCUGGCGGGGGCGGGGAACCUCGGUCCGGUGCAUGAUGAUGCCCUGCUCGCAGAGACGAUGGCAUGCAAAUAGGCACUAGAAGCAGCGGAGCAUUUCGGUGUUUCCAGGUGGUGCUCGAUCGAGACCGACUCCUCCCAGCUGAAUGAUGUGAUCACUUCGUCAUCUAGUGACUUAUCUAUUGGUGGUGGUCUAUUUACAGACAUCCGUAGUAUUCUCCAGGAUAGCUUUAAUUGCAUAAAUAUUUGUAAGAUUCUGAGAUUAUGUAACUCGUCUGAGCACGAGCUUGCUAGUUUGGGUAUGAGUUGGGACCUAGGUCAGUUAUGUGUAUGGACUGAUCACCUCCCUGAUUUUGUAACUCAUUGGAUUGCCCGUGAUUUGGCUAAGCUUCAGUCGCUUAAUACAAGGCCAUAGAUCCUGGUUAAGGAUAAAAAAACUUGUUUAACUACAUGUCGCAAUUUGUAGGCAUGUGGAUGUGACCAAAUCUUAGAACAAAAAUGAUAAUACCACCACUCUUCCUAUUAUAAAAUAGAUAUUUUUAAUGUUACCAUGACCAACAAUUGAUAGAGUUGGAAGUUCGUUUCAGUUCUCAAACAACAAAGCUUCUAUCACUUUGUGCCUCACUAGAUCCAAGAAAAGAUGGUUUUGACAUUUGAAAGAUAAGUACACUUGUGGAAAAGUACUAUCCCGCUGAUUUUUAAAGUUAAGAUCAAGCUCAAUUGGAGUGUCAACUACCACAAUUUCAUCUUGAUGUAUGCAACCAUCUAGAGCUAAGUACAUGGCAUCACUUGCUGAUAUAAACCAUCUACUUGGGACUAGUGAGAUUAGGUAAAAAUUCUAUUUGUCGAAUGGAUGAUAGAUUGCUAAGAUUAGUCAUAACUCUUCCAGAAUCAAUAGUGACUAUUGAGAGUCUUUUCAGCCAUGAAACUUUCCAAGAUAGGAUAAAAUGGGAGAUGGCGUUUUGCAAAGCUAUAGUUUAUAUUAAAAAGGAAUUGGCAGCCAAGAAUAGUUCCAGUGAUAUUAUCAAAUCACUACCCCAGCAAACUUUUUUUGUGACAGAGGAAACCGUCAGGAAAGGUACCGAAAACCGUCAGGAAAGACUUUUCGUGACGGCCCCGUCAGGGAUAAUCCAUCAGGACCAACUGUCACGGAAAGUACACCUUCCCUGACGGAAAACCGUCAGUAAUCAUUCCCUGACGGUAGUAACCGUCAGAAAAGAAUUUUUGUGUCGUUUUUCCCGCUCCCGUAAAAUGUUUGUUGUCGGUUCCACUACCGUCAGGGAAGGUGGAGACUUUCCCUGCCAGUUAUGGUACCGUCAGGGAAGGUUCGUGCUUCCUGUUAGUAAGCUCAAUUUUUAAUAUCAAUAAGCUCAUUGAACUAUGGUCUAGUUGGUAAUCAUCGUGCUAAAUUCAAGUUAGUGGAGAUGUAAUGAAAGUACCUUCUUUUAUGUUACUAGACGUAUGCUACAUUACUUUGCUAUAUGUGUUAUGAUUGAAUUUAUACGAUAAUAUAUAUGUGUAUGAUUAGAAAUAACAUGCUAGCCAGUGCUUUCCUAUCACCGCAUGUUGUCACCAUCCACAUCCAUGCCAAACAAACAACUUCCAAAAUGCAUCACCACCUGUCAAUUUGACCAUGAGUUGAGGCUGCCGUCUUCAUCCACGACGUCUUCCAGCCACACCGUCGAACCUAGCCAUCACCCGACCCCGCCACCAGCCGUCAUCAAUCGAAUCUCCAUGUCUAGACAGAUCCAUGUUGAUUGCAGUCCAUUGGAUGGUUCAAGUCACCCACUCAAAGUUUCCAAAUCCAUGGAUCAAGUCAUUGAUUGCCGCCAUGCUCCACCUUGUGCCAUGUCCUUCCCUAGACACACCUGUGUGAGGCUUGCACAUAGUGGAACAUAACCAUCGCACCUCUCAUGAUCUUCUUCUAUGAAUCUGAAUCUUGAUACCACUUGGAUUGGAUCCGCUGCACACUCUAACACUCUAGAAGAGCUAUUCGGCAAGCCACCAUCUUUGCACACUAGGCAUCAUGUACAACAUCUAUUGAUCCAGCACCGACCAUGACCACUGAGCCUUGAUGAUCACGAGCAAUAAAACCCCAAUCGCCCUUGUACUUACUAAAAGGCUCAGACUUGGCCUAAAGGCAAAACAAUGGUUCACACCCACCCGGUAGUUAUCUUCAAGUCGUCGUCUACCUCCGUGAGAAAUAAAAAAUAACACAUGCAAAACCAUGGCCGCCGCACAAGGUGAGAGAGAGAAGGGAGGUUCACUAGUGCAAGGAGGUCUGGCGGCCGCCAGACCAUGCCAUAUUGGUGGACUUGUGCUAAUCAAAAUAAUCACACACUAUUAGCAUCCCAAAUUACCUUGAGUGUCCAAAACCGCCAAGGAAAAUACCUAAUCCACCAAGAAAAUGAUCCUUGGCCACAAAUUGUCAAUCAAACUCCAUCAAGGAUAGAAGAUAAGAGAAAUUGGUUUCCUUAGCUUUUUUGACAAUUAAGGAUGAUUUCCUCCGGCCACCAAGGAAACUAGGGCCACAUCUAAUUCGCCAAAGGGAUAAGAAAAUGUUGCAACCGCCAAGUAAAUUAGUUUUCUUGAGGGCUAGCAUCCUUCAAAAAAAUAUUUGUAACCAUAUAGGAAAUAGUUUUCUUGAGGGCCAGCAACCUCCAAAGUAAUAUAGAGUAAGAGCAAUAAAUAAAUGAGUGAAAGCCCAAUAUAAUAAUGUGCCUUAUGGGAUUCAAACAUGUGGCCUGAUGCUUCGAGUUGAAGCACACUCACCACUGCACCUCAGAGUAACUUGUGACUAAGUGAAUUAUUGUUUUUAUUUUGUAUUCACUUUAUGAAAUCUUAUAAUGCAUAUUUUGUGGUCCUAAACAAUUUUAAAUGUAAAACAUUUGAACUGAAAAAGUUUUAGAACUUGAUGAAUACAACAACAUUGGUUUAGGACGAAUUUUCAUCCGAGGUUAUUUGAAAAAUCAAAUAAAUUUGAAUUUUAAUGCUAUGAGUAUUUUCUUGGGGGUUUCCAAUUGCACCCAAGAAAAUAUGAAUUACCUUGCUGGUUUCGAAAACCACUCAAGGAAAUACAAAUUACCUUGACGGUUUUGAAUAGCACCCAAGGAAAUGAGCAAUUACCUUGCCGAUUUGUAAUAACACUCAAGGAAACAUGGAAUUCCCUUGGAGGUGAUUAGAAACUGCCAAGGAAACACCCAUAUUCUUUGGCGGGUUACUUCAACAUCUAAGGAGUACACGUUUCCUUGAAGUUCAGUAACACUCCCAAGAAAACUUUACUUUCCUUGGCAGUUUUGCUUUUGACCCUCAAGAAAAUUCCUAGCACUAAAGGUAAUUCAGGAUUGCGAUAGUGACAAGUUGGUCUUCUUUGGGGUUGCAGCCACUAUUUGGGCAAGCAUAAUGAUCUUAUUUUUGAGAAAAAAGGUGCCACCUCCUUUAUGUAUAGGCUAGCUUUAGAAGAACAUGUUGGCUGUGUUUUUGGGUAUUGCUGCAGCGUGAGGACACAAGGGAGACCACCUGAUCGGUGAACAAAGCUUUGUAAUCGUUGCUUUAGAUAUUUUCGCCAAGAAUAGAUGUAGAAACAAUAAUAGAUUUUUUUUAUUUUCCCUAUAAUUUUGUAUUCUCUUGCCGGUUGGAUUGUAAUCACCAGAUGAGCUGAAAACUUUGCAAGGACUUGGUUGUGCGUCUCACUCUGCUAGUGGGCUGUAAUCCAAUCUGCUAGUGGGCUGUAAUCCAAUCUAUACCCACACCAAUCCACGUUUCAGCAUGCAGCUUGUGUCACCAGACUAAAUUAAUCCAAGCAAUGGCGGGAACCAAACUAUUUGGCAAAUAGUCUCUACAUGAUAUAAAACAAACCCAAUCCAUGUGCCAACCCAUGGGUCCUAUCCAUUAGAUACUAAUUUACUUAUCCACGGUUGCGCUGCAUGACUCAAGACACUGCAGACGCAAGCAAGGAAGCAACCUAAAUGAUUAACUAAUUUUAAAAAAUAGCAGCAGGAAAGCUAUUAAUAGCCAAAGAGAAUGGAUUAUACAAUUCUAAAUUAGGUGAAAGAAGACUUUGACAAAUUAAGAGACAAAAAUUACAGCUCCAAACAAAUUAGGAAACUAGACAUAAUUUAUACAUCAUUUUUUUUGUUGAGAAUGGUGCUAAUGAAAAAAUAGACUCAACAUGCCAAGCAUAACUCCAUCCAGCUAAAGCUUCAUUGAAAGUUCAGUGAUCCGCUUCCUGAAUUGUCCCUUUGUAGUGAUACCAGCACAACUUCUCAGCUAUAUCAUGAACUGCUGAAGAUGAAAAAUAUAACUGUAAGAACAUUAUGCCGGAAGAAAAUAGUCUCUACUCUACAUGAUAUAAAAGCAUAGUCACUAUAAUUAUUUAAUCAUUGGCAUUCUAUAAUUGCAAAGCUCUGGGAGACUAAAGUUUCAGUUUCUGUGUAAUCUAUAAUGAACAGUUGUUGUGCAAAUGCAGAGUUCUGAAUUUGAACUUUUCCUACCACAACAUGGAACCUGAAAUCUGAACUAUAUGUUAGAUGUAUAUAUGUGAUAUUGUAUUUUCUCUUUUUUGGAGGUUCUCCUUGUAUAUGUACACAACAUGUAUACUUGCCCCUUUGGGCCUAGAAUAUGAAGUUAGUUGACCACUUAUUCUAACAUGGUAUCAAGCUAGGGUUCCAAUCCUCACCUUGCUCCCGCCGGCGCCAGCAACCCGCCCACACCCGCGCGCCUGCUGCCCGCCCUCGCCUGCAGCCUCGCGGAGAGCUUGCCGGCGGCCUUGCGGUCCGCGCGCCGGCGCCCGUCCACCCCUGCUCGUCCGACGCGGCCUCGCCCGGCGUCCGCCCUCGCCCCGACGCGGCCUCGCGAAGGGCGAGCCGGCGGCCUUGCGGUCCGCGCGCCGCGCCUCUGCUCGUGCGCGCCAGGCCGGCGUCCACCCUCGCCCCGACGCGGCCUCGCCCGGCGUCCGCCCUCGCCUGCGGCCUCGCGGAGGGCGAGCCGGCGGCCUUGCGGUCUGCGCGCCGCCCGCCCAGGCCACCGCGGCCUCGCCCGUUGCGGCCCGCGCGUCCUCUGUCUGCGUUCGGCUGCUUCUCCUCUCUUCCCAAAAAAAAAAAAAAACAGCCGAGAGGGGAAGCAGGACACGGUUUGUUUCCAUGGCGUCCCCCAGCCGCACUCGUCCGGGUGCCAUUCCUGUUCCCAAGUGUCCAGUCAUCUUCAAUGGCACAAACUGGGCCGAUUUUGUUUUUCAUAUGGAGGUGCACAUGGAUGGGCAGCUGCUGUGGAACUACCUUACGGGCGAUCUGAUCUGUCCUACUAUUCCAAUUCUUCCUAAGCAGCCCACCUAUCCUCCAGAUGCUGAUGAUGCAGCCAAACAUGCUCUCCUUGAUGCAUUUGAGGCUGAGAUGGAGACCUAUCAAUCUGAUCUUGGCGUCUAUGAGACUUGGCUGCGUGAGGAAAAAUCGGCCAAGGCCAUCUUACUUGCAAGCAUAGAGAUUGAUCUUGCACGCUCCCUCAGAGGUCUUGCCACCUCCCACCUCAUGUGGGAAUAUCUUCGUUGCAGUUAUGAGAUCCGCAAUGAGGCGAUGUACCUUGCUGUUGUUGAGGAGGCACAGUCACUUCGUCAGCUUGAUUCUACAGUUGACGACUUCCACCGCAAGAUGACUGAUGUCUGGCAUCGCCUAGACAAUUUGGGGGCCGAGUUCUGUGGUGGUGGUACUUGUCGGUGUUGUGACCGGCACCGGGAGCAGCGCGACACACUCCGUCUCCACGAGUUUCUCUCUCGGCUGCGUCCAGAGUUUGAGACUGUUCGGGCACAGCUACUGACUCGUCGCCCGCGCCCGUCGCUUGCCGAGGCGAUGCCUGAGCUGCGAGCUGAGGAGACUCGUCUUCGGACUGGAGGGGUCAGCCAUCCUCAACUGCAGCCGGCUGUUCUGGUGGCUACACCCCCACCAGUCUCCCUACCUUCGCCCCAGUCUGCGGUGGUGGCGGGGGUCCCCUCUGGUGUGCGGUGUGACUACUGCAAGAUUUAUGGUCAUGAGGAGAAGGAUUGUCGUAAGAAGCAGCGCAACCGCUAUGACGCCGUGAUCGGCGCCACUCUUCAGGCUCUGGUGGUUCCUCUACUCCGCAGGGCACUCGUUCUGUGUCUGCAGCCGAGCAGGAGGUUCUUGCUCUGUUCCGCCGCCUCACUACUGCAGCUCAGGCUCACGGGACUACAGCUCAGGCCUCUGGUUCCACACCUCCUCCUCCUCCGCCAUCAGGUACAUCACCACCGUGGUUUCUUGAUUCUGGUGCCUCUUUCCACAUGACACCCCAUACCACCCAUUUGUCCUCCCUCUCCCUGUCAUCUUCUGAUUCACCCAUCCUUGUUCGCACUGCUGAUGGCACUUCUCUUCCUGUUACUGGGAGAGGUGUUCUUUCGACUUCUUCCUUUGAGGUUCCUAAUGUUUCGCAUGUUCCUCACCUCACCAUGCAACUUCUUUCUGCGGGACAAAUUACUGAUCAUGGUUGUCGCAUUAUUCUUGAGUCUGAUUCUUGCUGUGUUCAGGAUCUUCGUACGGGCCUUUUGGUGGGAACUGGGCCUAGGCGUCGGGACUCACAGCGUCUUUGGGAGCUUGAUUGGUUGCGCCUUCCUUCAUCUGUUUUGCUCCCUCCAACACCUGGUUCUCCGGCGUCGGCAUCAGCUGCCUCAUCCACUACCUCUUUUGUCCAGUGGCAUCGUCGUCUUGGUCAUCUCUCUGGUGCUCGAUUGUCUAGUCUUGUUGGUAGUGGUGUAUUAGGCCCUGUUUCUGGUGACACUACUCUGCAUUGUACGGGUUGCAAGCUUGGCAAACAGUUGCAACUCCCCUAUUCCUCUAGUGAGUCCAAGUCCCAGAAACCUUUUGAUCUUGUUCACUCUGAUGUAUGGGGUCCUGCACCCAUAACUUCAAAAGGAGGGCAAUCCUAUUAUGUUCUGUUUAUUGAUGACUAUUCGAGAUUUACUUGGAUUUAUCUGAUGUCCUCUCGAGGCCAAUUUCUUUCUAUUUACCAACAAUUUGCUACCAUGGUUCGUACACAGUAUAACUCUCCCAUUCGUGUUUUUCGUGCGGACUCUGCUGGUGAGUACAUUUCCACUGCCCAUCGCUCCUACCUUGCUGAGCAGGGUACUCUUGCCCAAUUUUCAUGUCCUGGUGCUCAUGCUCAGAAUGGUGUUGCAGAGCGCAAGCAUCGCCACAUUCUUGAGACUGCUCGUGCUCUUUUGAUAUCCUCUGCCCUUGCUCCUCAUUUCUGGGCCGAGGCUGUCUCUACGGCGGUUUUCCUCAUCAAUCGCCAACCCUCCACCUCUCUUCAGGGUAGCACUCCCUAUGAGCGUCUCUUCAGCAGCCCUCCUUCCUAUGCUCAUCUCCGUUGUUUUGGUUGUGUCUGUUAUGUUCUACUUCCACCUCGUGAGCGCACCAAACUCACUGCUCAGUCUGUCGAGUGUGUUUUCCUUGGGUACAGUACGGAGCAUAAGGGCUAUCGGUGUUAUGACCCUGUUGCUCGGCGGAUGAGGAUCUCUCGGGAUGUCACCUUUGAUGAGUCCCGCCCUUACUAUCCUCGUUCUCCCUCCGGUCAUCCUAACACCGUUGAGUCCCUCUCUUUUCUUACUUUACCUGAUUGGUAUCUUCCUCUGUCUCCCUCCUCGACACCUCCUUCUAUUUCUCCAUCCUCGCUAUCUCCUUCUUCAUCCACUCCACCACCGCCACCACCACCACCACCACCACCAGUAGCCUCUCCACCCCCGUUGUGUUCUUCCCGUGAGAUCACUCACGUCUAUACUCGUCGUCCACGUCCUGCUCCACCCAUUGACUCUUCUCCGUCCCUCCUUGGCCCUAUUCCUGGGUCUCCUCCUCGCUAUGAUCUUCGUGAUCGCAGCACCCUUCGUCCUCCCAGGCGCUUUGGUUUCACCGCUACUGUUUUAGCUGAGCCCGCGACCUAUCGGGAGGCUGCUCAUCAUUUGGAGUGGCAGCAUGCUAUGGCUGAGGAGAUUGCAGCCCUUGAGCGUACUAGCACCUGGGAUCUUGUUCCCAAACCACCACAUGUCACUCCUAUCACUUGCAAGUGGGUUUACAAGGUCAAAACUCGCUCUGAUGGUUCUCUUGAGCGCUACAAGGCUCGCCUUGUGGCUCGUGGUUUUGAGCAGGAGUAUGGGAUUGACUACGAGGAGACGUUUGCUCCUGUUGCUCACAUGACCACUGUUCGGACCCUUCUAGCUGUUGCCUCCGUUCGUCAAUGGUCAAUUUCGCAAUUGGAUGUCAAGAACGCCUUCCUAAAUGGCGAGCUUCGUGAGGAAGUCUAUAUGCAGCCACCCCCGGGUUACUCUGUUCCUGCUGGAAUGGUCUGUCGGCUGCGUCGUUCCCUCUAUGGUCUCAAACAAGCUCCUCGCACCUGGUUUGAGCGUUUCUCCUCUGUUCUCAUUGCUGUAGGCUUCAAGCCUAGUGAUCAUGACCCUGCUCUCUUUGUUCACACGUCCUCUUCUGGUCGUACCCUUCUUCUCCUCUAUGUUGAUGACAUGAUCAUCACGGGAGAUGACUCCCAAUUUAUUGCUUUUGUGAAGCAGCACCUCAGUGAGACCUUUCUUAUGUCUGAUUUGGGUCCUCUUCGUUACUUUCUUGGUCUUGAGGUUACUUCCACCUCUGAUGGUAUUUUUCUUUCCCAGGAAAAGUACGCUCAGGACCUCCUCUCACGUGCUGCUCUCACUGAUCACCGUACUGUUGACACUCCUAUGGAGCUGAAUGUUCACCUCCGACCCACUGAUGGUGUUCCUCUUGCUGAUCCUACUCGCUAUCGCCAGCUUGUUGGGAGCCUUGUUUAUCUUGGGAUCACUCGCCCGGACAUCACACAUUCUGUUCAUAUCUUGAGUCAGUUUGUCUCGGCUCCUACCCAGCUCCACUACUCUCACCUUCUUCGCGUUUUGCGAUACCUUCGUGGCACCACCAGCCGUCGCCUUUUCUUUCCUCGCUCUAGCUCACUCAAGCUCCAGGCGUACUCAGAUGCCACUUGGGCAAGUGAUCCCACUGAUCGCCACUCUCUUUCUGCUUAUUGUGUUUUCCUUGGAUCCUCCUUGAUUGCCUGGAAAACCAAGAAGCAAACUGCUAUAUCCCGCUCGAGUGCUGAGGCUGAACUGCGUGCUAUGGCAACUGUGGCUGCUGAGGUAACAUGGCUUCGUUGGCUUCUUGAGGAUUUUGGUGUGCCUCUCACUACACCCACUCCUCUCUCCACUGACAGCACUGGUGCGAUCAGUAUUGCUCGUGAUCCGGUCAAACAUGAGCUCACUAAACAUAUUGGUGUUGAUGCUUCAUACAUGAGGUCACGGGUGCAUGAUCAGGUUGUGUCUCUCCAUCAUGUGCCUUCCGAAGUUCAACUAGCUGAUUUCUUCACCAAGGCACAGACCCGGGCUCAACAUACAUUUUUGCUUUCCAAACUCAGUGUUGUUGAUCCACCAUGAGUUUGAGGGGGGGUGUUAGAUGUAUAUAUGUGAUAUUGUAUUUUCUCUUUCUUGGAGGUUCUCCUUGCAUAUGUACACAACAUGUAUACUUGCCCCUUUGGGCCUGGAAUAUGAAGUUAGUUGACCACUUAUUCUAACACUAUAUACCACCAUGCAGUCCACUAGAACUAAGGUCAUACAACUUUACUUCAUUCAACUCGUAUAUACCUAAUAAUUUGAGCUAGUGUCAUAGCAUGCUAUUCCGCCAUGAUCCAAACUGCCUGCACAAAUGAGCUACUUGUGGUGGCAACAUUCUGCUUUUGCAUGAGAAAACUAGAAUUCAGCUUAUCCAACAAAUGUAGAGAAACAAAUAUCCCUCUUUACAAAUACAGUGGCUUUCUAUUCGUUCAUGUAGGUUCUAAGAAAAGUUCGUGAAAUAUCAGACUAUGCAGUUCUAAUAACUUACCAUUCAAAGCUGAAGAAUGAUAUGCACCACAUGCUACUUGGAUUACAUGGAUACUUUUCAGACUAGGGACAAGCUGUGGCCUCCAAUCACUGAAUUUGCUGGAAAUGAUACACAAAAUGCAAAUAUUCAGCACAUCAAUAAAUUAAUCCAAAAAAUAUUUUAUCAAUAAUCCGGAUUUUAGGUCGAAUCCGAUCCAAACAUUGCCCUUACACAAGCUAAAAGGUACAACACAUGGUAAAACAUUUACUAGCAGGUCAGUGUUAAAAUGCUGUUUAAUGACACUGAAACUAGGUACAGACUCAAAAUUUUUUGGAUAACAAACUACUAGUGGUGCUCCGGACAACAAACACACAAAUCUACAACAAGCCGGAUGGGCUGGGGCUUCCGAAUUUCAUCCCGGCCAGCAGGAUUCAGAUUCCAUAAUUCCAUUGCCAAAGAGCAAACAGGAGAUGCUGAUUCCUGCAGAACAAAACUCACGCUUUGAACAAUACAACAAUCCAUCCUAGCAACCCAAUGCUUCCUCACCAGCGAAACAAAAGAAAGUCCAGAUGGAUCCCAACUCCACGGCAACCAGCAGUAGAGAGGCAGAGGAGGAGUAGCCCGAGUAGUAGAUGAUUCUUGGUCGAGUAGAGUAGCUUCGGUUGAGUUGAAUACAGGGCAGGGCGGUCGCGUGCUCCACGGUGUGGUGGGGCUACAAGGCAACUGGUUCACAGAAAUGGGGAAGGCAAGAAGAGGGUUCGAGACUGGGGCGGCAUCCGUGAGGUGUGCGACGGCGAAUUGAAGGCGGCCGUGCGAAAACGGAGAAGGCGAGAAGAGGGUUCGAGACUGGAUAAAAUAGCCUUAUGCGGUGUGUGAAGCGGCGGCGGCGGCGGCCAUGCGUGUGCGAAGAGGUAGAGUCUGAGCGUACAUGCAAUGAGCGGUUGAAUAUGUUCCACAUUCAGUUGCACAUUAUAAAGGCCGACUUCUGACGGAGCGAAGCGGAGGCCCGUACGGCGUUGUAACCCAACUCUUGAUAAUAUUGAGGAGUGUUUGCUGGCUGGCGCCCGUGGUUUUUCGCCUUCGCUUUGGAGGGGUUUUCCACGUUAAAUCUUGUGUCUCCACUAUAUUUUGAUCUCAUGUUCUUCGUCGUUUAUCCGCCGUUAUUCACAACAUGAGCUACGUUGUGGGCUGUAACCUGUGUGCACCCAUGGACUGGACACCACGUAGAACCAAACCAGCCCAGUCCAUUAGACCCGUAGCCCCAAAUCUAUCUAGCCCAUGACGAACAUGAAGACUAUUGCUUCCAAUCCAGAGCCAUUCGAUGCACAAUCCAAACCGUUAAAACCAUUCCAGUCCAAUCCACUAGCAGAGUGAUGUGCGUCCACAAAGCGGUAGGAACAUUUCCUUUUUUUAAAAAAAAAAUGUACUUGUUCAGAUGCCUUCCUUCCUAUGUAAUCUUCGCAUGUUACUUUGUUGUUUGUUCGUUCAGAAAAUCUUUCUCGUUUGGAUGUGAGCGCAUCAUCAGAUGAGGCUGAUGAGGAAGUGGUGCUGCAGUUUCCACCCUCCAGCUUGUUGAGAAAUGUCCGCUUCCUUGGGUGUAUGAAUCUGAUCCUGCCUGUGGAGGAAGAGGAAGGUGCUGGAUUGUGUGGCCUCUCGUCGCUCGAGUCCGUGACCGUAAUAAAUUGUGACAAGCUAUUCUCUCGGUGGUCCAUGGGAGGAGCAGCAGCUCAGACUCAGAGCACCAUCUACCCUCUCCCCCCUUGCCUCAAGGAACUCUGCCUUUAUUAUCAGCAAAGCACUCUGCCAAUGGCUCUGUUCGCGAAUCUCACAUCUCUUACCAGUCUAGAACUAUAUAAUUGCAAGGAUAUCACAGUGGAUGGGUUCGAUCCUCUCAUCACAUUCAACCUCGAGCGUCUGGAGGUGUACAACGGGAGAGAUGGUGAGGCUGAGCCCUAUUCUGUAGCAGCAGAUCUACUUGCAGCGGUGGCAAGGACCAAAACAAUGCCCGCCGGUUCCUUCCAACUGGUUCGACUUGAUGUGGACAGCAUCUCUGCUGUGCUUGUUGCUCCCAUCUGCACCCGCCUGUCGGCUACCCUCCAGAGGUUAUACUUCAGGUAUGAUUGGCGGACGGAGAAGUUCACGGAAGAGCAGGACGAGGCGCUUCGGCUCCUCACAUCUCUCCAAGCCCUGUGGUUCUUUGACUGCAGGGCUCUGCAGUCCCUCCCUCAAGGCUUGCAUCGCCUUCCUUCUCUCCAGGAAUUACAUAUCAGGGGAACUCAAAAAAUCAGAUCGCUGCCCAAGGAGGGCCUCCCUGACUCACUGCGACUGCUAUCCAUAGAUAAUUGCUGUCCCAAGAUUUAUGAGGAAUGCCAGAAAUUAAGGGGAACAAGGCCAGAUAUACAUACAGUUGCCUUCAUUGCUCGAGCGGAAAGGUGAAUCUCUGCUUCUGCAUGCCUUUCACGCACUCAACUCUUCAGUGUACAUCGAUCUGCAGGUUAGUUCCAAAUUAAAAACAAAAACACCUUUUGCUCCUCGAUUUAUGAUUUCAUUAACUGUCCAAACUGAAUUGUUUUUUUUGUAGACUGAAUUUACGAUCUAUAAUUUGAGCUCCUAACAUCUCUCCAAAACCUAUCGUUCGAAGACUCUGCAGCCCUGCAGGCCCUCCCUUCUCUCCAGGAAUUACAUAUCAAUAUAUCAUUGCAACUCAAAAUAUCAUAUGGCUGCCCAUAUCUGAUUUAUUAGGAAUGACCGAAAUUAAAGGGAACAAGGCCUCUGUUCAUACAGUUGCCUUCAUUCCUGACGCGGAAAGCUGAAUCUCUGCUUCUCCUGCCUUUCACGCACUCCAACUCUUCACUGUACACCGAUCUGCAGGUUAGUUCCAAAUAAAAAAACCAGCUUAUAUGCCCUAGGAUUUAUGGUUUUAUUGACUGUGCAAACCGAACUAUUUUAUUUAUUUUUUUGCAUAUAGAUAUGACCCAUUGUCAUAUGCUUCUGUGCUACAAUUGGAGCCACCAUUCCACUAUUCAUGUCUUAUUUCUUUAUCCAACAAAUUUCUAGCAUUUUUCCUGAAUAUUGCAUUGUUUCAAUGAAUCUCAUACUGUGAAUUGGUACUUUCACGGAGAAAAGAGAAUUGUUUCAAUGAAUAAAGACCAUGCCACUAUUAGUUCAUUCUUGUUGUGGCAUGUCGUCAUGAAUUGUGUUUUUUUGUAGACUGAAUUUACGAUCUAUAAUUUGAGCUCCUGACAUCUCUCAAAAGCCUAUCGUUUGAAGACUGCAGGGCUCUCCAGGCCCUCCCUCCUCUCUUGGAAUUACAUAUCAUUGCAACUCAAAACACCAGAAAUGAAAAGAGGACAAGGCCAGAUAUACAUACGAUUGCUUUCAUUCCUGACGCGGAAAGCUGAAUCUCUGCUUCUCCCUGCAUUUCACGCACUCCAACUCUUCACUGUACACCGAUCUGCAGGUUAGUUCCAAAUAAAAGAAAAACAGCUUUAUGGUUUCAUUGACUGUGCAAACCGAACUGUUUUAUUUAUUUUUUGUAUAUAGAUACGACCCAUUGUCAUAUGCUUCUGUGUUACAAUUGGAGCCCCCAUUCCACUAUUCAUGUCUUAUUUCUUUAUCCAACAAAUUCAAUCUCUCCGAUCCUACAAUUUAAUUUCUGGAUCAUAUCAAUUUCUAGCAUUUUUCCUGAAUAUUGCAUUGUUUCAAUGAAUCUCAUACCGUGAAUUGGUACUUUUAGGAAGAAAAGAGAAUUGUUUCAAUGAAUAAAGACCAUGCCACUAUUAGUUCAUUCUUAGUGUGGCAUGUCAUGAAUGGCUGUGGAUGGCUUAUUUCCUAGAUCAUGGUGCAUAUGCCUUGUUGAUGAUCUGAUACGCAAAAUCGCAUUGCUUCUGUUACAUGACAAUAAGGUUAUAUGCUGGCUUGCCUUGCAGGACUCUGCUUCAUCAUACGGUUACACAUCAUCGUUCAAAAAACAUAUAUAAUGAGCACCUAACUUAGAUUGUGGCAAAUUUUGGCAAAGAUCAGGUGAGACAGUCACAAGUGAAGUUCCGUGUAUUCCAUUCUGUUUUUCCUUUUAGAGCUCUUGUGACUUUUUUGUAGUUUCAGACCCUUGACUUUCGUUGGUCUUUUGAAACCACUGAAGGCAGGAGAUGCUGCAUCAUGGAUCAGACUAGAGACUUUUUCUGCAUCGGUCAACCAGCUUAGUGGCAGAACGAAAAAUGCUUUUGAAGUAAUGUGUUUUACUUAACUAUGUACAUCUCUAUAUAAAUGGCAUAAUCCUCUGGAGCCAUUUUAUAAAUUGAUGAUCUGUUGCUUCCUUUGUCAGGACAGGCUCACAAUUGCUUCAAAUUAGAAACAAACCUGUCAGUUAAAGUUCCUAUAUGCCCAAUUAAGCAGUACAUACACCCAGCACUCUGAUUCACUGCGAGUGCUAUAGAUAUUGCUGUGCUGAGAUUAAUGAGGAAUGCCAUAAAUUAAGCGGCACAAGGCCAGAUAUAAGUAUAGGUGCCUACAUUGCGUCUGUGUUCAGCAUGCCUUUGAAUCUACAGGUUAGAUCCAAAUUUAAAAAAAAAAACAGCUUAUUGUGCUCCUCGAUUUAUGAUUUCAUUGACUGUGCAAACCAAUCCUCUUGUGGCAUGUCACGAAUAAAUAUAGAAAAUUGCUCAAUAAAUUCCAUGUCCUUAUAUUAUGUUAGAGUAAAUAGGAAUAGUACCACAUUGUGUAUCCACAUGAGGUGCUAGUCCUAUGUACCCUAUAUAAUCAGCCCAUGAGACCCAAUGCAAUAUAUCAAAUAUUCAACCAAUUAUAUUUUCCUUCAUGGUAUCAUUCACCUAGGUUUAGAUUCUAACCCUAGCCGCCACUGCUUCCGCACUGCGCGACCCCGGAGAGAGGUCGAUCUCCGCCAGGGGCAGCGUCCCUCUUUCGGCGUCCGAUCCUAUUGAUCCGGCUGCCAUCGUCGUCGCACAACAGAUCAGAAUCUCCCCUAUGUCAUCGCCAGGUUGCCGCCGCCGCCUCGUCCCCAGGCUCGCCGCCGGCUGUCGCCAUCAACACCUGAUCAUCAUCGCAUGGAAGCAGAUGGAUCUCGCCCUGUCCCGUGCCGUCGUGGUGGCGGCUAGGGCUGGCCACACGUCUCGACCCUGCGCUGCCAUGGAGGCAGCCAGAUCUGGCGUGUCCCUGUUGCCGAGCGGAUAUGCCCAUCUCCACCUCGUCGAUAUGCGUUGGCGCCUUCGACCCCGCGUGUUCGUGACCCGCCGUGCGCCUUGCGCUGCCCGAUCGGGACGCACCGCCGCUGUCGUGUCGUCUUGCUGGGUACACCUGAUCUGUUUUUACUGUAUCUUUUUGGUUUGGCGGAUCACUGAUCGGGAUUGAGUCACCCACCGCCCGUCGAGCAUCGACUUCAUCGACACUGUCUCCGAGUACUACGUGCAUCUUCUCUAAGCAACAGGGCUACUAUUGUGUCGCCUCAUUGGGCCACAACACUGUUAUCCAUGUGUACGCUUCGCCGUUGCAUCUUCAUCGCCGUCAUCUGUGCAUCGACGACUGUGCUGCGCAAUCCCUACUGUGCCAUCCGUCUGCACAAGGUCUUCGUCGUGCUGAUUGGGUCUUCGUCAUCGAGCUACCACUACCCGCGUCGUCGCUGAGACCUACUCGUCGACACGUCUUCUCUCGCAUUGCUUCUUCUUCAUCCAGCACAACCACACGGUUGGGGCCCUCUCUCUUGUAUGCUUGGUAUUGGCAACACCGACGCGCGCUUUCGUCCCCGACGCGUUGCUGGAUCUAGCAAAUCCAGCUGCUCCUCGGCGCUCAGGCGGCUUGACUGCAUCGACCCUCCCGUUCCCACCCCGUCUGCCUCUAUUGCGUCAUUGCCUUUCUUCUGCGUCUACGACGGCCCUAACUGCGUCGACUUCGCCAUCGUUCCCUCCCAUGAUGACUGCCUUGACGCGUCUCCGUCAUUACUAUGGCGCCCCUUGUAUGUCUGCAGCUCCAUCGACACGCAACCCAACCACAACUACGUCGACUUCGGCCAUCUUCAGCACAGCUUCUUCGACCACGACUAUUGUGCCCUUACGCUCGGCUACCUCGACAUUGGCAGAAAGGGCUACCGCCUUGCAUGGACUCAUCGGCUUCUUCCCCAGCCAUAGCAUACGCGGCGGAUAGACUGUUAUGACUGCGGGGGAUGUUACUUAUCAGCUUCUUCUCCAGUCUUACCGUCUGUAGCGCUUCUGCUGUAACUGCGGGGGGAUGUUAGAGUAAAUAUGAAUAGUACCACAUUGUGUAUCCACAUGAGGUGUUAGUCCUAUGUACCCUAUAUAAUCAGCCCAUGAGGCCCAAUGCAAUAUAUCAAAUAUUCCACCAAUUAUAAUCUCCUUCAUAUUACUUAGUUGAUUCCUCUUGUGGCAUGCCAUGAAUAACUGCUGAUUUUUUGGUGCCACUCCACCUUAUUAUAUUAGACACCCUAAAUCAUGAUGCAUAUGCUCUUUUGGUGACCUGAUAUUCACAAUUCUCUUGUUUCUGUCACAGCACUAGUGGUUGCCCACAGCACAGUGAGAUGAUAUACUGGUUUUCCUUUGCAGGACUCUACUUCAUCAUCAUGUUACACAUCGUUGAAAACCAUAAAUGAGGCCAAGUUUGGGUUGUGGCAAACUUUGGCAAGUAAAGCCAAGGAAAUUCUCAAUGACGAUGGCUUGGCGCCUAAGUUUGAGGACUUAGGGAAUAACAACCUCCUAGCAAAACCGGUGCAUCCAAAAAAUAUCAGGUGAGACAGCAAUCAUAUCUGAAUAUCUGAACAUAUUGACAUCGUGUAUGGCAUUGUCUCUCUCUUCAUUAAGAUUGUUCCAGGCUUUCUUUUCUUGUAAUUUUAGACCCGUAACUCCCGUUGUUCAUUUGAAAACCACUGGAAGACAGGAGAUGCGGCAUCACAAGUCAGACCUUUGAUCAUUUGAAAACCACUGAGGCUCUUUCUGCUUCUAUCAACCAGCUUAGUGGAUGGAAGAAUAAAAAAUGCUUUGGAAGUAAUGUGUUUUUACUUAACUCUGUACAUCUGUUUCUGUUUCUUUAUUUCUAUAAAUGGCACAACUCUGAGCUGUAUUGUAAAUUGAUGAUCCGUUGCUUCCUUUGUUUAACAGGAAAGGGGUCACAAUUGUGGAUAAUUAGACAUCCAGUAUCAUUGAGUUGAGGAAACAAAGAAAAUUCAAAUUAGAAGGAAACCUGCCAGUUCGAAUUCUCAUAUGCCGAAUUCAGCAGUAGAUACACAUAAACCCACGCUCCUGAUCUCUCACCAUUAACCUGAAUCUGCAGCCCAGGAGACUGAACUGUACGCUUCUCACGACAACAGGUGCCACAUGUUUGUAUCUUGAUGACAAAUAUGAUAUUAUACAUCCUCUAUGAGAGAAACAUGUAGUCAUCAUUGUUGUCGGAUCAACAUUAAAUUUUAUGUUUUCUAGUCUUAUGAAAUGGGUUACGGCAUUAGUUUUCGGUAUAUUACAUGAAAGCAUAAAGAUGUUUCUAUUUUCUACUAAGAAAUAUUUCUAGUUCCUUUGUUGAUCUACUUAUUUCCUGUUCCUUUAUUUUGCCAAUCUAUUUAUUUCUAGUUCCUUUACCCAUUACGGAGCUGUAGUGUAGUCGAGAAUUGAUUGAGUGCCAGCUGAGGUUGCCUAAUGUUUUCUUAUGGUUUGUAGCAUUUCAAAAUAUAAGCAUUGCUCCUACCUGAUUCGUUUAAAAAAAACAAAAAAAAAGCUAAGCAUCGUGACCAGCAGAAUAGCAGAGUAAGCUCUUUUAUGUGCUUACAUUUUUUUUUUGAAAUAAUUGUACUUACAAUGAAUAGUAGAACUGUUUUUUUCCCUCAAAACAUAAAUUUUGUCUUUUCAGUGCGUUAGAUGAAUGGUUCAGAUAAGUUAUUCUUUUGUAGUAUCUGCCAGCAAUGAUCCCUUUCUCUUUUCCCCUAUUAAUCCUUUCAGGUUGCUAAUGUAAUGGCUGCUAUAAAGCGAAACUUCUACUCUAUGAGCAAAAAUCUGUUGAAUCGAUCCAGAUUUUGUGAAGCAGAUAUGUGCUCAGCUAGAAGUACUAGAAGCAAAGCAGAAAGGGGAUAAAACUGAAGAGUGGUAAUCUGUUUUUUUUUAUCAAACUUGUUUCUUAACAUGUUUAAUGUCUUUUCGUGAAUUACAUACACCUUUGAUUACUCCUUCGAUUACAUACACCUUCAAACUUGCAACAAUCUUUGGCCAUUCAAAUUAAUAAAACCUACAACUUUGAUUACAUUACACCAAAAAAAACUGCAACAAUGCUGCAUAAACUGCAGCUAAUAUAUUAAAGUGAAAAUUGGUUGUGUGGUAAAAUGACAAGGAUCAGAAAAUACCACCAAAAGAACUCCAUUACCAGUGAUGCCACCCAAAGAUAAUGCUGUUUUCUGAAAAUAGCAUUUCUUCAUGUUUGGAAGUAACAGCCUAGCACGAUCCAUCUCCGUCAAUCCAAAGUGGGAAAAAAAUCCACUCCAACCUAUGAAAAAUAAAUCCACUGCAUUGCCCAGUGUACUCAAUGGAUUUCCUUGUACAUUGACAGGUGUUGAGCUAAUUUGGGCUGACGGGACUCCGGUUACUGCGCAUGGCGAGGCGUGUUUGAUUUCAGCGGGAAGGAGAGCUCGGACACCAUGACCGGCAUCCGAAGAGCCUACCCGGAGCUCGGCAACUGCCUCUACUUCGAUCUUGCUCACAAGACCCACGCCGUGCUCUACGAGCUGCCCAGGAGCAGGCUCAACUGGCUCUGGUACAUCAAUGGCCCAGAACCGGAGCUCACGGUAAUGGCCGUCCCCCUCGCUGCGUCGUCGACGUGCUAGGAUACUUGACUCCACAGCGCAAGGGUACAGAAAGGUCAUCACCACAGUACAAGGGCCCAUGGAUGUUGUGCAUGCAUAGCAUUGGGAACAACCACACACACACAAAAGGAAUAUUCCUUACAGAUGCUAACUGAGCAUGUCCCUAAAGAUUAUCAGUAUGUUUUAUCAUCCUUAUUAAUUAUGAUGAUAUAAGAUUAGUUUCUGAUGGGUGCUAAUAUGUUGACUAGUACAUGAUAUGAUUUGUGUGCCAAAUAGGCUACUAGUACUCGUAAUUACAUGAUUUGGGUGCUAAUAUAUAUGUUGACUCGUACAUGAUUUGUGUGCCAAAUGGGCCGUAAAGAUCUUUGGAGUCUAUCUCUUAGCCUACUCAUAUAGGAGCUGUCUUUUUAUUAUUAAUACAUAGUCCACUUAUCACUCUCAUAAAGUUUUAUUUGUUCUUAUAUCUAAGUCAGUAACAUCCUCCUUCUCCUCUCCUCUCUCUCCUCCACGCCACGAUUCAUUUUCCUUAUAGUAUGUUAUUAUACUGGUUCUUAUAGCCGAUUCUCCUUCAUCCUAAAUUAUAAGCUAUUUCAAAAAUCUUAAAGAGACAAAAUAUUUUAAAUCCAAUGUAUAUUUAAUUUAGGACAGACAGAGUAUUGUGUUAGGUGAGGGGUCUCAAUCAAACAGUUUUGUUUGGUAGAUGAAUUGAUGUGGCGACUUUUUUUUUUUGCGACAUGAUGUGGCGACUUAAUCCCAGGCUUUUGUGUCGCAUGUUAGCAGCAGUAGCAGCAGAUGAAUGGUGACGGAGGGGCUAGUUUGAUACUUUAAAUUAUUUUUUAUAAUAAGAUAAGUGGAUAAUUUAGUACCAGGUUUUAGAGUUUUUUAUUUUAUAAAUAAUGAUUGUGAGUAGUUUAUUUGCAAAUUAGGGGCUUUAGAUUGUUUUUCGUAACGUUAUAUGUGGGUAAUUUAGGGUUUUAGUUAUUCAGUUUUUAUAGUGGCAUAAGUGUUUAACUUAGAUUGAUAUCGAAGAUAUUGUAUAUUAUUUUUAAUUAUAGAUGUGACUAAUUUAGAUAAAAAUUAAGGAUUACUUUAGACUCUUCAUAAAGGUUGCCCUGGAUAGUUCUUUUUUUUUUAAAAAAAAAAGAAAGUAUAACAGAUCCAGGUAACUAUUAUUACUGAUUCCUAACGAGUUUGAUGGAUGAAUGCUUAUGUUUUUUUAUGAAAAAGUAAAGUUUACUUGUUAUGUAGAAUGCAUCUUGUAAGUAAGGUGGAAGCUCCCAAGGAGCCUCUAAUUAGGACAAGUUAAGUGGGUCAUUUAGUACCAAAUUUUAGACUUUUUUAUUUUUAUAAGGCCUUGUUUAGUUCCGAAAAGUGAAAAGUUUUCGGUACUGUAGCACUUUCGUUUGUUUAUGACAAAUAUUAUCCAAUCAUGGACUAACUAGGAUCAAAAGAUUCGUCUCGUGAUUUACAGCUAAACUGUGUAAUUAGUUUUUGUUUUUGAUUAUAUUUAAUAUUUCAUGCAUGUGCCCCAAGAUUCGAUGUGACGAGGAAUCUUGAAAACUUUUUGGUUUUCAGGGUGAACUAAACAAGGCCUAAAUAAAAGCAUGAGUAGUUUAUUUGCAAAUUUAGGGACUUUAAAUUGUUUUUCGUAAUGUUAUAUGUGGGUAAUUUAGGGUUUUUAUUUAGUUUUUUUAGUGGCAUACUAUAAGUGUGUAAUUUAGAUCUAUUGUGAAGGUAUUGUAUAUUAGUUUUAGUAGCAAAUAUGCCCGUACGAUGCUACGGGUGAAUGUCAGAUUAUUCGAUUCAAUAAUAUGCAUAUUUUUUGUACAAUCUUUUUAUAUAACAAUUAAAACUGCAAUUGUUUGUUAUGUGGUUGCCUAGGAGAUUUGUAUCGGAAGAUUUAUCCAAUAAUCACGUCUGCUUGGAUAUGUAUUAGACACACGUUCACAACAGGAAAAUUCUACUUUGCCGAGAGCCGAAUUCUUUGCCGAGAGCCGCGGAAGAGGCACUCGGUAAAGACGGCCCUUUGCCGAGGGCCAGGUCCGACGCUCGGCAAAGGCCUCUUUGCCGAGGGCCAAACACUGGCUGUCGGCAAAGAUCUUCUUUGCCGAGAGUGAUGCUCUCGGCAAAGGUGAGCUCUCGGAAAAGUCCCUGGCCGUCUAACGGCAGCGGCUGUCGUCUCCUUUGCCGAGUGCCAAAUGUUAGGCACUCGGCAAAGGAUGGUUCUUUGCCGAGUGCCAGCUUGCAGGGCCCUCGGCAAAUCCUUCUUUGCCGAGUGUCCUAUCUGGCUCUCGGCAAAGCAUUUUUAUUUUUUUGUUUUUCGAUCUGAGUUUUUUUGUGAGGCUUUUGGACACUGUUUCAAACCCUAUUUUAAAGUUUGAGAGAAGUUUGACUUUUUUUGCUAUAUUUGACUGAUUUAAUUUGUUUCUUUGUGUUUUUCCGGAUAAUUCAAAUUUGAACUACACGUACAUGAAAUAUCGCAACGCAGUGUUUCAAAAAAUGAUAUUCAUGGUAUUAUGUAUAUUUUGAGUCCGUAUCUAGGACCUCACACGAAAUCUCGACCAGCUCGCUGAGGUAACACAUCGAGUUACGUGCACGAAAAGUGUAUUAAAAUUAUAUAAAAUCCAAACGAAGUACGAAAAUCGCGAAACUUGACGACGCGUCGUGUUAUCGCAUGUGGAAGCUAUGGUUAAAAUUUGAGAAGAUUUGGAGCAAGUUGCAGCGUCGAAUAUGUAAAAUCGAGACAUCUCCACAUGUGAUCACUUGUCUUCUGCGUACAUCAUGAAGGUACUAAUGACAUCGCUCCUACUUUGUGAAGGCACAGUCGCACGGGUCGAACCCGACUCCUCAAGACGGCGCUUCUCCAGACCAUGGGUGUCAGGUCCAACAGACUCCAUAGCAGACGUGGUCUGGCGCUCCUCCUCCGCCUCAGACGUACGGGUGGGGUCCGUGGUCAGCUGGCGCUCCUCCGCCUCAGACGCACGGGUGGUCGCCGUGGUCAGGUGGCGCGCCUCAGCACCUAGCAGGUUGGCCGCAGCAGGGGUGGCCAGGUGAGGGUAGGGACACGGGGACGCCGGGUCGCAGCCGGACCAGUGAUAUGGACAUGUUAUGCUUGUGAUGGAUAUGUUAGGCGGAUUUAUGAACUUUGUGUAUGCGGAUUUGUGACUGGAUGAAUGUUAACUAUUCUGUAUGCGGAUUUGUGACCAUUGAUGGAUGCAUGUGUCGAUUUGUGACUAUAUAUGUUAUGCAGCUUCUAUUACAUAUGUUAUGUAUGUUGUCUACUGUGAAUUGAGUGAAAAAACAAUAAAAAUCUGAAAAAACAGCAAAAAACUCAGCUUUGCCAAGCACUGGCACUCGGCAAAGCGGGGCACUGUGUGGCUGUGCGUGGCUCUUUGCCGAGUGCCAGCCAACAGGCACUCGGCAAAGAAUUUUCAAAAAAAAAAUAUUCUUUGCCGAGCGCCAGCGAGGAAGGCGCUCGGCAAAGAAUUUUUCAAAAAAAAAAAACUUUGCCGAGAGCCUGCCAUGGUGGUUCUCGGCAAAGAGCCGUCAACUAACGCCUCCUGCGAGACGGCCGUCAGCCUUUGCCGAGUGCUGACGUGGCUCUCGGCAAAGCCUUUGCCGAGGGCCUGCCACGUGGCACUCGACAAAGACUGUCUUUGCCGAUUAAGGCUUUGCCGAGCGGUCUUUGCCGAGCGGGCGUCAGAAUCCUUUAGUGGUUGUUCUAGCGUGUGUGCACACAAGUCGCAAAUCCAAGCUAUAUGGGACAUGAAGGGGCGUAAGAGCAUUGGAAGAAGUAAAAAAAAAUAGAGAAAUAUCAUUUUAGCUUUAAUAUUAAAAGCAAAAUACAAUUGUGUGUUGUAACGGAACUAUAUCUUAUGACAUAAGGCCACGCCACUUGUAGAUUUAUUCUGCUCCAUCUCUUAACGUGUGCGCUUUCUGUUAGAUAAAAAAAAAGUUAAAAAGAAUCAUCUAUUUUUCUUUUGUACUAUUUGGAAUAGUAUUUCUAUCCCCAUGGCCGUUCUGAUCUCGCUGGCCACGCUCCUCGUCCGUGUGCUGGUAUAGAUAGGAUACAUGUGACUAAUUUAUGUAAAAAAUAAGGAUUACUUUAGACUUGCUGUGCUGGAUAGUUUUGUUUUUUUUAAAAAAAAUUAUAAUAGAUCCAGUGGUAACUAUUAUUACUAAUUCCUAUCGAGUUUGAUGGAUGAAUGCUUAUGUUAUUUUAUGAAAAGAGUAAAGUUUACUUGUUAUGUAGAAUGCAUCUUGCAAGUAAGGUGGAAGCUCCCAAGGAGCCUCUAAUUAGGAAGAGGUAAAAUAUUCUCAAGUGAAAUCACAAUGAACAUGGCGAGUGUAGUGGCUUUUGUCUAUAUCCUUUGGCAUAAUCAUAAUCAACAUGGCAAAUGCUAGUCAUUUUUAUUUUCAUAUUAAGGAUAUAUGGAUAAAUCCUCUUGUAUCGUGCAUAUUUUUUUUCUAGUUUUGCAUAUACACUUCUCUGACCGAAAGCACUAUAUAUUAGUUUAAAUCAAAUAUUGAGUUAACGUUUCUGUCAAAUCCCGAGUUAUAUUAAAUUUUAUAAGGUUGAUAUAAAAGAAUAUAAAUGUCAAAGAAAUUUGUAAGUUACAAAAAAAACGUUAGUGAUAUGGAAUGGAGCAAGUAAAAACUGGAUCCAAAGACCUCUAGUUGCUUAAUGGCCAAAUAUUGCAAAAAUAAAAUGUAUUUUGUAUUUGACAGCGUUGUACACGCGAGUACUCCAUCAAUCAAUAAUGACUUGAGCGGCUAUAAAGGAACCGGAUCAGAUCAACACACCUUCCUUCGCUUUCAAGGCAGCAAAGCACACUGUUCUUCGCCACACUGUCACCACCGUUCCUCUGCUUCCCCGCGCAGAUCGGAGCUCCUCUACGCCAUACGUCUUGCUGCUCCACAGCGCGGGGUGCUUGGGCCGGCUCGCCGGCGGCUCCGCGUCUGGAAGAGCAGAGGCUCGUCGACGAGCUGAGGCCUGAGGGGCGCACGAGGGCCACCCACCUUGACUCAGCGGCAGGAGGGAGGGGCAGAUCGCCCGGAGGACGAGCGCACGCCGUCGAGCAGGAGCGACGAGAAGUGGUACCAAACGUUUCACUCGCACCUUCUUCUUCUUCUUCUUCUUUUUUUUUUUGGGUGGGGGGGGGGGGGACAAAAUCAUGUAUCCUUUCAAGCACACUGUUUCUUGCUCGAGAAGCUCAGCAAGAAGGCCGACGAGGCUGAGGACGCCCUGGACGAGCUCCACUACUUCAUGAUCCAGGACAAGCUGGACGGGACUCGAAAGGCCACUCCGGAUUUGGGCGAUGGCCUCAGCGCCAAAGCUAACCAUGCCCAACAUGCUGCUCGCAACACUGCUGGUAACUGGCUCUUAUGUUUCUCUUGUUGCCGUCCAAAAGAUGAUGUUGCUGCUGCUGCCAUGCAUGUCUCGUGACCACGGUGGCCAUGCUGAAAAGUUGCCAUUCGAUCGGGUGGAAAUGUCCAACAAAAUCAAGCAGCUCAUAGAGGAAUUGCACUCUAACUGUACUCCUGUCUCUGACUUGCUCAAGAUAGUGUCUGGUAGUAACCCUCAGCCACACAUGCCUGCCAUCACUAAAAGGCCUGACACAAGCUCUGAAAUCACACAGGAUAAGUUGUUUGGGAGGGAUGCCAUCUUUGAGAAAACUGUAGAGGAGAUUAUCAGUGUGACACAGAGUGGUAAAACAUUGUCUGUUCUUCCAAUAGUUGGCCCUGGGGGUAUUGGAAAGACUACCUUUACCCAGCACCUCGUCAAUCACACAAGGAUUAAACAAUGUUUUCAUGAUAUUAAUAUCUGGAUAUGUGUGUCAACUAAUUUUGAUGUGCUUAAGCUCACCAAAGAGAUGCUGAGCUGCCUACCUGCAACAGAAAAUGAAGAAAAUAAUGAAACUACUACCAACUUAGACCAGCUUCAAAAAUCCAUUGCACAGAGGUUGAAAUCCAAAAGGUUUCUUAUUGUCUUGGAUGACAUUUGGGAAUGCAGCAGUAAUGAUGAGUGGGAAAAACUAUUAGCUCCAUUCAAAAAGGACGAGACUAGUGGCAAUGUGAUUCUUGUCACAACUCGGUUCCCAAAAAUUGUUGAAAUGGUGAAAAAGGAAACUAAUCCAAUUGACCUGCGUGGUUUGGAUCCUGAUGAGUUUUGGAAAUUCUUCCAAAUAUGUGCAUUUGGUAGAAUCCAAGAUGAGCACGACGAUCAAGAGUUGAUUGGCAUUGCAAGGCAAAUAGCAGAUAAGUUGAAAUGCUCCCCACUUGCAGCCAAAACAGUUGGCCGGUUAUUGAUUAAGAAACCAUUUCAGGAACAUUGGAUGAAAAUUCUUGACAACAAAGAGUGGCUAGAAGAAAAUCACGACAAUGAUAUUAUCCCAGCCUUGAAAAUUAGCUAUGACUACCUACCCUUCCAUCUGAAAAAAUGCUUUUCAUGCUUUUGCCUUUUCCCUGAUGAUUAUAAAUUUGAGAAGCUUGAGAUUAUUUGUUUUUGGCAUUCAAUUGGCAUCAUAGAUUACAGUAGGCAGAAUAAAAAAAUGGAGGAGAUAGGAUCAGAUUAUUUAGAUGAACUAGUGGACAGUGGUUUUCUUAUAAAAGGAGAUGAUAAUUAUUAUGUAAUGCAUGAUUUACUCCAUGAUCUUUCACGGACCGUUUCAUUAGAAGAAUGUGGCUAUAUUAAUUGUUCUAAUUUUGAGGCAGAUAAAAUCCCCAAAACUAUUCGUUACCUAUCCAUUUUCAUGCAUGAUACUCAUAUUCAGAAUUUCAAGGAAGAGAUGGGUAAAUUGAAGGAAAAGAUAGACAUUAAAAAUUUGCGGAGUUUGAUGAUUUUUGGAGAAUACAGUAGGUUACACCUUAUCAAUGUUUUAAGAGAUACAUUUAAGGAAAUAAAAAGUCUCCGUGUUCUAUCUAUAUUCAUGAACUCCCAUAGUUCUUUGCCACAUAGUUUCUCAAAACUUCUCCAUCUUCGCUACUUAAAACUUUUGUCACCUGAUUACCCAGAAAUGUGUUUGCCUAGCACAGUGUCCAAGUUUUAUCACUUGAAAUUUCUAGAUCUUAACCAAUGGGAAUGUGGUUAUUCUUUGGCCAAAGACAUUUGCCGCCUUGAAAAUUUACGCCAUUUUGUUGCUAAGAAAAAAUUUCAUUCCAAUGUUCCUGGGGUGGGAAGAAUGAAACUUUUACAAGAAUUGAAAGAAUUCCAUGUGAAGAAAGAGAGUGUUGGAUUUGAGCUAGGAGAAUUGGGCAAACUAGAUCAGCUUGGAGGAAAACUCAAUAUAUGUGGGCUUGAAAAUGUGAGAACCAAGCAAGAAGCUAAAGAGGCCAAAUUGAUGGAAAAGAGGAAUUUAGUUAAGUUGGGACUAGUUUGGAACAGUGAGCAAGAGUCCACUGGAGAUGAUAUCCUAGAUAGCCUUGAACCACACUCUAAUAUUAGAAGACUUCACAUUGUAAAUAAAAGUGGCUCCGUUGGUCCUAGUUGGUUGUGCAUCAACAUAGUACACAUGAAAAACUUGGAGACCCUACAUCUAGAGAGCAUUUCGUGGGCUAUCCUUCCACCUAUUGGGCAGCUUUAUCACCUAAGAAAGCUGAAGCUAAAAAACAUUGUUGGGAUAUCUCAGAUUGGACCUGACUUCUUUGGUGGUACUACAGAAAAAAGUUUCGCACAUUUGAAGGAAGUAGAAUUUCAUGAUAUGCCAGAACUUGUGGAGUGGGUUGGUGGAGCUAACUGCCAUCUAUUCUCAAGGCUUGAAAGAAUCGGGUGCAUUAACUGUCCCAGGCUCACAGCGUUGCUGACCUCGAGAUGGCCUAUUUCUUCUACAGCAGACAACACCAUAUGGUUCCCUAGUCUUCGUGAUCUUCACAUUCGUAGAUGUCCAGAGUUGUGCCUUCCUCCCUUGCCUCACACUUUGUUAGUAUCCCAUAUUGAUACAGAGUGCUUGUUUUAUGAUAGUACUAAGUUGAACAUUCGAAAGCCCUCUGAAUUGGUUUUCCACAAUCUUGGGGACAUAGAAAGGUUGACAGCUGAGGAUGCAUUACUUUUAUCAUUUAUGGAUCUCCAAAAGCUACGUUCUCUGAGACAUAUAGAGGUCAGUGGAUGUGAGGAAAAAUUUCUGAGAGGACUGGAUGAUGGUGUUGUGCUCCACACAGUCCAAACUCUCAAACUCAGACAGUUUUCUCUUACCAGAAAAUCAUUGUCCAAUUUGUUCAAAUGUUUCCCAGCUCUUUCUCGUUUGGAUGUGAGCACAUCAUCAGAUGAGGAUCAUGAGGAAGUGGUACUGCAGUUUCCGCCCUCCAGCUCCCUGAGAAAUGUCUGCUUCAAUCGGUGUAAGAAUAUGAUUCUGCCAGUAGAGGCAGAGGAAGGAGCUGGAUUCCGUGCCCUCCCGUCGCUCGAGUCCGUGACCGUAAUAAAUUGUGACAAGCUAUUCUCUCGGUGGUCCAUGGGAGGAGCAGCAGCUCAGACUCAGAGCACCAUCUACCCUCUCCCCCCUUGCCUCAAGGAACUCUGCCUUUGUUAUCAGCAAAGCACUCUGCCAAUGGCUCUGUUCGCGAAUCUCACAUCUCUUACCAAUCUAGAACUAUAUAAUUGCAAGGAUAUCACAGUGGAUGGGAUCGAUCCUCACAUCACAUUCAACCUCGAGCAACUGGAGGUGUACAAUUGGAGAGAUGGUGAGGCUGAGCCCUAUUCUGUAGCAGCAGAUCUACUUGCAGCGGUGGCAAGGACCAAAACAAUGCCCGCCGGUUCCUUCCAACUGGUGCGACUUGAUGUGGACAGCAUCUCCGCAGUGCUUGUUGCUCCCAUCUGCACCCGCCUCUCUGAUACCCUCCAGAGGUUAUACUUCCAUUCUGAUUGGCGGACGGAGAAGUUCACGGAAGAGCAGGACGAGGCGCUUCAGCUCCUCACGUCUCUCCAAGACCUGUGGUUUUGUAACUGCAGGGCUCUGCAGUCCCUCCCCCAAGGCUUGCAUUGCCUUCCUUCUCUCCAGGAAAUACGUAUCUGGGGGACUCAUAAAAUCAGAUCGCUGCCCAAGGAGGGCCUCCCCGACUCACUGCGAGUGCUCUACAUAGAUAAUUGCUGUCCUGAGAUUUAUGAGGAAUGCCAGAAAUUAAAGGGAACAAGGCCAGAUAUAAAUAUAAUGGCCUCCAUCGCUCGAGCGGAAAAUUGAAUCCCUGCUUCUGCAUGCCUUUCAAGCACUCAACUCUUCAGUGUACAUCGAUCUGCAGGUUAGUGUUAUAGUAAGCCCAAGAUUAGCUUUUCUAUUCUUAGCAAGUAGAUUAGCACGCGAUCGCCUUCCAGGUGCUCGCGCACGCCGCGCAUGUCGCGCGUCCUUCACGGCACGGCCCAGGGUGCUGGGAUGGCAGUAGCCGAUCACGAGCGUGCCGUGAUUUAGUUACCAUGUAAUAUGCAUGUAUCUUCUUUAUAUAGAAAUAGAGAACAACAGAAAACGCUGCCACAUUAGCAGCACCAAAACUCUCUACGUUCGUUCGUGAAUUACUGUCAUCGGAAUUCUAACAGAAAACACCACCUUUUGCUCCUCGAUUUAUUAUUUUAUUAACUGUGCAAACUGAAUUGUUUUUUUUUUAUAGACUGAAUUUACGAUCUAUAAUUGAGCUCCUGACAUCUCUCCAAAGCCUAUCCGUUGAAGACUGCAGGGCUCUGCAGGCCCUCCCUUCUCUCCAGGAAUUACAUAUCAAUAUAUCAUUGCAACUCAAAAUAUCAUAUGGCUGCUCAUAUCUGUUUUAUGACGAAUGCCAAGGGAAACCAGUUUAAUACAUACAGUUGCCUUCAUUCCUGACGCGGAAAGCUGAAUCUCUGCUUCUCCCUGCCUUUCACGCACUCCAACUCUUCACUGUACACCGAUCUGCAGGUUAGUUCCAAAUAAAAAACCAGCUUAUAUGCCCUUGGAUUUAUGGUUUUAUUGACUGAACUGUUUUAUUUAUUUUUUGCAUAUAGAUAUGACACAUUGUCAUAUGCUUCUGUGUUACAAUUGGAGCCACCAUUCCACUAUUCAUGUCUUAUUUCUUUAUCCAAUAAAUUCAAUCUCUCCUACACUGGAUCAUAUCAAUUUCUAGCAUUUUUCCUGAAUAUUGCAUUGUUUCAAUGAAUCUCAUACUAUGAAUUGGUACUUUUAGGAAGAAAAGAGAAUUGUUUCAAUGAAUAAAGACCAUGCCACUAUUAGUUCAUUCUUGUUGUGGCAUGUCAUGAAUGGCUGUGGAUUGCUUAUUUCCUAGAUCAUGCUGCAUAUGCCUUGUUGAUUAUCUGAUACACACAAUCGCCUUGCUUCUGUUACAUGACAAUGAGAUUAUAUGCUGGCUUGCCUUGCAGGACUCUGCUUCAUCAUACGGUUACACAUCAUCGUUCAAAAAACAUAUAUAAUGAGCACCUAACUUAGAUUGUGGCAAAUUUUGGCGAAGAUCAGGUGACAGUCACAACUGAAGUUCUGUGUAUUCCAUUCUGUUUUUUCUUUUAGAGCUCUUGUGACUUUUUUUUGUAAUUUCAGACCCUUGAGUUUCGUUGGUCUUUUGAAAACCACUGAAGGCAGGAGAUGCUGCAUCACGGAUCAGACUAGAGACUUUUUCUGCAUCGGUCAACCAGCUUAGUGGCAGAACCAAAAAUGCUUUUGAAGUAAUGUGUUUUACUUAACUCUGUACAUCUCUAUAUAAAUGGCAUAAUCCUCUGGAGCCGUUUUGUAAAUUGAUGAUCUGUUGCUUCCUUUGUCAGGACGGGCUCACAAUUGCUUCAAAUCAGAAACAAACCUGCCAGUUAAAGUUCCUAUAUGCCCAAUUCAGCAGUACAUACACCCAGCACUCUGAUUCACUGCAAGUGCUACACAUAUUGCUGUGCUGAGAUUUAUGAGGAAUGCCAGAAAUUAAGCGGCACAAGGCCAGAUAUAAGUACUGGUGCCUAAAUUGCAUGUGUGCAAAGCUGAAUCUCAGCGUCUGUGUUCCUUUCACACACUCAACUCUGCUUCAGCAUGCCAUUGAAUCUACGGGUUAGUUCCAAAUAUUAAAAAAACAGCUUAUUAUGCUCCUCGAUUUAUGAUUUCAUUGACUGUGCAAACCAAUCACAAUUCUUGUCCAGCCCUUCUUUUCUUUAAUCAACAAAUUUAAUUUCUCCUACAGUUUAAACUUUCGAAUCAUAUUACUUUCUAUCAUUUUUCCUCUUCAGGUACAAUCACCGUUCUUUAGUUUUAUUUCAAUCUCACGCUGUGAAUUGGUACUGUUAGGGAGGACAGAAAAUUUCUCAAUAAAUACCAUGUCCUUAUAUUACUUAGUUGAUUCCUCUUGUGGCAUGUUAUGAAUAGCUCCUGAUUUUUAUGUUCCACUCCAUCUUAUUAUAUUAGACGCCCUAAAUCAUGAUGCAUAUGCUCUUUUGGUGAUCUGAUAUUCACAAUCGCCUUGUUUCUGUCACAGCACUAAUGGUUGCCCCACAGCACAGUGAGAUGAUAUGCUGGUUUUCCUUUGCAGAACUCUGCUUCAUCAUCUUGUUACACAUUGUUCAAAACCAUAAAUGAGGCCAAGUUUGGGUUGUGGCAAACUUUGGCAAGUAAAGCCAAGGAAAUUCUCAAUGAGGAUGGCUUGGCGCCUAAGUUUGAGGACUUAGGGAAUAACCGGUGCAUCCAGAAAAUAUCAGGUGAGGCAGCAAGUAUAUCUGAAUAUCUGAACAUAUUGGCAGUAACAAAUGAACUUUUCGUGUAUGGCAUUGUCUCUCUCUUCAUUAAGAUUGUUCCAGGCUUUCUUUUCUUGUAAUUUCAGGCCCGUAACUCUCGUUGUUCAUUUGAAAACCACCGGAAGACAGGAGAUGUGGCAUCACGAGCCAGACCUUUGAUCAUUUGAAAACCACUGAGGCUCUUUCUGUUUCUAUCAACCAGCUUAGUGCAUGGAAGAAUAAAAAAUGCUUUGGAAGUAAUGUGUUUUUACUUAACUCUGUACAUCUGUUUCUGUUUCUUUAUUUCUAUAAAUGGCACAACUCUGAGCUGUAUUGUAAAUUGAUGAUCCGUUGCUUCCUUUGUUUAACAGGAAGGUGUCACAAUUGUGGAUAGUUAGACAUCCAGUAUCAUUGAGUUGAGGAAACAAAGAAAAUUCAAAUUAGAAGGAAACCUGCCAGUUCGAGUUCUCAUAUAUAUGCCGAAUUCAGCAGUAGAUACACAUAAACCCUCGCUCCUGAUCUCUCACCAUGAACCUGCAUCUGCAGCCCAGGAGACUGGUUUGUACGCUUCUCGUGACAACAGGUGCCACAUGCUUGUAUCUUGAUGACAAAUAUGGUAUUAUACAUACUCUAUGAGAAAAACAUGUAGUCACUAUUGUUGUUGGAUCAACAUUAAAUGUUAUGUUUUCUAGUCUUAUGAGAUGGGUUACAGCAUUAGUUUUCGGUAUAUUACAGGAAAGCAUACAGAUGUUUCUAUUUUCUACUAAGAAAUAUUUCUAGUUCCUUUGUUGAUCUACUUAUUUCCUGUUCCUUUAUUUUGCCAAACUAUUUAUUUCUAGUUCCUUUACCCAUUACAGAGUUGUAGUGUAGUCGAGACUCGAGAAUUGUCAGGGUACCAGCUGAGGGUGCCUAAUGUUUUCUUAUGAUUUGUAGCAUUUCAAAAUAUAAGCAUUGCUCCUGCCUGAUUCGUUUGGGAAAAAAACAAAAACAAAAAAGCUAAGCAUUGUGACCAUCAGAAUAGCAGAGUAAGCUCUUUUCUGUGCUUACGAUUUAUUUAUUUAAUUUUUUUUGAAAUAAUUGUGCUUACAAUGAAUUAGCAGAACUGUUUUUUUCCUCAAAACAUAAUUUUUGUCUUCUCGGUGGCGUUAGAUGAAUGGUUCGGAUAAGUUAUUCUUUUGUAGUAUCUACCAGCAAUGAUCCCUUUCUCUUUUCCCCUAUUAAUCCUUUCAGGUUGCUAAUGUAAUGGCUGCUAAAGCAAAACUUCUACUCUAUGAGCAAAAAUCUAUUGAAUCGAUCCAGAUUUUGAGAAGCAGAGAUGUGCUCAGCUAGAAGUACUAGAAGCAAAGAAGAAAGGGGACAAAACCGAAGAGUGGUAAUCCUUUUUUUUAUCAAACUUGCUUCUUAACAUGUUUAAUGCCUUUUUGUGAAUUGCAUACACCUUUUCAAUUCAUCAAGAACAUUCAAUAGGUGAUACUUCACCAAACUGAUAAAUGAAAAUUACUACAUCCGAAUCUUGAAACUAAAUAAAUUAUAUAAGUAGCUAUUAAUGCUCAUCAUUUCUGAACACUUGCGUAAGGGUUGAUUUUUCAGUACUCUGCUUCUUUUGAAAAUUGAGCAUUACAUAAAUUUAGAUUCAUAUGAAACGACAUUAUAUGGUGAUGAGAAGUUUGAGUCCAGUAUCUCGUUUCAUAUUAGCUAUAAACUGUUGGUACUGCCAGUGCCAGCUUGUUCUUAACAACAUCUAAAGAGUAUCACUACAUCAAUUAAACUAUGAUACAUAGUACAUGGUGUUGUUCUUGUGAACCGAUGAAUAUAACUAAUGUUCUCCAUGUUAUACUGAAAGAGUCUCUCUGAACCACCCAUUGCUGAAACAGAUUUCCAUGCAACUGGAGACAUUGCUGUCCCAUGAAUCAAGGCUGGCACAGGAAAACUUAACAUAUGCCAGUGAAAACCGGUUCCUACGUGAGACAGUACAUUUUUAUCAAUUCACCACCCAGGACAAUGCCUUAUUGGAUGAUGAGGGCACAGAUGUUGGAAUUUGAUCUGAAUUCUAACGUAAGUCUUGUUGGAACGCUUGGUGGGCCCACAUGAUACGUGCUGUGUUUAGUGGAAUCAUUUCCCUAUUGGACUAUAGUCCAUCCGUCCUAUAUAUACAUCUUAUAAGCCGCUCGGGAAGAGUAUACGACUCAUUGUAUUCCCUGCAUUUUGUUAAAACUCUUGUCGUGUAGCCAAGAUUGCCAUUGGUGCCCGUGGUUUUUUUCUCGUAAGGGUUUUCCAUGUAAAAAUUGGUGUCUCAUGUUCGAUAUUUAUUUGCAUUAUUUGCUAGCAAGAGAACGUACGAACAACAUCACCAAGUCCUCUUCUAUGCUGAAAAUGUGUUGGCCGUGGUUGAAGAAAAUUCAGCAAAUGACCACCACCCUGUCCCCUCUAGGCCUGAAUCCCCUCCAUCCGUCCUAUAUAUACAUCUUAUAAGCCGCUCGGGAAGAGUAGACGACUCAUUGUAUUCCCUGCAUUUUGUUAAAACUCUUGUCGUGUAGUCAAGAUCGCCAUUGGUGCCCAUGGUUUUUCCCCGUAAGGGUUUUCUAUGUAAAAUUGGUGUCUCAUGUUCGAUAUUUAUUUGCAUUAUUUGCUAACAAGAGAACGUAUGAACAACAUCACCAAGUCCUCUUCUAUGCUGAAAAUGUGUUGGCCGUGGUUGAAGAAAAUUCAGCAAAUGACCACCACCCUGUCCACUCCAGGCCUGAAUCUCCUAUGGUCAGACUGUGCAAACAAUCAUCGCCCAAAUCCAGCAAUUUUUAUAAUGCCUUAAAGUCAUAUGCAUUGGCAUCCGACUUAGCUUCACGCUUGCGACUUUGCCAUUUAUGAUGGAUUGUCAGCAAACAUUUUUCAAAGAACCUUCUAAAGGGAUGUAUCCUGUUUAUGUGGUAAACUAAGGCCUUGUUUAGUUCCGAAAAAAUUUUGGAUUUCGGUACUGUAACAUUUUGUUUUUAUUUGACAAAUAUUAUCCAAUUAUAGACUAACUAGGCUCAAAAGAUUUAUCUCGUGAUUUACAGGCAAACUGUGCAAUUAAUUUUUGUUUUCGUCUAUAUUUAAUACUCCAUGCAUAUGCCACAAAAUUCGAUGUGACAGAGAAUCUUGAAAAGUUUUUGGUUUUUGGGGUGAACUAAACAAGGCCUAAGUUCACACACCUUACCUGCUGCCAUAGGUCAUUGUUGAGCUGAUCAGCAAUUGGAGUCAUUUGAUAAGCUAAAUUGACCUCCUACUUGUCGUGAUCUUCACAAGACAACAAGGUAAUCAGCAGGGCUACAGAACCUUCUAAAGGGAUGUUAUUUGCAGCAUAGGCUAGGGAAUGGUGUGAUUGCCAUCGUUCUGAACCAAAAGAAAAUGCUGCAUUAAACCAUGUGAAUUCCUUUCGGUGAGCAGCAUCUGCAUGCUGCAUGAGAUCAAGCAAGCGGCCGAUUGGCCAUGCUCUACCUGCCAUUCAGUUCGUUGACGAGGAAUUAAUCACCAGCCAUGUUGGCCGGCACAGACACAGGCCAGAGGCCAUACUACAAUUCAUCCAUGAUAGGCAAAGGAAGAUCCAAGACAAGAUCAACAAAUAUACAAAUAGUUGUACAAGCAAAAACUUUUGGAUCUUGUUGUUUUGUGCCUCCCAUUUUCCAGUCCAGAAUUAGUAUAACAAUUUUUCACUGAAAGUGGAUGGAUCAGACCCCACAAAAAAAACAAAUGACAGCUGCAGCUGUGUGUGUGAAAGAAGGCAGCUGUGGCUGCAGCUAGCUUCCGUUCCACCCCACAAGUGCUUGCCUGCACGUCGAUGAUCUGCUCACUUGAGGAUUUCCUCUGCUUUGUAGUGUCUCUGCUUCAUCUUUUUCAGAUGAAUCUCAACCUCAUUUCACUGCACAUACUUCACAGCUAAUUUGUCGUAACAUACUGGGGUUCCAGUAUGACAGUAAUACUUAGCUCAUUAGAGAAGAUGUUGAUCUGCACACAUGGGCUAAUUUAGGCUGGACAAAGGAGGUAUUAAAGAGAUUUUUGAGCCACGCCUUGGGCUUCAGCCCAGGGCCUACAUCCACCCCUGUCUGCACAGCCAUGCUCCUAGUGCACCUUGGCCAGGAAGACAAAUAUAAUACAGACCAUCGCAGCAUCUAAUGGGGAUGGCAUACACUGCUUAGCACGUGUUUCAUUAAGAGGAUUUAGAAAAUAAUUACACGCCCAACGGUACUACACCCUCCAUUUCAAAUUGUAAGUCAUUCCAAGAAUCUUGGAAAGUUAAACUUUUCUAAAUUUGACCAAAUUUAUAUUAUAAAAUAAUAAUAAUUAUUAUUAUUGUACUAACUAAGUAUCAUUAGAUUUUUUUCUUAAUUAUAUUUUCAUAGUAUACUCACUUUACAUUACAAAUCUUAGUAUUUUUCUCUAUAUUUUGGUCAAACGUGAAAAUGCUUUGACUCUCCAAGAUUUUUGGAAUGAUUUACAAUUUGGGAUGGAGGGAGUAGAUGGCAAGCUGCCACCAAGCAUGCGAUUAAACACGAACACGGAUCACCGGCCAACGGUGGAGCUUACACGGUUGUACUGACUAAAAGAACAAUGGUGCGACAAAGACCUGUAAAAUUGAGCAGGCGUAGAGCUAAUUGGCAUGUGCAGUCACACCAGCGACGAGAGGCUCGUGAAGCCGGCAGAGAUCCAGCAGUCAGCUUCAUCCAAAAUGAGGUGAUAGCUGCAAAGGCAUCUUAGAAACUCCAUCGAAGGUCCGGCAAUUACGCUCCUUCCACAGGUUCUAGGAAAGGAGAACCGUGGGAGUUGAAGGACCGCCUAAGCUCAUUGGGCAGCCUCUUCCGCGUCUGCUGCCACCAAUCGCCAAGCUUGGAGUCCUGGUUCAGUGUCAGGUACUGCAGACUGAUGGCAUGGAGAAGUCGGUGCCAACCUCCUGAGAGAUUGUGCCAGUGCAUAGAGGAUUGAGCCAUAGAGUACUGGUGCCGUUGGUGCACCAGAGGAUUGUGUCAGUGCAUCCCUGACCGUGCGAUUCUGACGUCUCUUCCCAAUUGCCUGAAAUAGGCUCAGUGCAAACAACGAGAUUGGUCCAUCCGGCGCCCAGGAGUCCAUCCAGACUUUUGCCAAGGUGUCGUCUCCUAAUCGCACGCUGAUAGAUGCCCUGAACAUUACAUCAAUGUUCUUCUCAGCCCUUGAAGGCAGGAGGGCCUAGGCAGAGGAGGCGUCAGUGCGCCUUAGCCACUGCCACCUAAGCCACAGUGCGAACCAUAGCACUUUCAUGUCGGGGAUGCCAAGUCCACCAUGAUCUUUUGGGGAGCAGACAAUGGGUCAUGCAAUCUUCCAUAUGGGCCAUGUAAUCUUCCAUUUGCCCCCUAAGGCCUCGUUUGUUUUGGCCUGGGAUGGCCUAGAAUGCAGUCUAUUCCGUCUAGAUCAAUUUGGCCCGACUUCAAGUCAGAUCAGACCAGAAAUGACUGUUCGGUUAGAUAUAAAAAUUGAUCAAUCUGGACCCCUUUUCUCCCUUCUACGGCCGGAAUGAAAACGAGUCAUCAUAUGUCUAAAAUAGAAAUAGGCCAGGUUUGAGUGAACCUAACGACGUUCCCUAGCAGUGUUGUGACGGUCAUCCUCUGCGAUCAGCUCGUUCAGGACUUCCAUCACAAUUACGAAGAGCAGUGGUGACAGCAGGUCUCCCUGGCGGAGUCCAUGUGCGUGACGGAUUCUGUGACCAGGGCGUCCGUUGACGUUCACCCUUGUGCUUGCAGUUCGGAGCAUAGCCGACACCCAGUCCCUCCAACGAGCUGGGAAGCCAGCAUGCUCCAACACUUCCAGAAGGAAGGGCCAGGCAACGGAAUCAAAAUGCCUUUGCCAGAUCAACUUUGAGAAGCAUCGAGGGGCAACGCUUGACAUACUUUAUUCAGAACACAUGGUAUACAUUUAACCGUUCCAGGUGAAAUUAGUCUUGCUCAGCUGUGCGGAAUAAAACUAACGCAUAAGAACUCAUAUACUGUCAUGUGUCCAUGGCUCCUUUUGUUAUUUUCUGAUCAGGUAUUCAGCUAGGCUCAGCAAAGUGGGCAAAAGUAGCAGCGGGUGUUUUCUUUCUUUGUUUUUUGCGGUGCCGCUGUGGCAUGGAGGUAUGACCAGCUCCUUUUAUCUAUUGGACUGUCACUAUCACUAUGAUUUUUCUUGGUUAAUUAGCAGAAUAAUUAGGAAUUUAAGAUUAAGUGGCAAUAAUUGAACAGGUGAAGGAGCAUAUGAGAUAUUGUAUUAUAGAUAUUAACUGUCAGACUGUAUUAUUAGUGGGAAAGAUACUGAAAAUAAUUGGUUAAAUAAAUAAGUGCAGUACAGUAGUAGUGCCCUCUACAAAAUCAUAUGCUGGCAUAUAUAGGAAUGGUGUCCAUCCUGGUUUUUGUUUUGCAAAAGUUUCUGGCUACUGUAGAACUUUUGUUUGUAUCUGUUAAUUAUUAUCCAACCAUGGACUAACUAAGCUCAAAAGAUUUAUCUCGUAAAUUACAGGUAAACUGUGCACUUACUUAUUUUUUUAUCUAUAUUUAAUGCUUCAUGCAUAUGCCGCAAUAUUCGAUGUUAUGAGGAAUCUUGAAAAGCUUUUAGAUUUUGAGUGUAACUAAAUAAGGCCUUGAAUGUAACAUCAUCCAACUCUCAACACUGUGUAAUGAUUCCUCGUUCAUGGAAUGAAAGUCCCCAUCAUCGUCGCUACAUACAUAUAUGCUCCUUCCAUUUCUUCUAAAUAUAAGUUAGUGCUGUCUUUUUAUCCCUUAAACACUAGGAGAGAGUAUAGUAAUAAUUAUAUUAAAAAGCCUAUGCACACGUGCAAAAGCAAGGCUAUGCACAAAACAUGUACUAUGAAAAUUUAAUCAAAGCCUAUAUGAAGUAAUAAGUGGCAACUAUGUAUGUUGCGUACGUCAUGGCCAAAACAUCAUCACGUCAUGAUGAAAAGGGAGUACUGAUGAUAUGCACAAGAUACCUUCACUCUACAGCAAAAUCAAAAGAACAAAAACAACGUAUUGAUAUGAUCUUAGAGCAUUUCUAAGGAUUUUGUAUUUGAGGUUUGCAUUUGAGUAAUUUGCCAAAAAGCUCCAAAAAGGAUAUCCAACGGUUUUGCAUUUGGAGUUUGCAAUUUGGGCAACUUGGCAAAUGAGGGAGCAAACUUGGCAAAAAUGCCAAGUUGUGGAUGGCUUUGCAAACCUGAUCGCGCGAGCAAAGUCACGCACAAGGAAAGCGUGCGCGCCUGGAGACCUCCUAUUUUUAUCCUUUGCCAAGUCCAAAUGCCAAUUCCCUUAGAGAUAACCUAUUUUUAUCAUUUGCAUUUUAUUAUGGGAGUUUGCAAACAACAACAAAUGCUAAGUCAAUUUGCCAAAGCCUUUGGAGAUGCUCUUACCACACAAUCCACAACAUUACUCAACCAUUAAGGGCUUGUUUAGUUCUAAAAAAUUUUGCAAAAAAAUUCAGAUUUCCUAUCACAUCGAAUCUUGCGGUCCAUACAUGGAGCAUUAAAUAUAAAUAAAAUGUCUAUAAUUUGUGAUACGAAUUUUUUGAGCCUAGUUAGUCUAUUAUUAGACAAUAUUUAUCAAAUACAAAUGAAAGUACUACAAUGCCGUUUUUGUAAUUUUUUUUGGAACUAAACAAGGCAUAAAAAGGUCGAUAUCGAAAUGUCAAUUGAUUAAAUGUUGCAAUCAAAAAAUUGUACUGUACAUAUUGUGGUCUAAAGGCCAUUAACAAACAACACUAUUAGUGAUUCCAGGUGCGUGGAAGUAUGCUUAGGAUCUGUUUGGUAUAACUCAGCUUCACUAGUGAAUCGGCUUUCUUUUUUUUUUGGUUUCAGCUUUAUGGAGAACUUCAUUAGUGGAGCUGAAGUUGUUUUCGAAAAACAUUAUGCAAAAAACAAGCAGAUUAGUGCAGCCAGAGCUCUUGAAUUUCCAUAUCUCUCUUCUUUGGUACAGCUUCCACUUUCAGAGCAAGCUUUCUCACAACUGCAAUACCUCCAGGAAGCAAUACUAAGCAGAUCAGCAAAUUCAGAAAAGGAUAAUUGGACCUGUGUGGGUCAAGCAGCUCAUUAUUCAGCAAAAAAAGUUUACAGGUUUUUGGCAGGUGCAACUAACAACAAUAUCUUCUUUAAAUAGAUCUGGAAAAAUAAGGUUCAGCCAAAGCACAAGGUCUUCUUUUGGCUUCUGAUAAAAGACAGACUAAACACCAAAAAUUUGCUAAAAAGGAAGAAGAUGGACAUCAACUGUUACAGCUGUGCCUUAUGCAGCUACUUAUCUGAAGAAACAGCACAACACCUUUUCCUGAAUUGUGAUUUUGCUAGAAUGUGUUGGAAUUUGGUGGGUGUUGACAUCCCCCUGCAGUCUAAUAUAGAAGAGCUCAUCCCUUUGAUCAAGGCGCAAAUCAACUCUCAGUUCUUCAUGGAAACCAUCAUUUUGCUGUGUUGGACCAUUUGGAGUGCAAGAAACGAACUCAUUUUCAGAGGUAAUGGAUCAAAUAGCCUGGACUGUGCAAGAUUCUUCUUUAAAGAGCUAAGACUCAUCCGUCACAGGCUGAAGCAGGACCUACAUCAAGCCCUUGGCUCAUGGAUUCAAUCCCUAGAGCUUAUUGCUGCUUGAUGCAGAUCUUUUUUAUCUCCUUUUUUGUUCCUUAAUGUUUUUCACCUUGUUUUAGUUUAGCUUCAGUUUAGUUUUUUAGUCCUUUAGCUUAGUAGUCUUUCUUGCUCCUCCCUUUCUUUGUAUCUUCUUUCAUCCUGUUUGCGCUACCUUUGUUAAGUUUUUAAUAUAUUCGCUGCAGGGGUUCACACCCCUCCAGAUUACUCAAAAAGAUGGCUUCUUAGGGAAAGAUAGCAGAGAAGGGACUUUGGAAGCUAGUAUUUUUUAGCUUCACCAGAGUUCCUGGGCAUGUGAGCAUAUUUUGAUGACUUGGGAGAAAUAGUGUUUGGUAGGAGGAGUUCAAAAAUAACUUUGUGAAGUUGAACCGUACUUCCUACCAAACAGGCCUUAACUUAAUUGAAAGGCUGACAUGAAGUGGUAUUUGCCAUAGAAAUUUAACCUUUAUUUGUUAUUCAAUUUCAAAUUGUAAGUUAGUAAGUCAUUCUAAUUUUUCUAGAUAUAUGGAUUUUAAUAUGCAUCUACAUAAUUUAUAUCUAGAUACAUGAUAAAACUGUUUCUAAAAACUAGAACGACUUACAAUUUGAAACUGGAUUAGGUAUUGUUUGUUUUUUAACAUGUAUUGUUUGGUUCGUUGUGCUCUCUACCUCUUGUCUCGUAGAACUUGGCCGUGGAAACACAGACACAACUAUGACGCAAAAGGUUUUCUAGCCGUUAUUAAAGUUAAAACCAUUUCUAGCUAGCUAGGUUGUUUUCUGAAAAAAAAAAAAACUAACACCAAAAAAAUUCUUCUCUAUUUGACAGCAAAACUUCAAAUCUUUCGUAUAUAUCAAUUAGUCCAUCUUUUAUUCUCUAAUUGACACUAUCAUCAACUUUAUGAACACACCAGCGGAAAUGGCCACUCGGGCUUUGGGCGUGCUUCGUCUAUUUGCCAGGCACACUUCGCUGCCUUGUCGAGCUAGGAUAGCAAAGACUUGAGUGUGGUUAGAUGUCAAGCUAGUUUUUAUUUGAAACAUGCGCGAGCGAUCCUAGCUUUGCUACAUAAAAAGAGUCGGCUGUGUCUGACCAUGAUGUAUAGGUAUAUGAAGCGGUGUUCUUUUGGGUGGGCAUUCAGUGGACCCUAAUAGUGUACUCGUGUUGUUUUGAAUUUUGAGGUGAAAAUCAUCCGUUCGUAUUUAUAAUUAUCAUCCCUCAACUAUAUUAUCUUACCAUUACUAAUUAUAGGCCUCAAAUCCUCAAUAGAGACACCAUGUUAAUUACCAAACACGCUAAAAAAGAUAAACACUAAAAAAUCUCACGAUAAUCAGAAACAUCUAACUCUAAUUGGAAUACUCUAAUCAUCAUCACUGAUUGUAGCUACUGGAUCCAUUAUAAUUUAUAAAAAAAAUUCUCUCCUCUAUCAUUACGAAAAAUAUAUAAUGUAAUUAUGAAUGAUAAUUCAAAAUACACUAUAAUAACUUUAUAGAUUACCCACCUUUGUAAUUUUGAAAGAUAAUGCAAAAUGACCUGAUAAAUUUACAUUCAACCAACCCAUAUAUAUUGUUAUGAAAGAUAAUAUAAAAAUUAUCUUUAUCUUUAUAUCUACCUCUACCUCAACCAUUAUAAAAAUAAACAAAAAUAUCUCUCAAAUCUAUAUGUGAAUACUAAUAUAUGCUAUUACAAAAAAAUAAAGGGGUCAACAUGGAAGUAAUUAGGGCACUUUGUUCGCUUGAGCUUAUCUGCCGAAUCAGCGAAUAAUAUUUUCAGUCGUGGCUUAUCAGCCAAGCAAACAAGCUUAGGUGGACUAAUUUUUAGCCAAACUUUCAACUAGUUUUUAGUAAACUGGUCCGCUCCCAUCUAAUUUGGGCUAAUAAUUUUUAGCCUUAACUAGUAACUAGAUGUAGCUGGUCCAACCAGAUUAGCAAUAGGAAUUAUAGGGCCUUGUUUAGUUCUCAAAGAAAUUUACAAAAUUUUUCAGAUUCUCCGUUACAUCGAAUCAAGCGACACAUACAUAGAGCAUUAAAUAUAGAUAAAAAAUAACUAAUUACAUAGUUUAUCUGUAUUUUGCGAGAUGAAUCUUUUAAGCCCUGUGAGCGCAACGUGGCUUCUGACCCGUGAGCUUGCCGCGUCGCAUGAGUACUACCCAACAGAAGAAUUUUGUUGUGCUGACUGGACGUGAGAGGAGCUGGCACCGUGGCACGAACACCGGGCCCACAUGCCAUCCAGCUGCUCAAACCACUCGGGUCCUCACUUUAGAGAAGCUUCACGUGCAAUGCAAAAAGACCCCUCGAAGAAUGCAAACGUUACGAAUAGGUACGUGGCCGCGAGACGGCAAAGCCGAAAAGCGGCGAACGGCAUGCUCCGCCCCCUCAGACACUGACAAACGUCCCCCCUCGGUAUCCGUCGACCCACUUUCCAGCGAGCACAAACGGUAAUCCUUCACGCGAACGAGAGACGCGCCGCCCAGGGGGCAAAUCGGUAAACUCCACGUGCGCUGCCAACUGUCUCCAUGAGCCGCCCGCGUCCUUUUAUUCGCAGGAGAAUUGCUGGCGCAAACUGUGUUUCCAGUUAAGCCCCUAGGGAAAAAAACACGUAUUUAUUCGCAUUAAAACCCUCGUGUCCAGAGAAAUCUUCUCGAAGACCUCCUCAAACACUUGUUCUUGAAUCCCCAAACCCCUCCUCGUCUUCACUCCCUUCUUCCGCGUCGCAAUCAUUCGUGGGGGCGCAUUACUCCUGCCGCCCCUCAAUCCCGAAUUUCUGCGGCGUCCACUCUCCCGUCUCCCCACUAGGAUUCCGCAAGAUUGAUCGCGUUCGCCGCCUCCCAAUUUCAGUAUCUUUUUCAUCAGGGUCGGCGUCGGCCCGAUUUGUUGCCGUCGUCCUCGUCGCCGCCCCGCCCACCACUCCACUUCUUGGAGGACUCGGUCCUGUCCUGUCCUGACUCCGCUCCACCUGUCCUCCUCGCUUCCAUCGCCAUUGCCGCCCUCCUUGCUCUGCUCCCUCCAAGCCACCUGCUUUUUUGGACCGCACCGGUCUGCCGGGGCGGCGUAAAUGCCCGCCCGUCCGUGCAGAGGAUCCCAGAGCCUUCCUUCUCCGCCCCAAAUCCCGUCCUUGUUGACACCAGGCCAAGGUUCUUGGACGCGUGCUGACCUUACCAGUAUCCACAGAUGAGGAACGCGUCCUGACUCCACUUGCCCAGCUCAGGCGGCUGCUCCGCGAGCUCCGCCACCCACUGACAUGGGCUUCUUGAUCUGCUGCACCCGCCUCCUCCAGCUUCUGCUGCUGCUGCUCGUCCUCACCACCGCCACCCCACCAGUGGCGGCGCAGCCGCAGCCUUCAUCGCCCGCCAGGGCCCUCGACGCGGCGCUACAGGACUACGCGUUCCGUGCGUUGUCGGCGCGCCCGCGCACCGGCAUUGUCUACAACGCCACGGUGCCGGGCAACCUCACUGGCAUCGCGGCGUCCGCGCUGCGCCUGCGGAGCGGCAGCCUCCGACGGAGGGGCUUCCCCGGCUACUUCCAGUUCGCGCUCCCGCCGGGCGUCGUCGUGCAGCCGCACGUCGAGCGGGUGGUGCUCGUGUACCACGACCUCGGCGACUGGUCCGACCGCUACUACCCGCCCCCCGCCGGGUACGCCUACCUCGCGCCGGUCCUGGGGCUGCUCGUCUACGACGCGGCCAACCUGUCGGCCGUGGGGGUGGGGCUGCCGGAGCUCAGCAUCGUCGCGUCGGGGGUGCCGAUUUCUGUGGCGUUCGAUGGUGUCCGGGCGGUGCCGGCAGGCGGCGCGGUGGCGAGGUGUGUUGUGUUCGAUUUGGAUGGCGUGCCGCAGUUCCGGGACCUGGAGGGAACCAAUGUGUGCACGACGUAUCGGCAAGGGCACAUCUCGAUUGUGGUGAAUUCUAGUGAGAUUGCUCCAGCUCCUGCUCCUGCUGGCGUGAUUGCUCCGCCGAUACCGACUGAGGGAGGUGGUAAGAAGGGGAGCUCAGACGCGUGGAAGAUUGCUGUCGGCGUUGUUGGGGGUGCAGCAGCAUUGGGGCUGUUGGCUGCGCUUCUGCUUUGCUUGGUGAGGUACAAAAGGGAUAAGAAGCUUCAGCUCAUGGAACGGAAUGCGGAGGUUGGGGAGACAUUGAGGAUGGCACAGGUUGGGCGGACGCAGGCGCCUGUGGCAUUGGGGACGCGGACACAACCGGUGAUUGAGAACGAUUAUGCUGCAUAGUAGAUUUUUCAAUUUGCUUGAUACUUCUGCUAACAAGAAGACUUGAUAGUGCUGGCUAGAGACAGGAUUGUCCAUUGGUUGCUUGACGUCGGCAAGUUUUCUAUAUCAGCGAGGGCAAUGCUAGCCACUAAUUUCAGAGCCCAGGUUCUGCUCAGUGAGGGUUCAGCACAUUCUUUCGGUGGUGUUCGGAAGCUUAUGUUUUGUACUGCGGCGAAUGGGAGGCUAUUGUUCAUGUUCAUAGUUGCCAUGUUCAUAUGUGGGGAGUCCCUUUCAUCUCCAAGCAAGCAAUGGAGGGGAAAUGUUUGCCAUAUCGGAUUUGGAAUCCCCUAUUAAUUUUUUUAUUGGGUUUCUGUAUUCAAGAGGAAAUGGAUUUGGCAAUAAAGCUGAGGUAACAUUCAUUGCACAUCGUGUUAUACUGUGCUGGAGAAAUUCAUUCAUCCAGUUGCAAUUUCUUUUCUUUUCUUUUUCUUCUCCAUUUGAUGUUUAGAUGACUCCGAAGAUGAUGUAGUGAUGUAAAUGUUCACUUGUCUAGUGCUGUGGUAAUUAGUCUGAUUGUGAUCGUUGAUUUCAUGGACAAUUGUGUUUACAUCCGCUGUGUAUGUUUUCAGGCAGCAUUCAUUUUUUUAUUAGUGUUUGGGAAACAACUUAAUUUCUAAUUAUGUGUUUUUAUGGCCUGACAGUACUGUCAGUUCUAGAUUUUGUUAAUGCUUACUUUCAUCAGGUUCCCUUUUUAGCACUUGAAAGCCUGAAAUGUAGGAAUGAAGGUAUGGUCAAUGUAGGUAUGACCAGUUGGCAAAAUAAAUAGAAUUAAACAGAGGAAUUCAAGAAAUUCUCUGAUAGAAACUUUCCAAACUUGCUGAUUUUCUUUUCUCUGGUAGUCUUCUGGCUUGAUUUUCUUUUCUCUGUUAGUGGGGACAUAGACGAUCAGCUAAGAAAAGAUGUAAUGUAAGCAGGUAGCGUACAAAUAAAUGUGAGCUAAACAGAAGGGUUGAAGACUGCUCCACUUGAAAAUUUCCAAAAGCUUAUCUUUUUUUGCUCGUAGUAUGUUCUUCAAUCAUUAAGUUGGUUGGAAAUGUUGUAAGCUUCACGUAGAGCUGUCAGUGAGGAGCUAGACGAUUAACAAAGAAAAGUAGAUGCAUUCAUCUUUUCGUUGAGCCAAUUAGCACUUGUUACACAAUUCUCCUUACUUAUCACUGUUACUGUUAUAGAAAUAUGAAAGAUGAACCUUUGGAGAUCCAUUCUCUUUGUUUUGCUUUGUACACUCAUGCUGUAGCAUGUAACAUCUGUUUCUCAGAAAGUAGUCUAGCUUUCAGUUGUUUCCUCAAAAAGAUUGCAUAACUGAGGGCAUUAACAGUUUGUGCAAGGAUCAGUGUGUGAGCUGGCCAAGAGCUUUAGGCCGGCUCACUUUGUUAGCAUGCAGUGUUCUUUUAGGGGCUGCACUUUGUUGCUGCAUGUUCAGUUUUCAUGUUGGGGAUGAUGAGGAGCAUGAAAGAAGUGAGAUAAGAUUUUGUACUUGGUAGUAGUAUAUGAAUUGAGAUGUGAUUGCCACUUGAAAAGUUGAAAUUUGGUGCACAUGCAUCAUCUCUCAAAAGUCCAGUCCCUUUAUUCAGGGCUACAUGGUAUGGUGCUGAAACGAGAAGCAACCUUGAGUAGUAUCAGUAGUGGAUAACUAGCAACACUUGCUGUUUUCACAAGCAUAUGUAUGUACUCCAUCUAGCAGUAAGCUAAAUUAGCUAGACCUGCACACACACGUGAGUGACAAGUACCUUGUUGCAUCCUGCAAGGAGUAAUAAGGUGAGGCCAGCCAAGGAUGGCAGACAGAAUGGAUUUGUAUUUGUAGAGUUCCCCAGCUGGACUGCUGGAGCUUGGAAGAGAAAAGAAACAGAAGCAAGGUGACCCCAGAAUUCUUGCUGCUUGUGGAGGUGGCAAAACCAGCAAGGUGUGUUGUUUCUUGUUUGGCUGGAGAAGAGAAGACAGGGAGCAGCUGUGGUGCCUCUGUCUGAGUUCAUCAGGCUUUUUGGAGGGAGUUGUAGCUGGCUGUGGUGGCGUGUGCCGUGGCGCCUCAGCUUUGGCGCCGUAGCGGAAUCUUUGCUGUCACUAUGCACGGAUUCACAGCUCAUUGGCAUCUGCUGCUCGCCUCUGCUCUGGAAUGCUUGUUUUGUAAUGGGAAGGAUGCAGCUGUAGUGUGUACUGGAGUGUUAAAUUAACUGACUGUUGUUGGAGUACCCUAUGCAGUUUGUUUUGUGCUGGUUAACACAUAGCCUUUCUGAGUUCCUGCUAACCUCCACUUCCAUUUCUCCCUGCUGUUAAUCCGAGUGAUGAACUGCCUUCACCACCAUCUAAAAAUGCGGUCUACAGUCUUGAACACUAGUUUUUUCAUAUCUCAACUUUUCACCCAUGUUUUGGAUAUAAAAGGGGAAAAAAGAACUUUAUAUUGAAAAGUUUUCCACUACAAAGUUGUCUACUAUAAAGAAUAUUUUCAUCUAAAACCAUAUGAAAAAUGAUAUGCUAUAUAUAUAUUUAAAAGACGUCAUCUAUGGAUGGACUAAAUUCCGCCCCUUUCAAAGAAGAAAAAUAGAUAUUUUCAAGAAAAAUAGAUAUUUUCGUACCAUCCUUUGCUGAAAAUUGAUAUUUUGUCAAACGGUGAAUUUUUGGCUUUUCCCAUGCUCUAGAAAAUUGAUAUGUAAUGCUACCCUUUUAUUCUCCAAAACAAAACAGAGAAAGCUAAUUACGCUAUCCUGUAGUGAUGCUACUUUCCAUCCUCUAGAAUUAUGUAACGCUAGUUUUCGUUUACGUUCCUUCAAACACGUAAUGGUAGAUUUCGUUUUCGCGCUUUAAAGCUGUAGGAUGGAUGGAUGCAUGAUGCAAUGCAAUCCAGUGAAGGCAAGCAUUCAAAUUUCAGGCUAAAAAGUAGUAUACUAGACUAGUGUAUAUAUUACAGUCAUCAAGUUUUUGACACUAGCAGUUCCUGGUGCUAAUUUCGUUACCCUGCGUUGUUCCUGCUAAAAUCUGUCGCAAGCACAAGCAAUUCCUGCUAUAAACCUCCGCUUGAUCCAUUCCAUUUGUUCGUCUGAGUGACGAACUGCCUUCACCAACAUCUAAAAACGCAGUCUUGAUCAUCCUCAGCCCACUGGCCUGCUAUCUCCGAUCCUCCGGCUGCUAGAGACGGCAUCCAUCCACGAUCGCCGCCUGCCUCCAUUGUCGACGAUGCCAAAGCUUCACUGCAUCAGUCGUAGGCGAAGGACGCCUUGUGCCGCCUGCGAGCCUUGCCGUCGGAGCACUGGGAGCUCCUGCCGCCGCUCUUCUUCCUUCUCCUGUCCGCCGCCGCGGGCCCGCCGCCGACGCCGAACAUGGUGAUGCGGCCGAAGCCCCUCGACAGCGACGCGAGGAACGCGCGGCCCUGCUCCCCGCCGUGCCGCCCGCCGCCGUCCCCGCCGCGCAUCCUCCCUUGCUGCUUCAUCAGCCCCUGCUCCCGCUCCAGCUCCGUCAGCCGCACCCGCAUCCGCGAGAUCUCCAGCUUCAGCUCCCGGUUCUCCCGCCGCAGCGACGCGUAGUUGUCCCGCUGCGGCGACACGCACGAGCUCGGCACGCCGCUGCUGCUGCACACGAACCGCUGCGACAGGGACCCGUCGGCGCCCAGCCCGAGGCCGCUCACGCACCCGGACCCGCCGCCUGAGAAGGACGACUUGAGGCGGAGCUGCUCGAAGUAGAGCACGCGCACCACCAUCUGGAUCGGCAGCCGGUCGUUCUGCGCCGCGUGGCUCGACGCGUCCUGCGACAGCUUCUGGCAGUCGAUCAGCUUGCACAGCUUCUUGCACUCCGACUCCGUCAGAGAUGGAUGCGCCUGUUUUUUUUUUUUCCCCGCAGCAAACAUGGUCGGUCAGCCAACAAAUUCUCUUUCUCUAGACAGAUAAUCAAUCAAGAAUAACAAAGCAAACAGCGAGUGCAAAAAUGUUCAGGCUAUGAUCAGACAUAAAGAUUGAUCAGAGAAGAUUUUUCAGUCAUCAGUCACACGGAGAGCAAAGUUCAGUGAUCAGCUAAAUUUAUUCUGGUUGCAAGAUUGAUCAGACAACUGAGUUCAACCACAGAAAUCAAAGCCCAGUGGUCAGCUAGAAUAUGUUACAGUAUUUUACUUGCAUACACAUAUUUUCAUUUUUUUUUCAUGCUAUCUAGUUACAUGGGAAAUAUGCCUACUCAGAAUAUGGAAUUCAUUGGCACUAAAUAAAAUAUGUUUUUAUUCUGCUUGAUAAAUAAAAUAUGUUUUUAUUCUGUUUGAUCAGCUAAAUUUAUUCUGUUUGAUCCUAUAAAUACCAUGUUUUGCUCAAUGAUAGAAUUUUUAUGCAAUUUAACUUCAGGCAUGUGCAUUGAUCUGGAAAGUUUAAUCAGACAGAGAUCAAGGUCGGGCAAUCAGCUAGAAUUUAUUCCAUUUGAUUGCAUACACACAGUUUCAUCAAGACUGAAUAUAAGAUAGAUAUGAAAUAUGCCUACUUAGAAUAUGGAAUUCUUUUGUCACUAAAUGAACUAUGUAUAUUAAACCUCUGCAUUUGCUGAAACAGCUACAGAAGUGUGACAUUUCUAGUCUAAUAAUAAUGCUUUACCUUCAGGUAUAUGUCGAUGGCACGAUAGAGUCCAUCAUCAACAAUGCGUGCAUAAUCUGGCAACAGUUCAAUCAGAGCCAUGAACUUCUGCAGUUUCAGAUAGGGAUCUGGUGCUACCUCUGCAAGAUAACCAUCCAUUAGUCUUCCAACCUUCAGGACUGAACUGUGGCUUGGAGACUUGAGUCCGUCAGAGUCAUAUCCACAAGGUGACAACUCUCCUGAACUAUCUUCGUCUAUCCUCUGCAAGAAGUUCACCAAUAUACGGUGGACAGUGUCAACGUCAAACAUCGAGUCACUUGUUUGCGUGGAGGGGAUCAGCAGAUCAUCUAGUGAUGCCAUCUCCAGCUGAAGGCCAAUCCUUUUCUCGACUUCGAUUCUGCAGUCUAGGCUUGCAUCAACUUCAAUUGCCAUUCUCAGCAUGCCAAACAGGAAGGAUAAAGUAACCGUUGUAAUAUUUUCAGUCGCUAACAGAUCGAUGAGUGUCUCAACAAUCAUUCUUUGACUGUCUCCGACAAAGGGACCUGAGUCCCAUACAUGUCGUCUUUCGACACCCUUGAGUGAUGUUUGGGCAUAGUGAGUAAUAGAGGUGCCAAUACUCUCAGGCCUGACCCCAUUUCUUCUCAUUGCAGCAAUCACACGCCGAUAGUGGUCAAUUCUCAAUGCAGAAAGGUCUUCAACCCACCAAUCCUGGCAGUGCAUACGCAGCUUUGCAGAUCCCACAUCACAUUCCAAGUGAGCCAAACCUGAAACCAGCUGCUCCUUACUUGCAUUCACCGCGAUUGCAUCGACACACCUAUCAACAAGCCCGACUUCCUCCACUACUGGGUCCAAUCCAUCACAUUUACAAAGGACUUCCAGGGAUUUAUCGAGGUUCUUGAGCACGAUCUCGUUCAAGUACGUCUCUGUCCUGAAAAUGAGGUUCUCCUCUUGAUAGUCCUCCGUCAUUUCCAAGUACUCUGCAACGCAUCGCAGAUGGGCCACAUUUCCCGUGGUUAUUUCGAAAUUGCUACCGUAACAGAACUUGGCAGCAAGUUCGAAUGCAAAAGCUCCCCCUGGUACAUUUACAAGCUCCAGCUUUAGGAGAUCUGGGUCCUUGGAGUCCACUACCAUUUUCCGUACUCGUCCACACCGAGAUACUAAAGGGAACUGCAAAACAAGCACACAAUUGUGGGGCAUGGUGAAACUUAAUCCAGCAAAGGAAGCUUAAAAUUUUGCUUCAUGGGUUAUGCAGAGGGAUGUACCAAUUAGAUUUCUCGGUUUAUACAUAAAUUAUUGACUAAUCCUUCAAAAUUUGCAUGAUUUUUACAUAAUAACUGGUGAACUCAAAUUUCCCUAUUUGUUCAUUGCUUGUUGCUUUUGGAACCUUUAGAAUGACCAAAAACAUCUUACAGGAUGAACUGCAUCCAAGCUGGCUGAUACGUGAUACUCAUUAUUUUUCCAAAGACAAAUGCGAGAAUAUUACAGGAAGUGAAUCACAGAUUACACCACAUAAGAGUUCAAAUCAUUAGUCACUACUACAUCAUUUGUACGGGUUUCAUAUGCGGAAAAAGCAAUACCCAUUUCUAUGUCCUCAAACAAAAGCAAGUGUCCAUUAUUUCAUUCACUACUGGUCCUUCGCCAAGCAAUCUAUUAGAAGUGGCAUGCCCACCCCAAACAUAUGGAGUACUGGUCCAAACAUGGCACUGAACUUCCAGCAAAGGAAAAUGCGGCUGCCUAAACUGAAGAAUUGCCUAAACAAUCACGCUGGUGUACCGACGACCCAACGCAGAUUCAUAUGGGAUGGAAGCAGAGUGGUGAAAUGGAGUAUAUACCGACCUUGUGCAGGAGAAACGACUGUCCAUCCACCGAUACGGUCACAUCCUCAGCGACAUCUGAAAAUAUCCUGCACAAGCACAGCAGGUCAAUGCAAUGUCCCCCAAAAGUUUUAUUAGACGCCAAGAUUAGUUAGCACUUGAGUUGGCAAUGUGUAGUAAACGUCUAGUGCAUUGCUUGUAAUGACACCAUUUUGCCUUUGCCUCACUCUCCCUCCCAAGAACAGCGGAUGCUGAAGAAUCAACUGACUGAAAGUCUGAAACAGACUGUUCCAGGGAAUGGCUGCUAGUACCUGCUUGUACCACGGAACAGGUAAUGAAAUUUCACUCUCUAGGAAAUGAUAACAAAGCACUGUAUGAACUAAGAAAGGAUGUUGUAGAGAUCCAGGAGUGGUGGCGACUGAUGGUAUUAUGAAGAGAAGCAGAAGUGGCAUCUGCUGGACGGGACCUUCAGAGGAGCAAAAGCAAUUUUUCCCCCCUUUUUCAGAGUGGCCGUGGGAUGCUUGUCCUUGCAAAACGAUAGAUGGACGGAGUUGAGAAGUGGAGCCGGGGAAGCAAACGGUGAAGGGAGGGAUCAAAUCUAAAGAGGUAAGAAAUCGCAAGCUGUUCCUGUUCCGUGUUGCCAUUAUGCAAUGCAAUGCAAAGGAGAGCGGACGGGAGUUGGAGAUGGAAUGGGGAUCCUUGCUGACCUCCUGUGACUACUGACGGCGGUGCCGCAGAGCCGCGGCGACGUGGUGGUGGUGGUGGUAGAGAAGGGGAACAACACGGCGGCAGCGUCGCUGCCCAUCCCCAUGCCUCCUUGCUUCUCCGGCCCGCCGCCUGCUUGUCUCUGUCUCUCCCUCUUGUUGUGAUGCUCUCAGGCAAACCAGUGGGGUGGAUGUGUGGUCUGGAGGAGUAGGAAGGAGGUUGGUUACCCGAGGAGAAACGGACGAGGCCAAGGAAUGACUGUCGUCGUUGGCGCGCGACGAUAACAAAUUGGGAGCCUGGGAGCGGAAGAGAGGAGGAAGAAAGUGAGUGCAUGCAGACAGCGACAGAGCAUCGUUUGUUUUGUUGUGUCUUGAUCUUGACGUGGGAGGCAGAGCGGAGGAGGGAUUAGGAGGAACAAAGAUUAUGAUUAGCUCAGCGUCUGAGCCUGAGAGAGAAAAAGGAACCCCCCAUCAUCAUUCAUCAGACUGAUGACUGAAAAAAGCGACUCGGGGAGGAAUAGUUGGGUGACUAGGGGACAACCCCUGCUCCACUGUCAGUAUUCUGGCUGCUGCUGGCUUUGGCUUGAUUGAACCCAACGGAAUGGAAUGACAAGCCGUUCAAUGGUUAGGUAUUGAUCUUGUGUUCCCAUGCUCAUGAAGUACUAGCAGCCAUGGUUUAUACUACAAUUUUUUUCCCCGCAAUUUUGUCACUGCCACAACUACUCCUACACAAGGCUCUCAAGUUUGCCGUGUUCAUUGAAACAUGUCUGUUUGUACUUGUUUCGGUGCUUUGUUACCUGAAUGGCCACAUGUAAUUGUAAUGUGAGAGUACUAGUAGGAUGCAAGAAUGGGCUUGUUUGUUCGUGAGCUACAACAAGGACUACUAGUGGGAGAGAGUAUUGAACAGUAGGAAGGAGAAUUUCUCAAAACAGUAGGAAGGAGGAGUGGAGUCAAGCGAAGGCUGUCUGUCGGUCGGUGAACGAGUGGAAAUGAAAUGAAAUGAUGCCCGAGCAAUGCCAAGGCAGUCGUCCACCACCAGACGUGCCUGCCGGGGCAUGCCCUUUUCCACUUUACCGCUUUGCCACACUCUGUCCAGCUUGCCGCUUUGUUGCCUAGUACCAGUAGCCUAGUACUACUUGUAUAAUUCACAUUCCCAAAAAAAAAAAAAAGCAACCGAAGAGCCAAAUGAGUUUACGUUUAAUAAUAAAAAAUAUACCGAAAACAUUACUAAUUUCGAUAUCUGAAUUAGUAAGUAUUGUCGUAUUCACAACAUACAGUAUAGAGUAUUCAUGUUUACUUAAAAAGUCGUAACUAAAAGUAUUAUUCGUUGAUUUAUCGUGAGAGAAAUCCUAACUUGAUCCAAAAUUUGAGGAGAAACAAAAAAAAAAGAUUAAUCCGAUGUUAGAGCUGCAUUCUUUUUUUUUGUUUGUUUUAUUAGACGGAGCAGGUAGUAGUACUUACUCCUAUCUUCUAACUUUUCAGACACACCGCCACAAAAAGCAUAACCACGGACCACCGCUGCUGUGGGGUUUCCUUGCUCUCGUUGAGGUUGAGCCGGCCGGCCGUUGACAACGCAUAUAGCUGAGGCUUUGUUUCGAUGCAGUUAGGAUUGACAUCAAUCCAUAUAUGCUGGGAUGGAUUUGAAUAAAAUUCGAACUAAAAUCUAGCACAAUCCAUCCUAACACAUGUGGAUUAAGGUGGAUCCAUGAACAUCUAAACAAGGCCUACUAAGUGUGAGUGUAUAUAUAUGCAUAUGCUCAUGACUGAUGAUCAUUAUUACUAUCAGUCCACAACAGAAAACAGAUCUCGAGUCAUCUGUAGAUGCAUGCAACGCAGAGCAAGCACUGUGGUGAGCACGCGCGGUGGUACUACGCCUCGUGCGAACUCUCAAUGACGAGGCAUAUGCAUGCGCAAUCGCAUACGAGGAGGAUGCAUAUGCAUGCAUGCAUGUAUCCGGCCGGUGAGUGCACUCAAUGACAGGCAGCGUGUGUUCGUUCGUGCGUGCAGUGCGUGCAAGGUAUAUAUAUGCCACGUACGGGCUUUGAUUUGUUGGUGCAACGUCAUUUCUUUUAUUUUUAUUUUUUUGUAACCACGGAUCAUAUAUAGAUGAAUUGACGACAGUAACUUUAAAUUGGUUGACUCCGACGAUAUCCCUUGCACAGCAAAGAAACAAUAACAGAUUCAGCACUUGAUCGAAUGGAGCCUAGCUAGAAGAUGCGUGCUCAAGGUGCCUAUAUAUCGGAAGCCCACGUAUUUGCUGGGGCCGGCUCCAAAGAGAAGCCGGAUAGUGAGAAGCAGAGAGGAAGCCUGUGGGAGGCAAGAAGUAGCAGCGGGAGCUGCUUCUAGCAAAAGCCGCUCCAAGCUUUCUAGUCCACAGGAUGGAAGAUCCAACAAUAUAUAUAUAUUGAGCAGUACUGACAUCGUUUUGAGCAGUACUGACAUCGUUCAGUAUCAUCCAACGCUAUACUCAGGACUACGAAAUACUGAACAAUACUGAAACACGGAUACUGACCGAUAAUGAAAUCUGUUCAGUAUAGUAGUUCGGUGUAGAUUAGUAUUCUACACCUAGGGUGUAGAAUAGCACUUUUAUAUAUAUAUAUAUAUAUAUAUAUAUAUAUAUAUAUAUAUAUAUAUAUAUAUAUAUAUAUAUAUAUAUAUAUAUAUAUUCUACACCGCAAGUCAAAACUGAGUAGAAAAAAUACUGAACAACGUUCAGUAUCAUCCAGUCGUACACCCAGGACCACGAAAUACUGAACAAUACUGAAAUACGAGUACUGAACAAUACUGAAAUCUGUUCAGUAUAGCAAUUUGGUGUAGAAUAGCACUUAUAUAUACAAGUGCUAUUCUACACUAAAUUGCUAUACUGAACAGAUUUCAGUAUUGUUCAGUAUAUAUAUAUAUAUAUAUAUAUAUAUAUAUAUAUAAAAGUGCUAUUCUACACUCUAGGUGUAGAAUACUAUUCUACACCAAACUAUUAUAUUGAGCAAAGUUCAGUAUCGUUCAGUAUUCAUGUUUCAGUAUUAUAUAGUAUUUCGUGGUCUUGAGUGUUGGACAUGAUGAUAUUGAAUAUUUUCCAGUACUACUUAGUAUUUUUUCUACUCAAUUUUAACUUGUAUAACUAUUUCGUGUCAUCAUGUCAUGGCUAUUAAUACCCUUCUCUAAACCUGAUCGAAUUUUAGAUAGUUUGAAAGAGAGAAUUAGGGGGUACGGUGUUUAUUAGUUGCGAGUGUUAAAAUUUAACAGGUAUAUAUUAUAGUAUUUUUGUUUUAUUUGACAAUAAGUAUCUAAUAGUAGACUAAAUAAGCUCAAAAGAUUCGUCUCGCAAGUUAUUGUCUAUCUGUGUUUUUAGUUAUAUAAAUAGUCUAUAUUUAGGCCUUAUUUAGAUCCAAAUAUUUUUUAGAUUUUGACACUGUAUCACUUUCGUUUGUUUUUGAUAAUUAAUUAUUGUCUAACCAUGGACUAACUAAGCUCAAAGAUUCAUCUCGCAAAUUAGAGAUAAAUUAUGCAAUUAGUUAUUUUCAAAAUUUAUAUUUAGUGCUCCAUGUAUGUGCCAUAAGAUUCGAUGUGACGGUAAAUCUUGAAAUUUUUUUAGAUUUUAGGGUGAAGAAGGCCUAUAGUUCCCAACCCAAAAAGUUUCCAUCCAUCACAUCAAACAUUUGGACGCAUGCAUAGAGUAUUAAAUAUAGAUAAAAAUAAAUUUAGUUGGAAAUCACGUGAUAAAUUAUUUAUGCCUAGUUAGUCCAUAAUUAAUCUUAAAUGCUACGGUAACCUACAUGUGCAUAUCUCAACAAUUAUGCAAUUGGACUAUGCAUUCUAGAAAUUUUGCCAAAAAUCUUCAAAAUUGCUCUCCAACAGUUAUGCAUUUGACUCAUGCAUUUUGGCGAACUUGACAUUUGAUGGACCAAACUUGACAUUUUUACAUACGCACAAUGGCUUGGCAAUUUUGAUAUCCCGAGUUUCCUGAACUCCUUGUCGUGCGUGACCUCCCCACGCGCUGCAGUAGUUUCCCGCAAGGACUCCUCGCGCGAACUCUUCUUUCCCCUGCACCGCCGCCUCUUUUCUUUCCCCGCGCGCAACUUGGAGAUACGAUCCAUCGCCGUGUCCUCUCCUUCCUUCACGCGACGGACCUGGAGGCCGUGCGCGACGUGAACUCUACGACCUACGACUUCGUGGACUGGCGGAUCGGGAGGCCACGAUUCACAGAAACGGCGGUACUUGCGACUUCGUGGACUGGCGGCGACGGGCGACGGAAAUUUCCGCGCAGAGGAAAAAUCUCGCGCGAAGCGCGUCAAACAAAAAAAGAUCCCGGACAAAAAUAGUUGGGUCCACUAUUUUGGGAAAUGCCAAGUCAAAAAUACCAAACAAUUAGAGAUGUAGUUAUUUUUCCUUUGGCAAAACGUUUAGGGACUUGGCAAAUUCCAACAAAUGGCAAAUUUCAAUUGCAUAACUGUUGGAGAUGCUUAAUGAUAAAUUAAUUAGACUUGAUAAAUUCGUCUCGCUCUUUCCAGGCGAGUUAUGUAAUUAGUUUUUUUUAUUAGUAUCUGAACACCUCUUUCGAUAUCCUACAAAAUAUUUGAUAUAACACUCAAAAAACAGUUUCUCUUCUACUAAACAAAAUCUUAGUAUAUGUCCAAACACUCGAUGUAAUGGGUGAUAAAAAAUCCAAACGAACCUUAACAUUCGAUGCUAAUGAUCGAACAUCCACUCCCGAAGGAAGCAGGCCGGAGCGGUGCACAUACGCAAUCGAUGGUACCCACGGCGACCUAGGGGGGAAUGAUGACAAGCAACGUGACAUGAUGGCACCAUCACCAAGGAGCGGAGCGGCACGGAACUCGAGGGGGUUAAAGCUACUGCUAGUGCUACCGUGCUAGUAGAGGCUAGAGAGCUCCGUUGUGCAGGCAGAGGGCAGCACUGCAGGGCCAUGUCGCUCACUCCUGCGCCUGCGCCUGCGCUUUUCCCCCCUUUUGUAGUUGCGCGGUGCCGGACAUCGCUCCUCUACUCCAUUCUCAUCCAACACGCAAAGAGGUUGUUAGCUAGACUCACAUGGAACACAAACUGACGAGAUACAAUAUAGUCAUAUUUGGUAGAUUGUAUCUAUUAGUCUGGUGAGAAGAGAUACUAUUUAGUUGCCUACAUAAAGAUACAAUAUAUUGCAUGAGAUAAAAAAAAUAUAAAGUCAAUUUAUGAGAUGAAUCUUUUGAGCCUAAUUAGUCUAUGAUUGGACAUUAAUUGUCAAAUAAAAACGAAAAUGCUAUAAUACCUGUUAAACUUUAACAACACCAACCAAACACCCUCUCAAUUGACUUUGUUGUAUAUAGGCCUGGUUUAGUUUGCAAAAGAAAAAAAAUAGAUACUACAUCAUAUUUAUAAUUAUAAUAAUAAUUAGUAAUCUAAUUAUAGACUAAUUAGACUUAAUACGUAUAAACUAUAUAAUUAGUUAUUUUUAAUCUAUAUUUAAUGUUUUAUAUAUGUGUUUAAAUAUUCUAUGUGAGGUGAUGAAAAGUUUUUAAGUGCAAACUAAAUAGGGUCAUACAGUAUACGUAUAGAUAACUUGUUUUUUCGUAAAAUAAUGCAUGCACUCUCGCUCCUUUGCAACCUCUACCCUAUCGUGAAAUACAAAGUAUACUCCAUAUCAAAAGGCUAACUUAGAGUAUUCUCUGAAAGUUUGGUAAAAUAACUCUCUAUCUAUCGUGAAAUACAAAGUAUACUCCCUAUAUCAAAAGGCUAACUUAGAGCAUCUCUGAAAGUUUGGUAAAACAACUUUCUAUUUUAAUAUUAUAGUAAAAAGAGAAAAAAGCUUCCUCCAAUAGUUUAGUAAAAUAGCUCUUUAAAAAUAGAAAGUUGUCAAAUAUCUUUCUUAAAUCAUAAAUUUCCAAAGUCUUCCUAUCUCUUCUUUUAGAUCUGUUUCCACGUCAUUUGUUGCAUAGUCCUCUGGUCCGACCGCUGUGGGAUGUACCGGCCUCCAUUGCCGCCGCCCUAUAGGUUGACGCUAUCGCUCCGUACUUGUCUCCACGGUAUUAUUGAUCUUUGAUUCGAAAGCACGACAUGAUGUCUUUCACAUGUGCAUAGCCUGCUAUCUUUAUAUAUGCUCAUUGCUUGCAUUGGCCAGAAGGUAUGGAUGCUAGGCACGCCUUGCUGGCAGUACAGAGCUAGUGCUUGUGUCAAUGCGGUGCAAAUAAAAAAAUAUAAUUUUCUUUUCAAUUUUUUUAUGAUAACAUAAUAAACCAAAAAAUAUUAAAUAUGGGCCCUAUUAUAACUUUUAGAAAGUUAUUAUAGGAGACCGUUGGAAAAGAAUUAAAAUUAAGGUUACUAUUUCUUUUGUUAACUUACUAAAUAGAUUAGUUUAACAAGUAAAUUAUACCAAACUCCUGAAGAUGCUCUUACCUCUCACUAAUACAAACAAUCAGCCAGGCCCCUUAGCUAGUAUGAUAAAUGGUAAACAUAACCCGCGAAACUAUCUAGGGUGGACUACUUUACCUCCCGAACAAUAAAACCGAAUAUUCUGCACCUAAACUUUCAAAACCGGUAAAAUAACCCCCUCUAGUGGUUUUGGAGGGUGGUUUUGUCUUUUUCUUUUUUAUUUAUUUCGACUGAAGAAAGCUAAAUAAAUCUAUCCUUUAAAACCACUCGAAGAAGUUAUUUAACCGGUUUUAAAGUUUCGGAUAGAAUAUCCGGUUUUAUAGUUCAGAGGGUGAAGUAGUAUAUUCUAGAUAGUUUGGGAGGUUAUGUAGACUUUUUCCUAUCAUAAAUGAGGCGUGUCAUUCUAACUAUAGUUUGCGUCAUCUAAACAAAAAAAAAAAUCAGUUCGUGUUUGCGCUGGCCUUUUUGUCAAUGUUCUGAUAAAUAAAGGUCAUGUGUCUUGUUCCAAUUCCAAUGGGAAUCCGAAUCUCGUUCUGACCUAUAUCAUCGUCUUUGCAUGCAUGUUCCAAUUAGUAGUUGCUUUAAGCUUUUAGCCUUUUUUUCAUUACGUUGCCAUGUGUUCUCGGUCAAGAUUCCCGAUUACCAACAUCGUGGCAUUUUAUAGCUCGGGAUCCAAGACCUCCCCGGAACACAUGCUUGGGAAACCACCUUUUUCUUUUGUGCUGUCGUCCAACUCUAGCGACUAACGACAUUUAUCCGCAAGCUGAAAGUGAAAAAGACCAGACGACGGUCCACCACGUUAAAAUCGACCUUACGUAUCGUCUGGUUUAUUUGCACCAAAGGCAUUUUUUUUCCUUUUUAGAUUGAUAUCUUAUUGCGUCGUGUUGUUAAUUAUAUGCUUGAUGGUAGCAAGAAUUGGAAGAUUUCGGUAGUAUUCGGAGAAGACUCUAAGGAUGGGGACGAACAUAGUUAGUACUACAAGGGAGGAAUUCAGUUUGACGGCAGUUAUUCCUUAACCCCUUGCAGGUUCCAUUACUCCCUCCAUUCACGAAAGAAUUAAUUCUUAGAAUCUGUGUCAGUCAAAUUUAUUUAAGUUUGACUAACUUUAUAGAAAAAGAGUAACAACAUAUAUGACAUAAAAUGCGCAUCAUAUGAAAAUAUAUUCUACGAUGAAUCUAAUGAUACUAAUUUGAUAUCAUAAAUUUUAGUAAUUUUUUUACAAAUUUUGUCAAAGUUUAAAAAAUCUAACUUAGGACAAGUCUAAAAAUUGAUUCUUUCGUGGACGAGUAUUACAAAGCUUACAAGCUUAGGCCUUGUUUAGUUCAUCCCAAAAACUAAAAACUUUUCAAGAUUCCCCGUCACAUCGAAUCUUACGGCACAUGUAUGGAGCACUAAAUAUAGACGAAAAUAAAAACUAAUUGCACAGUUUACUUGUAAAUUGCGAGAUGAAUCUUUUAAACCUAGUUACUCUAUAAUUAGACAAUGUUUGUCAGAUAAAAACAAAAAUGCUACAGUUCCAAAAAUCAAAAAAAAAAGAACUAAGCAAGGCCUUACUCUCACAGCUAGCUAGCACUUGGUCGGUCCUACAAUACAAAUCCAAGUCCCAGAUAAAAUCCAAGUCAUUGGCAAGCGAAGCCUGAGCUAGUGGGCUGACGAUGAUGGUGGGACGCAGAUCGUUGUUGGGCCUGUAGUGCAAAGUGGCCCAAAGAAGCCUCACAGUCGUGGGCUUGUGGCGUCGGAAACAGCAGCCUUUUCUGGGCCACGGCCCACAGCCAAAGCACCAGCUGAUGCCGAUGGCAAUGUACUGCAGUGGCGACACCUGGACGAUUCUUGCGUGCAGUGCAGAGUGCAGCCUGUGCACUGACUUUUUUUUUGUGUGACACGUAGGUAUCUCCAUAUAGGACUUCGCAUGAAAUUUGUUGAUAGUAUAGCACAUGCUAUGACUAUAGCAGUUAGUAUCUAAUCAUAAACUAAUUAUAUUUAGAAGAUUAGUUUAGUAAAAUAUAUAAAAAUUAUAUAAUUAAUUAUUUUUUAUUUAUAUUUAAUGCUAUAUGUAAAUAAAUAAACAUUCGAUGCUACGGAUGAAAAUUUUUUAGAUAAAAAUUAAACAAGGCCAUACUAUUCUAUACAGGCGGAAUACGAUGUUACUGCUUUGGUUGUAGGAUGACCACCGACCUCCUCUUUUUUUUUGUGUAUGAACUCUUGUAGUCUUGUAGGCCGCCAAAUGAGGUCAAAUGAAUUCAGUGUGCGUUCAAACAGCAGGCACCUACCUGUAAUUAAUUAGAUCCAGAAUCCAGGGCUUAAUUGAUUCGUUAAGCAAGUAAGUAACCUCAGCAGCUCGGGUCCCCGCUCCAUUAUCCUGCCGGCUGCCACUCGGCACUUGGGCAGGGCACCAACCUCACCUCACCUCACCUCCCAGGACCACCUCACCACAUGUUCCACAGCACAGAGAACCCCUCUACAUACGUACGUACGU
rnacentral:lncRNA from 1 species